rnacentral:lncRNA from 1 species
AGAGGGAGUCCUGGGGACGAUCGUAGGUACUCUCUCAGUGACAUUUUCUCUAUUCUGAAAGGGUUCAUUUCGUCUUUGGCCGUUUUGUUGUAUUCGGCAUAUCCAAUCUAUUGCAGCGUUUCUAUCUUCUUUCCCUAAAGCGACACAUUGCCUACAGCGACGUUUAAUACUCCACUGCCUCAUGACUUGCGGCUCUCUUUCUCAUAUAGAACUUACUCCUGUACAAUUAAUGUCACCCUGUAUUUACAGUUAGACCUCUUCCUCAUUUCAGCACCAGCAUUCGGUGGUAAACCGAACAUCGUUAAAUCGCAGAACAGUCACAGGGUUUGGUGCAAAAAAGUACAUUAUGGCUCUACUUCACCACUAGCAGGUCUUACUCGGAUAUUUCUGGCAGAACUCUACGGGCCGCGUCAUCAUGGAAUUGUCAAGUAGAAUUUCAGCUUUUGAACAGACUCUGACAACUGUGUCUGGUAUUAGACACGGCUGUCUCUAGAAAAAGAUGGCUGUGUCUGGUGGUCUAUAAUGACGAUGUUCUUAUGAGCUGCUCUUUGUAAGCAUAAUGUGCUUGAAGGUUGGCAAACCAGUUUUUUAACAGUCUAGGGAGUAACUGACACCUCGAUGUUGAUACAGGGAUUUUUGAUGAUUGUGAAAGGACAUCUCAUAUUUGCCGAUCUUCUAGCAUCUGUUGAGAGAGAGUGAGGAUGCCCAGCUUCUCGCAAAUCCAGUUCCUUAGCAGUUGUAGUUAGGCAGAGUUGCUCUCUGUUUCAGGAUUCUCAUAACUCAUUUGCCAGAGGGAAGAGAGUGAGUGACGUAGCCUCUCUCAAUCAUCUUGCCGAGUUGCUCAGUUUCUGAAAUAGUAGGGCAGACAGAGAACAGCUCCCAUCCAGUGGCAAGCAAGAGGAAUAUGACGGUUCAGGCCACGAUCUUUGCCGAUGAAGCUGCUGCUGCUUUGCAGCCUAAUGGGGAGCCUUGCCCUUUGAGUGUUAUUAAGUCUUUCCAUUUUUAUAUGCGACCUGGUCGAGACUGUCAUUGGGCUCUACCCGACCCAUGUAAGUUGGUGCUAGUUGCAUGCUUGGGAUAUCAUCAGGUGAUUUGAGCUCCCAGUCUCUAACGGUUCAGUUGCAUGGUGUAAGGAUUUGUACCCUGAGCGGGAAGCAGAUCUUGUUUAUUUAUUUUUGUUCUUCUUUCUGCUGACAUCUGAUCGCUACUUAUUGCAGGUAUGGAGGAUUUGAUGGGGUUGGUCCUUACGGGCGAGGUGAGCUAAGCGAAGUUGAUUGGUUAAUUUUGGGUUUGCAAGAAUUUGCAUAAUUAAACAUGAAAUGGAAGGUUCUCAGGAGCUCUUCUUUUACACCUUUUAGUUUGCAGUAAGCUUUUGUCUAAUUGGAAAUUUGAUGGAGGUGAUGUUUCACUAUCGGCGUAUAAAUUUUUGAUGAAUUGUUUCAUAAUUGUUUUCAGGCCCGUAGACCUAUCGUAAUGAUAGCUCUAGUUAUUUAAAUGCUUUUUAAGGGCAGGGAAGCUUCAUAUCUGGUUGAUAUGUACUCAAAUAUUUCAAAUGGAAUAAAUGUCUUGAUCAGGUCGUGGAGGUUAUAGGGAUGGACCGUAUCCGAGUAUGUACGGAAGCAGACCUCCGCCACGAAGGUUUGGUUUCACUUAUUGGUUGUUGCAAAAAGUUCAGUGGUUUUAGAAUUUUAGCAUCAUUCCAAUAGGCGCUUGAUUGUCGAUUGUUUAUUUUAUAUUAUUGAUUGAGGUUUUGAGAUUCGUUUUGUUUUAUGAAGUUUUAGCUAUUGAUUUAGAGAAUUGUACAGGGAUGGGUUGAUGUCAUACAAACAAUUCAUUGUGGAGCUUGAGGAUGAUAUUCUACCCGGAGAAGCUGAGCGCAGGUAAUAUUCAAAUUCUGAAGGUCUCAUGUCCUCCAAUUAGGUAGAAUCUAGCCUGUGAUUCUUUCAAUGCGGUUCUUUGUUUGUGGUUGUUCACAUCUGUCCCAUACAGUCGUAUAUCCUUGAAGGAAUUUUGCACUGCUCAGUUGUUUAUUACGUUAACUAUGAAUGUUUAUUUCAUUUUCGCUCUUAUUUAUUUAUGGUUAAUGAUUGUGCACAUAGAUGUUAUCCAGAGUUUGGUUAUUAUGUAGCAAUAUCUUGGGGGACUACUUGUGGUUAGUUCUAAAACUUCACUUUGAGGGUUCGGGCAGCUUGCGAUUCUUAAAUUUAAAAUGAAACGUCAAAUUUUGCAUCUGCGUCAACUCUUACACCAAGAUCCUGUGCAGAUAUGAGGAAUACAAGUCGGAAUUCAUUACUACUCAGAAAAGAGCUUUCUUUGAGCAGCACAAGGAUGAUGAUUGGUAAGAUCUUGAAAGGAUCAAAAUAUGGAUUGUUGUCAGCGACACUCGUCUCGUACAUAUUAUUCGGCGACAUUUUUACGUAGCUUUUCUUUUUUAAAUGAUCCUGCGAUUGCUGAUCUGAAUUGAAAUCGUUUUUUUUUCAGGUUGCGUGAGAAAUACGACCCAGCAAGAUUGGAGAUUGUUCUAGUAAGGUGAGAUAUAUUCGCUUGUUGUGGCGAUGCUUUGUAAAACGUUAACCUACACUUUUUAGUGUCAGCAAAUUUAUGUCUUCUGCUUCUGAUGCACGUGAGCUUUGCAUUCUGUAAAGUGAAAUGAGUACAGUGAUCCUUCGUGCCAUUGCAGGAGAAAUGAAAAUGCCAAGAUUUUGUCCAAGGAGUUGCUGGCUGAGCUUCAGGCAGGGUCUCUCGAUUUGUAAGUUCUGAUUGCUAAUUAUGUGUAACCUUGUAGGCUCUAGUUAAACGUUUACGGGAUACUUUUCAAGUUUGGCUUCGAUCUAUGACAGUGUUAUUGAAAAGUGUAUGUGGUGGGCUUCUUGCUCAGGGGUCCGAGUGUACGAUCAUCAUCAAAAGACGACUCAGGGGAUGACGCAGACGGCAAUAAUAAAAGGAGGAAGUCUUCGCAAGAACACGUGAAAGCUCAAGAAACGAUCGUAGCUCCUACAGCACAUCCUGGAUGUUCAGAUCCUCAGAGAGUUCUGAAGGAUAUAGAACUUGGACGAUCACUUAUCAAAAAGUUGGACGCUGAAAAAGGGAUUGAAGGAAACCUUUUAUCAGUGGAUCAGAACACUGAAAAUGAGAGGACUGUGGGCGGUGGCUCAGUUGGGCCUAUUGUAAUAGUUAGGUCUGGUAAUCAUGUGAAAGGAUUAGAAGGUACCGAGCUUCUGGAUGUGGUUCUCACAUAUCUGUGGCGAGUACACUCUGUGGAUUACUAUGGGAUGAUAGAGUACAAGGAACAGCCUAAACGUCUACGGCACAUAAGGGCUCCGGAGGGUAAGAGUGGUGGAGAUACCAAAAAUGGUACAGAAGGAGCGGGUUUUGCGGACUGGGAGAAAAAGUUGGAUACAACUUGGCAGACACGGCUACAAGGUGGCGAUAUAAUUGUUUCCAUGCUUGGGAGAGAGAAGCUGGAUACCACGGCUAACGAAGCAUUGGAUCCAUUUGUGCGUAAGAUACGGGAUGAGAAGUAUGGCUGGAAAUAUGGUUGCGGUGCUAAGGGAUGCACCAAAUUGUUCCAUGGCCCAGAAUUUGUACAUAAACAUUUAAAGCUGAAGCAUUCUGACCUAGUUGCUGAUGUUGUUGCUAAGGCUCGGGAGGAGCUCUACUUCCAGAACUACAUGAGGUGAGCUUAUGAUUGCUUCGAAAUUAUUUCAGCAUCGUUUGUGCCUCAAUUCUAUUUUCCUUUUUGUGUGAUUUAUUUUAAAAUCUGUGAAACGGUAUGUUAUUACAUUGUAAGGUUUUCAAUUAUCAUUUUCUUGAAUUUUUUGGUGCAAUUUUUACACCAAUUGGUAUUAAGAGUGUUUUUGGUCGCCAUAAUUUGAUUCAAACGAUGAUUUAACUCUAGGAAUAGCUUAGUUCCGAUCAGUACAAUCUGUUCCUUCUGUGAGCUUCAUUCGUUGACAGUUAUUAUCCUUUUUAUGGUUCAGUGAUCCUGAUGCUCCUGGUGCAAAUCAAGUGACCUCUUCACAGCCUGGACAGGUAUGUUGCCUUGAAGUACCAGUGAUCCUCUUGAAUGUAUAUGGAUCUGUAGAUGGCUGAUAGAAAGCCUUGUUAUUUUACGUCCCAGGAUGCACGGCUGGAUGCCAGGUUUGUUUGUUUGUCAGAAGGCACUGUUAUUGCAGUUAAAGUUGGGACUGUCAUUGACUGAACUCUUUUUUGUUACCUUGCAGAGAGAUGAUGACAGAGGUCGAAGAGGUCUUAGACCUGGGUUAUCGGGACCGAUUGGUGGGCCUGGAAACCGAGCAGGUCCUGACUGGCCGCCUUCAGACCAUCCUUCCCGGGAUGGCAGAUUCGGGCCACGAAAUGGCGAUAGAUAUGAUCAAGGGCCAGGUGCCCGAGAAGAACAACGUUUUGAACGGGGAACUCGUGAUGAAAAAGGUCGUUUUGAUCGUGGAGGGCUUGAACUUACUCCUCCGCCUCGUGACUAUCCUCUCGGUGCUGGUGGUCCUCCUUUCGAAGGAGGUGGUCCAGCUCAAGGAGGUCCUUUCGAGGGUGGACCGAUGGAGCCUCCCAUGUUUGAUCAUUUUAAUGGGCCUCCUGUGCGAGGAUUACCUGGUGGGCUUUUUGUACCAGAUAUGCCCGGUCCACCCCAAGUGCUCAUGCCUGUUCCUGGUGCUGGGUAAGAAGUGAUUUCUAAUACCAGCGUUAGGAAUAGUUUGACGUGAACUUGCUUGAGGUUUUAAUUACAUCUUUUGAAUGUGACUUUUGUAAGCCGAGGCUAUCUUGACUUGCAUCAGCUUCUUGUAAGUUUGUACCGUGCUUGCAUCAAGCUACAAUAUUUCAUCAACUCUCUCUGAAAGGGUACUUACUGCAGUUUAUAUCUGAAUCUGGAUUUUUUGUGCAGUCCUUUGGGUCCGUUUGUGCCAGCACCCCCUGAAAUAGCAAUGAGAUUUUUGAGGGAAGGUCCUGGGCCGUUUCGCAUGGGAGGCUUUGAUGCUGGUUAUCAAGAGGAAGGUAAUGGAGGGCCUAGGGGUGGCAAGAGGGGCGCUCCAGGUCCUAUGAUGGAAGGUGGUCUUUUGGAUAUACCCCCCAAUAUGAUGCCUCCUCAUGGCAUGCGUCGAGACCCUCGGGGUGUGCGCAGGUGGGUUUUUGUUGCCUAGGGUCCUUUGGGUUUUUGUGGCCAACAGUGAUUCCUUGCUGACUGAAUAGCGCUUGGUCGUCCCACUUUUUCCUUGCAUUCAUCGUCUUCUUUUCUACGAAACCUUGCGUUCUAACUGAAAUUAUUUUGCUGCUGAACAGCUAUCAUGAUCUGGAUGCUCCUGAAGAUGAAGUUAGCGUGAUUGACUACAGGAGUUUGUAGAUAACUCCUUGAGAUUUUGGUCCAGUGGUAGACCUAGACCGCUGAUUUCGAAUCAAAACUAUGCAUUGUCUUUGUAAUUUGAUGGACAUGGAAUUCAAUGUUUGGCGUAGUAGUUAUGUGCCAUUGUAGGUGUGGUUCAUUUGGAGCAUGAAAUCUAGAUCUAUUGUACUUUGUGGGGGAAUUUUCCAUAAGUUUCCAUGCCUUUGAAGCACAAGUGACCGAAGAUUUUCUGCUCCUAUGUUGUCUUCCAAUGUCCUCUUGGCUCUCGACCAUCUUGCUCAAAUUACUAUGCUAGCGCCGAAACAAGACACGUAGACACAUAACUUCUAGAAAACAUGGACGACGACUUUCUUCGUUUAUGCAAUUUAUGUCUGGGUAUGCAGAGUUCAAAAUGAAUUGGAAUAAGCAUUCUCUACAAAUAGUAGUAUAUGAACUCUUGGAUGUUCAGAUACGUUACCAAUAAACAGUUGUUUUUAUUCAUUAGCAAUGACUUUUUUAAAAAUUCGAAAGUCUUUUUUUUUAAACAAAAUCUUCUGCAAAUAGUUCAUACAGCUAGAUACCAUAAUAUUAUGGUAUCUUUCAAAUUCACGUGGUUAUACAAAAUCGAUUGGGGUUUUUUCUAGACGGUGUGAAGCCACCUCCAAGUUUUCAAAUUCAAUAAUUUAUUUUAGGGACUCCAAAAUGUUUGUAUGGUAAAAUAGCUGGCGUAAUAAAGGUUUAUAAUAGUUUAAAUCAAAUCUCUUUCCAAACUAACUGUGUGUCAGUUCUAUUGCAACCAACAGCUCUUAAAAACAACACUAAUUUAUCGAUGUUUAAAAUUUUAAAAAUUAAGAAGUGAGAAAUUAGCAAUUAUGUCAACUGUUCACCAUCCAUACUAUCCCAAGUCACGUAUGAAUAAGGAGCUUUUGAUUUUUCCACUAUUGCAAUCAUACUUGUAAUUUAUUAAGGAAAUAGACAUUUAAUACAUUAAUCAAAUACAGUUUUGAUUUAGACUGCUGUGCUGUGUUCAACGAGCUUGAAUUAAAUUGUGAUUGUAUCUUACAUCGAGAAAAGUCUAUUUCUAAAAUAAAACGAUUUAAUUCUACAAUCACAAUUGUCAAUUACCAAUGCAAGGUUUAAUAGCGUGCUUCAGUUAAAUCUAAAUUCACACUCUCGAGAAGCACAAUACCCACAUCACAAUAUUAAAAUAAAAGACCAUCACAACAGUAGGACAAAAAAGCACACAGCAUACCCGCCCCCCCGCCCCCCCAGAAAGUAAAAGUAAAAGCAACAAUUACGUCAUGUGUUCCCCACGUUCGAACUCCAGACGAGACGGUACCAAUGUCGACAUCCCAGGAAUCUGACGCAACGUCAUACGACGACGUUCAUCCAUUAUAUCACCACCAGAGACGUUCAUCCAUGGAGCCAAACCACAUGCGCGCGGUUCAACAAACAGGGAGUGGAACCGAAAGGGGGGGGGGGGCAGGGAAAGAAGUAGCCAAAAGAUCAUUCCACAUUUAAUUUCUUUCUUUUUCAAAUCCCCAGCACAGGAGAGGAGGGAGGGAGAGAGGUUUCCUGCCCGUGAGUUUCACGCAAUCCUAUAACACAAGCUUCCCCUUCCCUUCGUGGUCGCGUAAGAAAGAGCUACUAGUUGCGAUCUGCGGCGCAACUGUCGUGGUGCGAAACUUGAGAGGCGUUUUUUCCCUGUCGAGAGGUGCGUAGCGUUUCACGCCAUGGCUGAGGUACGCGUCCGAGUGAAUCGCUUCCCGUUUCUGGUGAUUUUUGCUUGCCUUGAGAGCAGUACAGUGGAUCGGGAGUAGGAGCUUGAGAUUGUGUUGGAAUGGAAUGUGAUGGAUUGGAUGCGUCGUGUUUGCUGGAUGUUGUAUUACGAAUCGCGGUAGAUCACUAGGUUCUCGUCUUUUCGCGUAUGUGCGGAUUCGCUCGGUUCUUGUGAACUUGUUUUGUCGGUUGCUAUUUGUUUGAGUUGAGCGAGUUGAAGUUUGGCUACUGAUAGUGCCAUAAUCCCGCGUCCCAAUUUCUUGUUGGAAUGCUUGCUCAUACGCUUCUUAAUUGUCUUGCGGUUAAGAAGAGCAAAUUUAGCUGUGUAACAAGGUUUCGUUAGUCGUUUCAACAUGUGUUAGGGAGACCUGCUAUAGAAUCUUCAUUUGGUCUAAGAUUUUUUUAUUAGAGUUGCACUAGUACAUGUUUUAUUUUCAUUUUCAUUGGUUUCGUGAGACUUGUUGGAUUUUUUUUUUUUGUUUAUAUUUAUGUUUUUAUAAUUACUUCAGCUGUUUUUUUUGUUACUGUUUCCAACGCUAAACCACUCAAAGCUUUUAGAAUUUUCAUUGGAUUUCUGCCUUCUGUCUUUCUGGAAUGAAUGUGAAUGAGCUUGUUAGUUGUGCAAAAGCUCUGCAGUGAUUUCCGUACUUUAUGGAAACGCUCAGAACUACACAUUUUGUGUUACCUCUAUUCGUGAAUGUCCUAACAAAGCUUGUUUAAAUGUGUAGACUACAGUUUUGAAGGUGGCCAUGAGCUGCCAGGGCUGCGUAGGUGCAGUGAAGAGAGCCAUAGGGAAGUUGGAAGGUAAGUGUAUUUGUUCUAAAGACCGAUUGAUGGGAGUGGUUUCCUUACUCUGAAAAUAUGAAAAUCUGGUGGCAAGUUUCACUUUGGACUCUUUUACAUUACUCGUCAAAUUAGGGUCGAUACUGUUGUAGAAGAUAUCGAGAAAUUCGAUAAUUGAUGGGAUGCAAUGAUGUGUUAUGUUUGGCAGGUGUGGAAAGCUACGACAUUGACAUCAAGGAGCAGAAGGUAACAGUCGUAGGUAGUGUUAAGCCAGAUGUUGUCCUAGACCGUGUUUCGAAGACUGGAAAGGCUACCUCGUUCUGGAGUGACGAGAGCGCUGCCAAAACCGACCCUGCGCCUGAAGAUGCAGUUGCAGAGCUGUAAAUCGGCGUUGUUAUUAAUGUGGGCUACAUGGUAAUUGAAUUCCUGGCAAUUAUCUGAAAUUACUGAAUGCUUUUUCCACGCACAUAUUCCAUAUGUGUUGAAUUUUCCUUGAUAUUCCGUUAUGACAACUACCACAAAACUUUUUCGACGAUAAUGUAGCUAAAUACAAUCAGCAUACACAUGAUAAUAAACCGACUGUGAAAACUUCUCUCCACGGUUACCUUCAUAUUGAACAAUGUGACAAUAUACAUAACACUAAUGCAGUAACAUUUCUAUCAUAGUUACAACAAUUUUCUAACAAGAAUUUCUGGAAUAGUGUAUGACAGUGUACAAUUAUUGUUAAAUAAAUGGUUAACCACAGUCAUGACACAUUUGUGGAAAAUUUUCUAUACCCCAUUUCUGACUUUUAGCAAGACAAAUUUUCUUCCAAAAUUAUACAUUUCUAUUUCUGUGCCUUUUCACCACAACCAUUUCUGAUCAAGACGAGGGAAAGAGCAUACACAAAGCAACCAUGCAAAACGCCAGUGACACAGUUUACAACCUUACAUUACUAUCCACAUCAAACUGGUUGCGAAAUCGUUCAACAAAAUCGGCACCUACAUAUACGCACACUAACCAAUCACUGAUCAAUGCAUAAACCAUGGAACUUUUCAGUUACAACUACCCCAUCGUUCGUCUACCCGGGGCUUGAACUUGAGAUUCAAGGAUUCAUCCAACCCCUUUGCGUCUAUUUGUGCCUGAUAAUAAGGGGAAAAAGGAAAAGAAAAGAAAAAAAAGGAACCCAAUAACCUAACUUCAUUCCUUGCCCCUGAUUGCCAGCAUGAUCUUCUUCCUGGGUCCCUGAUAAAAGAAGCGGAAAAAUGAAACCAGAGUCAGUAAAGACGCGGUUCUUUGAAUUCAGAACUGCUACACCAAAUGUUUCCUCGCUCAAGUUUCACCACACUUUAGCAUAAGAAAACGAUGUAUAGGGAUUCAGCUUACCAUUGGGAUACCAAGUUCCUUAAGAUCGUUGUCACUCAUGAAUCGCAGGGCAGCCAUAUCAAUCUGAAAGCGGCAACAAAACCAGGUUCGAGAUAUAAAUCAGCAAAGCUCUAUACUCAAAUACUCAGGGUUAUCUUCAGCUAUACAACUAUAUGCUAGGGAAGAUUGGAAACAAGUAGAAAAAACUAAGAAUGGCUGUUACCUCCUCAGUUUGAAAAGUGAUCAAAUAUUUCUCGAGUCCCAAUGAAUGGAGAAGAGUUCGAACGGUCUGCUCUGCAGCCUAUCACAAGGAGCAAAAUAAAUUAGCACGACGCUCAUCAACAUGUACAAGUAAACACCCAAACUUGCUUACAAGCUGCAUGAACGAUUCAACCUAAAAGUUCCACAAUGGAAGAGUUUUGAUUUCAAGGGAAGCAAUUAAGGGCGUGGAGUUGGCUAAAAAACUUUGCUCGGCAAGCAGUUAAAAAGUAACCGUCGCUCAAGGUUUACACAAAUGGAAUGCUGAAAAACGAUCAGAACAGAGAAGGAAUUGGAUAGAGCACCAUUGGUAUAUCCGAAGGCCUCUUGACUGAAGCAGCUGGCCUGGCUGAGACAGGAGCAGGGGCAGUCACAGAGGCCACACCUUGUGUAACAGUGGAGCUGUUAUAAACUACAGACGCGACUCGCCGCUGCAGUUUGGGAGCUUCGUGGGCUCGUGAAGUUUGUUGGCUCUGAUCAGCAAGGCCUGACAACUUGUCCCGCAAGUCCACAACAUUUCCAGCUCUUGGUUGGUUAACAGUUCUUGAACCCGAUCUUUGCAACUUUGACCGCAGAUCCUGUCCGCCUAUAUGAGCAGCUGGGGUCAAGGAUGAAACUUGAGUUCUGAAACUUCGAUCUACUCUGUGAACCAAGACCUGUUACAAUAGCAUACACAGAAUAACGAGAUCGCGUCUGACAAAGGCGACGAUACUACAUCGCGCAACGAAUUCCACACCCUCAAAAAUGGAAGAACUAAAAAGGAUACGUUCUCGAGGACCAUCGUCACGGUCAUCAAAGUACAUAUCAUGUUUCCAUUGUCCCUCAACGUCUCUUAGCCUGCAUACAUUCACCCAAGACCCUGGUUAUAGAUAUCAAUCGAGUUCAGGAAGAGAUAGCCAUCCAAAACUUGUCAGGUCCCUCUCAGACUUGCAGAAUACUGAACUUCAGUCUCUAAGGGUUCCUCAAAAAACACGUUAUGGGAUAAUAUAUUUUAAUGUCUACAUACAAUGUAGCAAAAACUUACCUUUUGGCAGUUGACUGUGGUCCAGCAAAGGCCGGCUCGUUUAAGCCUCCCAAUCGAUCCCUAAUUGAUCGUUUCCUAUUCCCUACCCCAUUCGAGCGAUCGGCGUACAUCUCUGCGGGGGCUGUAACGCGCCUCUCGACCUGCAUACGAUAGUUUAUGAUACACACAUUAAAAACGCUUUACUGCACCUCCUUGGACCAUUACUUUGUGGACAUCGGAGCUAUAACCUAUCCAACUGGAUAGAUGACUCUCCAGGCAACUGAUUUGGAGGAACUAACUACAGGUUCAUUACCGCUGUCGCCACUCGUUGACACUGAUCAACAAUCUGGAACGACAAAACCAUGCUUACGCUUUUCCUUCUACAAUUCACCAUUCUGAAUAUUGGGUUCCAUCUGAAUCGCACAUCUCUACUUCGAAUCUAACUAUAAGGUUGAAAAGCGCAUAUUGAGACUUCUAUCCUCAAUAAACGACAAACAAACAAGCACAGAGAAGAAAACACAAAAUGACCGCGAAUCUGUAUAACCACAUAGCUUUGAAAGAAAAACAGAAAGACGCAUUACCCACAUCCGCGAAUUUCGUAACAACCAAUGGAUGCUACGCCCCAUACUUAAGGAACACCACUCAAAAAAAAGAAAAACGGAUACAAAAAAGCUAGGAAAAAGACACACGCGAACGAACGCCGCCAGAAUACACUCUGAAUACAGGCCUCAACACUAAGACCCGUUUGCUCCCAUACCCAUAAUCCAAUUCUUGCAAUCUUAUUCAUCGCGAGAAAGCUAGGGAACAAAACGCAUACAAAAGCUUACCCGCUUCCCGCCGCGCCCCAAGGUGACAGUCACUCGUGGAUGAGACAUCAAAUACGACCCCGCGCACGCCUCUGCCCUCCCUCUUCACGCCGGGUCCUACACCAACUCCAACCUGCACAAAACCUCUUCGACUUCGUCACAACACAAACAAACCCUACCACAAUUUCACCGUACAUCCCCGACGUCUCCACUCGCCAUAAGAAGCCGAUACCCACAUCAAUACCCAAAGACCAAAUACCCCCCUCCCCCAACAAAUAAAAAAUAAAAAAAAUAAAAAACAUAGACAACAUCAUUUACCUCAUCACUAAAACAACCCAAAUCAAUUCACGCCAUAGCAACCCCGGUGUCGGUAACAAAAGCUCUCUCUUUCUCUCUCUCUCCCUCUCCGCCUUCGCAAUGGAUCGGUGACGUUCUUGAGAAAAUGCUUGUAACCCUAGUCUCUCUCUCUCUCUCACGUUGUCUCCCUCCCCCCUCCCUUGUGCGCUCAAAGCUCGAAGGCCAGCAAAACGCAAACCCUAAUACAGUAGGGUCAUGAGCACAGUGAAGAGUGAGAGCGGAUUGUUUAGUUGGGGUGGUGCUUCAGUGAUGCACCACAGCUGCGAUGCCCCCUCCCUUCCCUGAUCGUAGCUUGGGCGUAGUAGCUUAGCUUGGCUCGAUGGUUGCAAACGGAGUCGAAGAAUCCCAGCACCAAAAGAGGUCCAGAGACAGACGAUGCGGGGUGAAGGCUUCUGGCACCGUCGUCGCCAACGACCGCCUCUUCUGUCACCGCCCCGUCAACGUCGUCCGCCACAAUAAACUUCCUUCGUCAUGGUUUCGUCAACGUCGUUCGGCACGAUAAAAUUUCUUCGUUAUAUUCCGUCAACGUGACUCAGAACGAUAAACUUACUUCGUUGUGGUUUCGUCAACGUCUUCGGGUGCCCGUCGUUCGUCCUCGUCCGCGCUGCGUGGUCCUUGGCUCCAUUUCAUUUGCCACGUAGAUUCGUUGGGAACUUUUCACACUGGAAUUUGUUGCUGCCCGUUCUGUGCUCUGGGUCCUCGUUCUUUUCUCUACUUUAAAGCUUUGGAUGAACGGAUUUUUGAUGUCCUUUAAAUGGACGUAUCUCGAAUCAUGCUUGAUUUGGUUGAAUUAUUGUUUUCAUUAUUCCAAGCAUUCAAUUACACAUGUAAUAAAAUACUUUUUCCUUUUAAUUUGUCAAGCUUCCUGACCUUUUACUGAGUAUUUGAUAUAUCAAAUGUUGAGCUUCAAAACAAGAGAAAAUAUAUAUAUAUAUAUAUAUAUAUAUAUAUUGUAGAGAUGCAUGCACAACACUAACCUUUAUUGACAUUAAUCAAAAUUUGGAAAAUUUUAAGAUAAAUAUUUAAAUGUAUAAUUGUUGAAAGGUUCAUAACAAGUAUGCAUUAUAUGCAUAUGUAUGUGUAUGUUUUGUGUAUAUCCCUUAUUUUCUUUUUCUUUUUUUCAGGUGAUACUCCAACUUCAUAUUUCAAAAUUUAAUGGAAGGAAAAUUCAAAUUGUAACAAAAAAAAACUUAUAUUGUACAUAUGAAUCAUGGUGAUGGUUUUUAGAAAACCAUGACUUAGAAAAACAUGUUUCAAAAAAUAGAAUUGUAAUCAAAUUUUGAUUUUUUUAAAACAAUAAUAAGUAUAUAUAUAUAUAUAUAUAUAUAACAAAACAAAACAAAAACAAAAACAAACAAACAACAAUGGAAGUAUCAACAACAAAAUCAAAGUGCACCACAAGUUUAUAUUGUGGAAAUCUUUGAAACAGUUGUGAAAAAGCCCACCUUGUUAUUCAACAUGGCAAGUUUAUAUGAUAUUGGCGUUUCUGCUGUGAUCAAUUGUACCAUCAUGUCAUUGCUUUUUAUUUUUUUCCUUGUUUUCAACAUUCAACCAUUAAAUGAUCGUGUCUAUCAUCCAAAGUUGUAUAUGAAAGACGCUCAAAGAAAAGGGAGCCCAUCAAGCAGAUCAAGUCAUCCAAAGAUGGAUCAAUAUUUUGAAACCAAAUGUCUACCAUACCUUCAAUCUUUUGCGUGGAUUGUAGAAGCUUUCCGCAUGUCUGAACAUCAAAUCAUUGAUCACGCAGGAUUAGAUGCUGCUAUUUUUUUACGUAACAUCCAAGUUGGGUAAAUUCAUUACUUGCAUGUACCAAAUACUUUAGUUCUCAAGUUAAACAAAUUGCAUGAUUUUUUAGGUUAUAUACAUACUUCACAUAUAGUUAUUGAGAGCAUUAAUGUUAGGAACCUAUGUCUUUAUUUUUAUUCUUAUUUUUUUAAAUUAUUUUAAAAUAUGAAUUGGAGAAUACCACCUUUGAAUUUUUUUUGAAUUAGGAAAAAUUAAUUAGUAAUAAUUUUAUUGAUUUUAAAAAAAUAAGUAUAAAAUUUGAUUGAAGCCUAUCUAAUUAGAGUACAAAAACAACAAUUAUGCUAGAUUCAAUCCAGAACCAAAACCCAGAAAUAAAAAUUAUGCUACAAACCUAUUUAUUAAACCCAUUUCUCAAAACAUACAAAAAUAAAUAUUGGAUUGAUUUUUCAGACUAAAUUGAAAUUAAAUUUAAAUAUAUGCAUACUUUUAAAUUCAGAUUAAAAAUAUUUAUUCCUUUAAUGACUGUGGGGCUAUCAACUAUUGUGACAAUCAACGUUGGGGGUGGUUAUUUAAAGAGUUUGGAUCAUGGAAAAGUUGCAAACAUCAACAACACACUUAAUUCAUCACCCACAAAUUCAUUAUUAUUCACUGAUAUUGAUAAACUUUCUAUAGCAAAUGUGCCAAGUGGAUCCAGUAGGUAAGUUUCAUUUUAUGAACAUAAUUAUAUUUGUAACCUGAAAUAAUUUAAUAUAUAGAAACUCAGCUUUGGUUAUGCUUUCCAAAUUAAUAUUAUGAGAGCAAAAUUACUAGGUUGUAUUGUUAUGAAUUUUCAAGAAAUGUAUGAAAUUUGAUAAUUUGAGGAUGUUAUUUAUCUCAAAUAAGAUUUACAAACAUAUAUAUAAGCUAAAUAAAAUCCUCAAAUAUAUAUGUGCACACACACACACACACAUAUAUAUAUAUAUAUAUAUAUAUAUAAUCUAUAUAUAUAUAUAUAUAUAUAUAUACAUAUAUAUAUUAUAUAUAUUAGGAAUAAUUGACUCACAAUGAAAGUAUUUUGUAGAUUGUGGACACAUCUUGUCAUGGCUUAUGUAUUCACAGCUUGGACUUGUGUGGUUCUGUAUAAUGAGUAUAAAACAAUAUCACUUAUGAGAUUGGAAUUUCUACGCAGUGCUCGUCGACAAGCAAAUCAGUUCACGGUGACAAAUUUAACAACAUUUAAAUCUACCAGCUUUUUACCAGCAUUUUAUUUUGAUGAUGCAUAUUCUUGAAAAAAAUAGCAUAUUUUAUUUUGUAAUAAAAUCAUAAAUAACAUCACUUGGAUUGAAAAUGAUAAUGAAAAUUAAAUUAAUUUGAUUAUGAAAGUAGGAAGAUCAUUGUUUUUUUCUACAAGUUUUAAAAUACAAAUUAACAGAAGUCUACUAUAAUCACAUAUGAACAAAUGUAGGUACUUGUUCAUCAAGUCCCUAAAUCAACUGUAGAAUCUAUAAAUAUUCAAGUCCAAAAAUACUUCCGAGCAAAUCAUCCUGAUUUUUAUCUUUCUCACCAGGUGCAUAUAUAUAGAUAUAGAUAUACACAUGUAUAUACACAACUAUACUUAUUCUCUUUUAUUUUGUAUUAAUUUCAACCUUUGAUUCAUGUUUAAUAAUUUUAGUUUAUUGUAUGCAUGAUAGGCAGCUAGUCUACAAUGCAAACCGUUUGGCUAAUAUUGUCAAAAGACGAAAAAACAAAGAAAACUGGUUAUCAUAUUGGCAUUUGAGAUUUAAGGCAUCAAAUGAGAGACCAAUGACAAGGGUGCAACACCUCAAAAAAAUGAUGUUGUCAUUAUUUUUAAUACUUUAUAAAAAAAAAAUAAUAAUAAAAAAUAAUAAUAAUAAAAAAAAAAAAAACAACAACAACAAAAACAAAAACAAUUAUAUUUCAAUUUUCAUUUCCGUUUUAUUUAUUAUUUUAUUAUUUUAAACUCAUUAAAAAAAUUCAGAACUUAUGUGUUACAUAAUACAUAUCAUGCAUUCAUUUUAAAAUAAUUUCUAUUUGAUAUUUAUCAAUGUAUGGGUAGUUGAUCUCCCAUCUUUUAAUGCCGUGUGUUUACAGCGUUAUGGAUGUGGAAUGUGUGGAACAAUGGUUGAUGCCAUAAAUCUAUACACCACCAAGAUUGAAAAAUUAAACAAAAAGGUAUCAAGCCAGCACCCAAUAAAUUGAAGCCCAUGCCAUACAUUCAGUCAAAAUGCUAGCAAAAACCAAACAAAACAACCCAAAACUUCAAAUGAAUCAAACAUGAAAUCAUACCAAAGAGCCAAAAAACUAAAACAACUAUUAGAUGAAAUAUAGAGCAAAUAUAUUUAAUCAAUUAGUUUACUUUUAAAUGUAACAAUAGGCAGAACUUGAAAGAGUGGCGGUUCUUCAAGACGCAUCAAGCACCAUGCCAUCCGCAUUUGUGUCAUUCAAGACUCGAUGGGGAGCGGCAGUUUGUGCGCAAACCCAACAAAGCUUUGAUCCCACCAAGUGGAUCACAGCGUGGGCUCCCGAGCCCCGUGACAUCUAUUGGCCAAACUUGGCUAUUCCGUACAUCAAGUUGGCUUGCCGAAGGGUGUGUGUGGGCAUUUGUUUGUUUGUGUUGGUGUUUUGUUUCAUGAUUCCAAUCACAAUUGUGCAAUCAUUUGCAAGCAUUCAAGGGCUUCGGACUCAAUUUCCUCAACUUGAGAAAGUACUCAAAAUGUAUAUAUUACCAACCUAUCUUGAUCAUGUGCAUAUGUAAUACAUGUGUAUAUGAAAUCAUUUAUGUUUUACAACUUGUUCUAAAAAUGAAAUACUGGGGGAGGUUGAUGGAUCUUUUAGAACGUAUUUUGCAUCAUUUGUUCAAGGAUAUUUACCCGGAGUCAUUUUGAAGUUUUUUAUGAAGUUGGUGCCAUAUAUGGUUCGAGGUUUAACAAUCUUUGAAGGCCAUUCUUCCUUUUCUAGACUUGAUCAGCAAGGAGCAAUGAAAUAUUAUUAUUUCAUGGUGGUUAAUGUGUUUUUUGGAAGCAUGCUUACAGGGUCUGCAUUGGAACAACUUCAAUCCUUCUUAAAUUCAUCAUCUGUUGUUCAGUGAGUUUUCAUUUACUUUUUUUUUUUUUUCUCUUCUUUUUAUUAAGAAACUACAUUGAAAAAAUAAAAUAAAAUAAAAAUAAAAAUAAAAUAAAAAUACCACAUCAUCAAAUUCAACCAUAUGAUUACUCUGCAUAACAUUCUUAAUACAAAAAAAAAAAAAAUAAUAAAAAAAAAUAGCAAUCUAGAAAAUUUCAAAUUUUCAUCUAUGAAUAUAUAUAUAUAUAUAUAUAUAUGUUACUUUUCUUAAACUCCAACAUUUUGAAGAAAUUUAAAAAGACAAGAUAGACAAAGGUGAGGAGACACUCAAAUCUUUAAACAAAAUACUUUGUGGGCAUUGAAUUGAAUAGGUUUUUGAAAACUCUCGCAUAUACGAUUCCCAUGAAAGCAACAUUUUUCAUAACGUUUAUCAUGGUGGAUGGUUGGGCUGGGGCCGCAUCAGAAAUUUUGCGUCCGUGGGGUUUGUUGUCCUACCACAUACAGAAUGCAUUUUUUGUUCAUACUGAGAUGGACAAGGUUCGGGCUAUGGAUCCAGGUCCUAUUAUAUAUUACGUCAACUUGGCACAACUCCAACUCUAUUUUCUCAUGGGAUUAGUAUAUUCAGUUAUAACUCCCAUUAUAUUACCGUUUGUUGUUGUAACAUUUGCCAUAAAUUAUGUUGUUUACCGGCAUCAGGUAUACUCCACAAUUCUAUUACAAUUGUCCCACCAUUGCUUGUUUGUUUUGUUUUUUUGUUUUUUGUGUGUGUUUAAAACUAUUGUAUCUUUUGUAAUAAUGAAAUAAUAAUUAUCAUUGUAUAUUAUAACACAACACAUUCUAAAGUUCCAACAUGAUGAAGUCUCUAUUGAUAAAUGUUUUGUUUCUUAAGAAGUAAUAAAGUGAUUAGUUUUGAUAUUCAAUUUUUAAAAAUUCAAACUUGUUAAGUGGCCAUAUUUACAAUUUAAUAAAUUGGUGUUUUCUUAAUUAGUAUUGUAUGGUAUAAAGCAUUGUGUCAAACAUUAUACUUAGGUGAUCCAUGUUUAUGAGGCCGCCUAUGAAAGUGCGGGGUCAUUUUGGCCUUUUGUUCAUGGACGAAUCAUAGUUGCACUUUACAUUGAACAAUUAAUGUUGAUUGGAUUAUUUCUUGUUCAAGGACCCAUUACAUUUAAAACUAUACAUGUCAGUGAUGACGAUUCACUAAAAGAAAAGGCUUUGAAAUUUUGCCAACAAGCAAUGAGUUCCACACCUUUUGUUGUUGCUUUGCCAAUAUUUACAUAUAUUUUUCACCGAUAUUGUAAAACCCGAUUUGAACCAUGCUUCCUAAAAUUCCCUUUGGAGGUAAAUAUCAUGCUAUUACAUAAAUAUUCAUUUGAAGCUUAUAUUGAACAUAUGAAGAAUGUGUGUAGAUAUAUAUAUAUAUAUAUAUAUAUAUACACAUUCAUACACAAAACAUAUGAUUCUAAAUUGUGCAGCAUGCAAGUAAAAAAGACAUGGAUGAUAGAACUAGAGAUCCCAACUUCAACAUGUCAGAAUUUAUCCAAAAUUCCUACAAACAUCCAGAUUUUUUGGAUGAAAGGGUUCUACAAGAGAUUAGAAAAGAAACUCAACUGCCCACAAAAAUUCAGACCAAACCCCAAAAACACAAAAAUGAGAUGUUGGACAACACAGUUGACAUUCCCAACAUGGUAGAGGGCACGUUUGUUUGCAACAACAAAUUCAUCUCUUGAAUAAAUUUAACUAAAAAUAAUGUGUAAUUAUUUCCUUGAUAUGAUAAAAAUAUUGAAUGUUUAAAAUUACUAAGUCCAUAGUAUUUGUCACUUCAUGCAAAUAGGCAUGUAGUGUAUUUUUACUUCUAUCCAAACAUAUCACGGCAAUGAAUGUUUAAUUUGAGGUUUUGUUCCACUCAUGAUAAAAAAAACUUAAUAACCUACAAAAUAAAUUGGAAAAUUAGUAUGUCUAGGCUUAUAUUUCAAUUUUAUUAUGCUGUUAGUAAUAUAAAAGUGGAGUAUAAAUUGGUGUUUUGUUGUAUGAUUUUUGCACCAAAAUUGACAUAUUUAUUACUCAUUAUAUAUUUAAAUUCCAUCCUCAUCUCUUGAUGAUUACGUUGUAUCCACAAGCAUAAAUGAAGGCAUAUACAUUAUUAUGCACUGACAUUGCUGUUGUAAAUAUCAAAAUUUGAUUUUACAACUAAAUUUGAUAAUUUAUAAUUUCUAAACGCAUUUUAUUUAUUACAAACUUUAUUUUUGACAGUAAAAACAGAUAUGUAUAAAUCACAAUUCAAAUUAUAACUAGAUCAACUUAAAUUUUUGUUAUAUUAGAGAACAUAUAUGUAUAUAUAUAUAUUUGAAAACUAUAAAGUAAUCUUGUUAAAACACUCAGUAAAAAACACAAAUAAUUAAAUAAAUAAUAAAGUAAGAAAGAAAUUAAUCAGGCUAUCAAUUAACAUCUAAUCAACUAUUAUUCUUAAUGCUUGUUGCAACAAAUGACAAAAUAUUGAAUAUUUCAAAAUCCUGAUUAAAUAGGAAGAUGAUGCAUCUUUUGUGCAAAUGAAAAACAUGGAUGUUUCACUUUCAAUAUUUGAAAAUAAAUCAGAAAAUCUGAGUACAUUUGAUUCAAGAACUACAGUUUCCUCAAGUAAAGACAUUCUGUCAAAUGUUGAUCCAAAUAUAGAUAAUAUAUUAAUACAAAGUAGUAAUUCUUCUAAACAUAUUGUAAUUAUUAAAUAAAUGAAAAAAAAAAUCAAGUAUCACAUGAAGAAUUUGAAAUUAUUGUAGAUAAUGCAAGUGCUUCCACGUCAUUGCAAAUAGAAGAACUAAACUCAACAAUUCAAAACAUAGUUCAAGAAAUAUAUGAACCAAAUGAAAUAAUACAACCAAAUACACAACCAAAUGAAAUAAUACAAAGUUAUCAACCAAUACCAAGAAUAACAAGAGUUUUACCUAAUUAUGAAAAGCCUUUGAAAAGAAAAAUAUGAAAGCAAUAAAAUAAUCAAAUAAAUAAACGUGGUCAGCAUGCACAGUUCGUUUAGUUUCAUUUGACUUUCAACUAUAUUCAACGGUUAUUUAUAUGUAAAUAGAAUAGUAUGGAACAAGUGAUUCUUUGUAAAUAUGUAUAUAACUUAAUACAUAUUUAUUAAAUAUCUGUUUUCAUUUUUAACAUUCUUUCUCGUUUUUGAACGUAUAAUGUAGGCAUUUUUGUUCUUUAAGGUUAUUUUUAAAUGUUAUCACUUUCUUAAGGUUAAAAUAUAUAUAUAUAUAUAUAUAUAUAUAUAUAUAUAUUAUGAUUAUAUGUGUUUUUAAAGAAGUGUACCUUUUUUAACUCCAAACUCUCAACGUCAAACAGACAUUAUUAAUAUUUAUAAAUACCUUAUUUAAUUUUCUUUUAAAAUAAAUAUAUACACAUUUCCAAGUUUAAAAGUUGAUUUUUUAUUUUUAUUUUUAUCAUUGGCAUUAAUAACUAUAAUGCAUUCAAUCGUUUUUAUUAAAAUUUAAAAUAAGCAUUAUUUUUUUCUAUCUACUUAUUCGAAUGUUUUUAGGCUAAAAAAGAAAGCAAACAAUUUUCACUGUUGUGCAUAACAAUGAAAAAUAUGUAUGUUUUUGAGUUUGUAUAUGUAUGUAUAUGUAUAUGUAUAUAUAUAUAUAUAUACAUAUAUAUGCAUUCAUACACCAAAGUAGCCAAUUCCAACUGUUGUAUUUUUUUAUAUAGUUUUAAUUUUAUUUACUUUUAGACAUAAAAAAAAUAUAUAUAUAUAUAUAUAUAUAUAUACAAGUAUAUAUAUGAUUUUAGUGUUUUUCUAUCUUAUUUCCAUUCAAAAGUUCAAAUGGUACCUAAAACCAUUAAAGUUAUUAUUAUGACGAUUUUCUUUUUUAUAUCUUUAUUACUUGUAACUCCACUCAUUCUAUGUUAUAAUCUAUAUCAGAACUUGCAAUUUUGUUGUUGAAUAAUUUCAAAGAAAAAAAGAAAACAACUUGAAGAAAUUUUCAAAAUUUUAAAGAAAUUUAGCAACUAUGUGCAUUAUAAGCCACAGAAAAUAAGAUUUUUUUUUGUUGUUGAACAAAAAUAUCUGAAAACAAAUAUAGAGCUCAACUUAGUCUUCAAAGUGAUAAUGUAAUUAGCUAUACAAAAUUUCAUUCUCAUAACAAAUUUUAAAGAUUAUCCAAGUAAUAUAGAAGUAAUUUGAAAUAAUAAAUAAAUAAAUAAAUAAAUAAAUAACAAUGGAGAUCUUUCUCAAAUCAUAACAUUAUGUCUGUGAAACAAUUCAACUUUGGAUAAGUGAAUUGAGAAAUACCUUAGUAAAUAAACAAUCUCAUAAAAUAUUAACUAUUACAUUUCAUAAUAUAUUUUGGUAAAUUAUAACCUACUAAUAAUCCAAAUCCAUACACAAUAUCUACAAAUAAAACUACUUUCAUAUCAAUUUACAUCAACAUACACUCUACCAUAUGAACUCGCAAUCUAUGCACUAAUACACACCUUAACUUCCACACCCACACAUAUCACACAUCCAUGAUAUGAAAUCACAACAAUGCAAAAUUCAUAUUAAAUGUUCUAAUAAGCUUUUAUUUACCAUAUACAACUCAAAAUAAUCAACCAUAUUUAUUUAUUUAUUUUCUUCUACUAUAGUGGAUGAUAUUGUCAUUCACAUCAAUAUUGACCUUUGUUCCAAUGAUCACUCAAACACAUGUCACGACCACGUUUAAUUUCUAUUCAUAGUGGGUCACAUGUAAUUCCUUUCACUUUGUAGUGCUUUAAUUGUAUUUUAAAAGACUUUAUUACACUAUCAAAUUGUUAUGAUAAUAUAUCAACAUUGCCAACGAUAUAGUACCAGAUAUCUUUUUAGGGUUUUGGGAGCCCAUGUGGUGCUUUCGCACGAGCCUUUAGAUUUUUAUGCUUGGCUGCAGUAGACUUUGUCGCAAAAUCUUCUUCAUGGCGUCGUUGCGUUACUGGGUGUGUGUGCGUGGGUCUUGCAGACGCUCAAUUAUCGGUACGCGCACCGUGUGUGAUUUCUAAUAAUAUCCUCGACGGUGCGAUAGAAGUGUGUACAAAAGCAAUUCGCGGUGAGAUCGCUACGAGGGAAGAACCUGAAGCUGUCGUGAAGAAGAAGUGAGAUAGAAUUGCCGUGUUUUUGAUCGUUUGCAGAGUUUCCAGCUUGAUUCGUGCGGUGGCGGGUGUGGAGGGCGGUGUUGGUGAGUGAAGGGAGGACCGAUCGAUCUCGUCAUGGGUGAUAAUCUCCAAGCUUCGAACUCAUCGGAAGGCGGGCUCGACCAGCUCCCUUUGAAUUGCUUAGGUACCAUCCUCUCGUUCUUGACUCCUCGAGAGGUUGAGAUAGCGGCGUACGUGUGCCGCUCCUUUCGUGAGGCUUCUAAAUGGAACUUUGUUUGGGAGAAGAUGCUGCCUCCAAGGUACGAGCAAUUGGCGGCACUUGAUCCGGCGUUUGAUGCGACAAGAUUUAGAGACCUGAGAGAAUUCUACUUCCAUCUCUGCCAAUUCUCGUUAUUUGCAAACAGCACGAAGGUGUGCCGCAUUUCCUUUUGUUGCUUGCUUUCCAGGUCUUGGAGCUAUUUUUUUCCCCCCCCGCUUCUAAACCUGGUCGUAAUCGUUUACCUCCUAAUCCCGUCUCUUUCCCGUGACUAGGGUUUCUGGUUAGACCGCAAUACCGGAGGGGCAUGCUUGGGUAUUGGAGCAAGGGGGCUUGACAUCACCUGGGGCAAUGAUUUACGUUAUUGGAAACUUACAACUAAAGAAGAUUCCUUGUCAGUGCAUCCUACCUUCAAGCUACCACACCAUGGAAGUGAUUCUUUGUGUAGAUGUGAGGUUACUUAAUGCAACAGCCGAGUGUAGAGUUCGAAUAACGACGUAUAUUUUUAGCAGCUUGCUUAUCCAAGCUUAGCAUGCACUGGAACAUUCAUUCAGUGCUUUGCGCUUCAUUUGCAGUCGGCAUUUGUAGUUUUUUGCUUCUCAUGUUUGCUUCUCAUGUUUGCUUCUCUAUUGGAAUGAUUGAAGCAGGUUUCCAGAGGUCGCACAAUUGGAAUCUGUGUGCUGGUUCGAAGUGAAAGGGGAAAUUCAGUGUUCACUUCCGCCGGGGGAUUACACGCUUUCAUGGCGCUUGUUUCUGGUGGAGGCGUAUAGUUGGGAAUCAGAACCCGUACACUUCACUCUCUCAAAGGACGGGUUGCAACACAUCGAGAGUAAGUGCUAUUUGACUGAGUUACCAGGAGAAGUGCCUGGGUUUAGAGUACCGACAAAACGGCAAUUGGACGAUGGUUGGGUGGAAUACGACGUCGGGGAGUUUACUGUUGGAAGUGACGAGAAAAAUUGUGCAGUCAGAUUUGCAAUGGUAGCUAUUGAGAAGCUCUACUGGAAGUAUGGCAUUUGCUUGGACGGCGCUGUCAUCCGCCCAACAAAUCUGAAGGCAGCAACACGUGUGAAUGACGAUGAACAGACAGUACACGAAGCUGAGCAGAUGCGAUGUCAACAAGACAUUCCAGAAUAUUGUUAACUAGUUUAGCUUAUCACUUAAAAAAUGAAUGCAAGUUGUUAUAGAUUCGUGGAAUUUACAGCUUUCACAGACCGCCUUGUAAACACCCAUCCUAACUGCCCUCGAUUUCCAAACCUUCUGUGGCUUUCGAAAGGCUUGAUCGCACUUUGGGAGUAACCAGCCACAGAGACUCUUUUCCUCUUCCUUGACCAACUCGCACCAUUGUCCCACCCGCAAAAUAGUUUCUUCACACAAAUUGCACAUCUUCGUGGUCCUUUGCUCAAUUCCCACAAAUAAACCCUUAUUUCAUGAAAGGUCGUUAUGCAGAUGACCGUCACCGCCAGUUUUCAUCUCUUACAGUGGAGAAAUUAUCAAUAACUGAACACUCUUGGUACCUAAGCCUCGCGAGAGGAGUUGACAAAAGUUUAAACUUCGACGCUCAGACGCCUUAUCUUAACGAGCCCUCCAACUAAUGAAAAGCAGAAAAAUCUGCAGCGCCACUACAAAAAAUCAACUGGCCCUAAGCAACUGCCUCAGAGAGAAUACAAUCACCAAAAAGAUAGACUGGAAUACAAUCCCGCAGAGAUGAUUAAAAAUUCGAAAAGAGUAAAACAUAAUCUAAAUUCAAAAAAUACAAACAAAUUUAGAAACAAUGACAGCUACGCAAACUGAAGGAAACAGAAAUUCGUACGCAUGAGUAACCAGACAAAGCACUUGCUGCCUGAAAGUAAACCCCCAUGGGACUGUCAAAGGGUCCUCGUACCCAAAAGGGCUUUCUCCCGAAAAAUCACCUCCACAAAUGCUGUGUAAUCAUACAUUUUCCCAGAAUUAAUGUAUAUAACACCCUCCUAUUCCAAUAAGCAAGGCUCAUAUAACAGCAAUGAAAAUAAUCAACGAUACAAAAGUCAACAUAAUUCGGAAAACAAUCCACGAAUUAAACAAGUAAAGCCUGUACAUGAGCAUGGCAGGGAAACAUAAUUGACAAGGACGAUACCAAAAGACUAGACCAUCAACCGACAGCUAAUGUGUACAAAAUUCAAAAAGAGGUAGAACCUGCGCCAUCAAUCUCAGCAGCGAACAUAUCGACAUGGAAAUGACCAUAAAAUAUCAAGUUCACCAGCCAAACAACUAAAAAAAAAAAAAAAAAAAAAAAAAAAAAUCAUCCUUCCAAAGGACCAUCAUCAAAACAAUAAAAAGAAAAUAACAUCCCAGAGACAAACGCCAAAACAAACCAUGCGCAGUGAAAACAUGAUAUUCAGUAGUAGAAUAAGAGACAUAUCCCACAUCUUACCUAACAAACAUUCAAAACAUCAAAAACGAAUUCAUUUAAAAAAUCAUCGCGACCACCUCGAAAUCGAACACACACGAAAUCCACACCAAGGAUUUCACCACAUACACUCAGAAAAACCAUAAAAAGCUCCUCUCCACCAAGGACGGUGGGAACACGGCCUCCCACGCCGAUUACCUGCACUGCUCACCACCACACCGCACAACUUCCCCCUCGUCGUUAUCACCAUGUCCCACAAUCACAUACCCCAAUGCUUCAUCCCCCCCCCACCCCUCUGUACACCCAUCCACUGCUGUAAUAUGCACCGUCGGUGGGGGCUCGCCACCCCGCACCUCUCAUUUCAUUACGCCAUUUCUUUCUUUUCGAAAAAAGGUCUCACCCACGUAAUGGAGCCAAAAUACAAAUACAAAAAGGGCACAAAUCAACCUGGGCACAAUCAAACCCCACGUCCCCACCAAGCCUGCACAUAUGUCACGCUGUCAUAUCUCCUCCUCGCUCGCUCGCUCGCUCUGCUGCGUCUGUCUGUCCUCCGUUCCUACUACCUCGCCUCCUGCUCCUACUACUCCCUACCUGUCGUCUUCCCCGUCCCCGUCCCCGUCGUCGUCUGACUUAUCUAAAUCCACGUCCGAGCCACCGCCUCCCCCCCUGCCUCCGCCGUUGCCCUCCGACCCCUCAUGAUCGUCUCUUCUGUCCCCACCCGUAUCCUCCUCCUCGCUCUCCUCCUCUCGCCUGCCCCCACCCGUCUCUUGCACACUACGAUGACCCCCCUUCUCUAGACCCACAGACUGAACGGGAGAGUCCACUACCUGAACUCUCUCCUCCUCACUCCCGCCGCCGCCGCCGCCGCCACCGCCGUCCCCGCUGAAGUCUGACACGAUCGCCAGCGCCUUCCGCAGCAUCUCCUCGUAUUCCUUCGCCGCCCGCCUCCCGCUCUCCAGCUUCUCGAAGUCCUCCUCAUGCUCCAGCGCGUCCAUCUGCUUCACGAACGCCGCCGUGUCCGGGUACAGUAUGUGCGUCCUCCGAUCGCCCUUCUCCGUCCCGUUCCUGUCCGCCUCCACCGCACCCCCGCCGCCAACUCCACCUCCUCCUCUCCACCCUCGAGACUGCGGCGUCGCUGCCAUCGCGCCCUUCUCGUGCGAAGCCCCCGACCCCGGCGGCCUCCCCCUCUGCCCGCUCCCCUUCGGCCUUCCCACCACGCCCCCGUAUCCCCCCCGACCCCGCUUCACCCCCCGCCCCGCGCCCCGCUCCGCCGGGAUCAGCGGCGGCACCUUCCCCUCCAAAAUCAUCACCGGGUCCGCCCGCGAGUCCAGCCACUGCACGUCGUUCUUGUCCAUCCCCUUCAGGUCCACCCACUCGAAGCUCUCGUCCGGAGUCCCGCUGUCGUACGCCAGACAAUGCAGCAUCUCCUCCCUGUUGAAGUCCACCACCACCGCCUCGUAGUGUAUGUUGUCGUCCGGCCACCGUAUCCGCAGCCUCCGCCCCACCCACGCCUCCACGCGCGAGUCCGUCGACGGCCCUGCGCCCUUGUGGUUGCUCCAUGGUGCCGCCCCCCUCCCGCCCCCCAGCCCCCCUGCUGCUCCUCCUCGCCCUACCCCGCCACCUCCACCUCCACCUCCACCCCCCGCCGCCCCCCUCCCCGGCACCCCGCCCGCCUCCGUCACGCCUUUGCUCCGCGACUUCUUCCCGCUCGACGGCCCUCGUCCCCCUGACGCCGACGGCAGCGCCAAGUGCGGUGCCGCCUUCAGCAAGGGAGCGGGCGGAGGCAGAAUCGGUCCCGCGUGCCCUACCUUCUGCUUCUUCCUGUUCUGCGACACCGAGGGACUCGGCGACGGCUCCCGAUGAUGCGCAACCAUUCCAGGAUCCUCCCCUGUCUGCCUCCACGUCCGUAUCCUCUGCAGUGUCUCGUCCUGCCCCACCUUCCCCAGCAUCUCCCUGUGCUGCUCAUCCGCCACCCGAAGCUCCUUCCUCAUGUCCGACAUCAGCCCCUCCUUUGACCAUGUGAUCACCUCCGAUUGCGCGCUGAAUGCCCGAAGCAGAGACAGAUACGCAUCCAGCUCUAGCUGCCGGAUCUGCUGCUCGAUGUGGAACGAGCUCGACGGCUUCCCGUUCCCGCUCGGCCGACCCUUCGCACGGGCCACCCCCGACGACCGCAUCACCUGCGUCGGAGGGAGGUCGUCAUCGUCGGUCCCAUCGCUGUCCGACUGGUUGUACACCAUUAUGCCACCUCCUCCCCGACCUCACUCACCUCACCUCCUUGCGUCCACCUGCAAUCCCCCGCAGCGCCCUCGAUCGCUCACUCACUCACCGGGACCCCUCACCGCACGCGACAACACCAUCAAACCCUGAAACACACAUCACACCACCUGUGAGCACCACUCGCUGCGCCACGUCCUCCGAACCGGCGACCCUCAUGCCCCGCCCAAAUUCCCAUCCCCCAUACUCUCUCCGUCGUCUCCCGCUCACAAAUUCCUAAUGCAAUUCCUCCUGAAUCCUGAUCGUACCCGACCCUUCAUAACUCCACCAUCGGCCCCUUUCUCCCCCCGACCACACCGCCGCGACCGCGUUCUGCUACUCCCUUGCCAUUGCCGUCCCACGCCCGAUCUCCCAGAAAUCACUGCAACCUCACACCCUCAUACACCUUCCUGUCGCACUCAAACAUCUACCGCCUACCACAGCCGCUGCCUCGUACCCCGCUUUCACGACACCCACAUGUUCCGGGUCGUCCCCGCAAAGUGUACAUACACAACAACCAGCACAAACGCGCAGAACACGAAAAAAGAAGAAAGAAAAAACGCCCUCAGCUAACCAGUGCUGCGAAACAUGCACCAAAACGCACAUCCUUGGAAACUCCGCCUCCAAACUCUUCUUUUCUGCAAGCUAGCCCGAGAGAAACCAAAAGAGAAGGACAAAAAUGUGAGGCCUAGGGUUUCGUACCUCCAAAGAUCGUCACCACUCCGGAGCGCCACGGACCCCGUGCCCGCCUGCUGCUCACAGCUAGCGCCAGCAAAGCAUCGAACACAGAGCAAGGGGCUCCUCUUGAGAACGAACGCCGAGCACAACCCACUCAUGGAGCGCAGGGAAAAACUCACAGCGCAGAGCUACGGCGGAACUGCAGAUAGCGGGAGGUCGUUCGUUCGUAGUGGUUGUAGAUGAUCCUAAGAAAUCCAAGUGCUGCUACCAUCACACCGAGGUAGAAAGCUAAGGGUGACGGUGAUGGCUAGGGCAGAGCAGCAUUGCAGACGAUGUCGCAAAACGUGCGUCGCAGCGCCGGGCUGGUCCGCCAUUGUUGCUCCUUUUCCAGCUCGCUCUCUCUCGGACCUCGUCUCGUCCUCCUCCUCCUGCGCAUCCCGCCCUUCUUCCCUCCCUCUGUUGCUGUUUGUAAAGCUCUUUCGAGUGGAGAGGGUGGUUACCGGUUUGCCGGUUUGCGUAGCACGCGUGUUUCCGGGUUCCACAUUCAUCCAUUUGAUGAUUUGAGUCGCUGUUGAGGGGUUUUUCGUGGAUGAGAAUGGAUUCUGUCUUCGUUUGGAAGUGAAACCAUGUUCGCCCCCCUCGUCGGCGCUUUCAGGUACCCGUCUUUAAAUUGCCGCUUUCUAACCAUUUUCUGAAUGAGCAUGGUUUACAAAUAUAUAUUUAUAUAUGUUUGUAUUUAGAUGUUUGUUAUGCUUCAUAUUUGCAUCUAUGAAGUCGGGUCGUAUGCAUGAAUUUAAUGUGGUUUGCCAUGUGAUUGUUUUCGUACUAUUGCCUGUAUAAUACGUUCCUCGUAUUGUAUUGGAGAAAGAGUUCGACAUAACCUAUCUGCACUGUUGCUGAGUAUACUGGAAAAUUUAAUUGAGAUUGCACUGUUGAUUGUUUGAAGAGUGUUCAAAUGCAAAGGAUUGUUAAAUAAGUGUUAGCAACGUCAGGUUGUUCUUUUCUAUUGUAUUUGAUAAGUGUAAAGUGUAAAUAAACACAUGAAUAAAUUAGGCGAUAAUACUUAUUUCGUUUGUUUGAAUGCGUAAAUAAUUUAUUUCAGAGCUCAUGGUAACUUCUACAACUUGUGUACCUUUACAUGCAUAUUUGGAAUAUUUGCCAAAAUAUCUUGAUAGAGUAUUUGCUUCAAAACGAUUUUUGUGCAUAAUGCUUGGUAUAAUCUACGUACCAUGUAUGCACAAUCAGUCUUUUUUCACAAAUUUUUGCAGGAUCAAAGAAACUGAACCAAGUAUUCAUCAAUUAAUUUUAUCUAAAUACCAUUUUUUGCAAAUCACAGAAUUAUAUAUUUUGAAUAAGUCUUUACUCGUUCUAAUCUAGAAUAUAUGGAAUUUCAUUAAUAUCAUUAACAUGAUAUAUUAAUUGUGUCAUUAUGGGGCGUUCAUGCAUACAUUAUACAAGCUUUAAAUUACUUGAUAUAAUAUGCAUAUACAAAUGUACACGAGACAUUAAAUUGUUUAACAGCUUUUGGCUGAUUUUUACAUUAAAUACAUCACAUCAUUUUAAUGUAUUACACAGUUUAAAAAGUUGACAUUUUAUUUAAGAUGCUGUAAUACACAAGUUUAAUUGGAAAAUAUCAAAUUAAUUGUUCGUUUUCUAUUAAAGACGAUUUUAAACAUGAAGCAAUUUAUUAAAUAACAGUUCCAGACAAUAUGGUUUUUAGUGUGUUUUGUUUCCUCUUCUUUAUAUUUAUUGCAAAAUUAAGUUUUGCUUGCUUUGAAGUUACUUUAAACUUGUAAUCUAAUCUUCAUAGUGUAUAAUAUUUGCUGAUACAUUUUAAUUAUCCUAUACACUCUUCUCCAUAUGAAAAUAUGGUUUGAUAGCAAACAAUGUUAAAUGAAAAUAUUCAUGUUAAUUUCCUACUUUAAUUAAGGCAGUAACUCCAGUUAAAAAGAAGCAUGUUGUAGUUGAUAAUUUUAUUUUUCAGUUUGAAACUACAAAAAAAUAACUAAUAACUAAUUUAAUCCUUAUAUAUAUAUAUAUAUAUAUAUAUGUUUAGGGUAAUUUUUUCACUGUUAAGUUUGGGGGAGUGGAAUAAUUGUAUGUAAUGUUUACGUAUUGGUCAAACAUUUACAACGCUUUUCAUCUCAUGUCACACGAGAGGAAGUAAAUAGAGAAUAAAAAAAAUUCACUUCUUAAGGUUUUCUUUGAAGUCUAAUGUUACUUUAAGUAUUGAAAUUUAAGCUAAAGUGGGGAAAUCAUAAAGUAAAAAGUUGCGAAGGUUGACGAAUGAAACAUGGGCGGAUGAAAUACAAAAUGGAUGAAAUACGAACGGAUGAGAGUCGGACGCACGAUUCCUCCACGGAGGAGGCUUGAAGGCGGAGGCUUUCGUCCCGUGGGUUGAUGAUACCACGAUUGUUCCGGACAGAACGAUCGUCGUCUGCGCAAAGAGAAACCAGGAGGAAGAGGAGGCGGGGGUUUGGAUGAUCGCGACAACUCUAAUUCAGCUCUCCUCCUCCUCGUCCUCGUAAUACAUACAUAACAGCCCGGAAAGCAUACCAUCGGGGCUAAGAGAGCUGCCGAUCGAUGUCACAGUGGACACUGCGUGUGACCUUCUCGGAGGCGCGCACAGUGGUGCGAAGCUCUGAGGCAGAGCUCCGCGUGCGGCGUCGUGGAGGACAGCCUUCUCGGGGCUUCGGGAAUAGGUUUAAGAUUCUGGUUGCUGGAAAAUCCGUUCAUUCAACAUAGUUUUUCUUCCUUUUUUUGGAUUGAGGUUAUUCUGGGAGGUGUGUGAUGGUUGUUGACGGAUCUGGUUGAAAGAGCAUCCGCUUGAGGGCCGGGUGUAGGUGUGGUGCAGGCGUGGUGUUACUGCGCCUACGGGAAGCGGUGUUUGUUUCGGGUGUGAAUAGCUCGGGCGUAGACAUGGCGCGGAGUUUGUAAACUGCGAGGACGGGAUGGAGUGGAUGUGCAGAGGCUUGUGAAGAAGGUGAGGGAGAAAAUAAGCGGUGAUGGGAUCUCCGAAGUCGUGGUCUGCCUCUAGCAGGGUCAGGCGGACGACAGCUAUGAGAUGGGCGCGGUUUUGCUACAAGGUGCUCUACGCCGUGUCGUUCUUGGCCGCAAUGUAUGCUGUGCUUGCUCAUUUCCGCUCCGCGCCUCCGAUUUCCAGCUCUGGUACAUUUCCGUCUAUUGUGAGAUUCUUGCAUCUGCAUACAAUGCUUUAGCUAUGUACGUGACGUAUUUACGUGUCGCGCGUGUUUUUGUAGAUGCGUGAAGUCUUUUUCGUGACAGAUCUGACCAGUUGUAUAGUGACUAAUGGUUCAGACGCUCGUUGGAAAAUGUACUGCUCUAAGGCCUCUAUCGAAUACUUUCUUCUCAGUUGUAGCUGCCCAUUUGUUUCUGAUCUAAUACAUGAGAGAGACGUAGAAAAUGGCUGAGGAUUAGGGACUGUUGGCUUCGCACUCCGCCAGCGAAUUUGAUUUCUCUUUGACAUGUAUUUAAACCAACGGAGACCCGUUCGGGAAAUGCACUUAUUUUCGCUUUGCACAUACAGAGGAAUCUUUAUUCGAAGCGAUUCCUUGAGAAACAAUUUUCGCCUCUGUUAUGCAAUUGUUUCUACUCAGGCGCUUUCUUGGAAUGAUCUCUUGGAUCUAUCCGUCGUCCAUGAAUACGCGCCUUUGAAAUUCCUGAAGGCAUAAUUAGCUGAGUGGACUUGCAGAUUCAGAUGAAGAGGCGCCCCCAGGACUCGAUUCGUUAGUACACAACACAACAACUAUUGUGUUAAGCCCUAUCACACGAGCAGAGCAAGAGCAGCGGCGCUGGAUAGAGAAGCCGAACUCUCUAUGUUUUGGUCUAGGCAAUGUCACCAUCUUAACUGUGACCAUAGACCUCCCAAAGGUAUUUACUCCGGUACUUUCAUCAAGAACAUGCUUACGUAAUUUAACAAAGAGAUUGACAUUGUGCAGUUUAUUUCGCAUCCAGCAGAUUCUGGUCCAAAUCACAGUUUACACCUUAAGAUUUUAUCUACCAGAAACAGUCAUUUUUAAAGUUUUUAAUUUAUUUAUUUAUUAAUUGAAAAGACCUUACAGAUUCAAUUCAGACAUUACCAAUCAAGUCACGGUUGUCAGGAAAAUGUACAGCUAAUUCUAAUUUGUGCGGCAUCUUGAGAAGUGCGUGUUUUUGGUAGGGGACAGUUUAAAGGCGCAGUUCUCUUUAUUUGGCGAAAAAUUACUCCUUCCUUUCUACGUCCAGUUGAAAGCGGUGGCAAUGACGCCUACGCAUACAUUAUGUAUGGUUUAGUUGCUAGAGCGACAGCGAGAGAAACAGAGAGCGAGAAAGUUUUAGCGUAGUGGUGGAAUUGAAGUAACUGAAUAUCAAAAAGUUGCAGGAUCUCGAUUGCCAAAGAAUCAAGCUGAGUAGAUUUGUGGAUGUGCCUAUCCUGUUGAAGACGAUUAGAGUUCGUAGGUCUUAUGGGCCGCUGACUUUGGCAGCAGGGUUGAUACCAUGAUGGCAGGCUUAUCUGGUGCAGUUGCGGAGAAAUCGGUUGUCAUACGCAUCAAUUCACGGAUACAGAUACUGUGAAGUAUCAACUACCUUGGAAUCUUCCCGCCCUCCGGCGUGGACGAAGGUGAAAGCGAUGAUGUUGUUGUUAAGCUUUACCGACAUCGUGGUCGCUAUGGAUGCAGAUGCAAUCAUCCGAAACAAUACUAUAAGGAUAGAGAGUAUCCUUGAGCUAGAAGUUUAUGAUUUGAAAGAUAAAGACGCUAUAUACACAAACGAUUUUCAGCAGGACAGGCAGAGCGAAGCCACUCCAAAGUCGUUUAUAAACACUGGUGUUUACAUUAUGCGCAACACCCCGUGGAUCAAGGUGGGUCUCUUCAAUUUCUUUAGCUUUUUAAUUGUGGAUUUUAAUUUUUAAAAUAGUCGAUGAUAAGUUCUUAUCGGUCCACGUUAGAAUUGGUUGAUACAGUUAUGUUCCUCCAGCAUCAAGGUAAGUGAUUUAUUGGUGUGUGUUCUUGAACUGUUGUAACUUCUUCCCUUCAAUAACUUGGAAAUAGUUAGUUGAAGAUUAUACAAAUUUAAUGCAGUGGAGGCAAUAUUAAAAGAAAAAGCAUCAGUCACACAGCUUGCGUACUAGAACUGUAGAACCUCUAAUGACUCGGAUUCUGCACCCUAUCACCAUGGAAGUAAGGUAUUAUAUACACAUGUAUGUGCGUGCGCCUCAUGUUAGUGAUCGGUUGUAAUGUGGACUAGAGAUGGAUCUUGAUGCUUGAGAUUUUCACUUCCAAAGAGAUCUGUUCGAUUGGAUGAUUAUUCGUAGCUACUCUGCGUAGAUUCAAUGAUGGGCCACUGUGGCUUGAGCAGGGAUUCUUGGAAUCUGUGCACAAAUUCUACCAAUCCUCCAUGUUUCAAAAGAAUUUGGAGCGUGAUGAAGUGAUGCUGUAUCGCAUGAAGAAUGCUGACGAGUUCAAUGAACAUGUUGCCAUAAUUCCAUUCAGGUUUUGUGCUUUAAUCCUACGAGUACUAUUUCUUGAUUGCGUGUAUAAAUUACUCUCCACGUGUAGUCUCUGAAUCGUUUUACUUGUUGCAGCACUUAUGUAUUUCAUAAUGCAUUAGUAAGUGCAUUUAGUGUAUUGUUGGGUGACUUUAUGGAAGACCAAGCACGCUUGUUUCUCUCAGGACCGUUGUUUACGGAAUAUGCCAGAGGACAUUGUCUCAGAAGUUUUGAUAGCUGUCUGCAGGUACAUGAAUAGUCCAGUUACACAGGAUCUGGAUAAGUAUGAAGAUGGAGACUUUGUGGCACACUAUGCAGAAGAGCACAGCCCAGAUAAAUACAGGGAACUUGCCUCGCAGCUAGCUACAAUGAAUGUGUGAACCAUGCUGGUAACCUUCACAGCACCGACAGUAUCAUGUUUUCAUCAGACGUACCAUCAUGUUGCAGUAAUUAACUGGAGAUGAGUUUAGGUCAUACGUUCGUUCCAUGCCUGAUCUCUAGCUUUCCUUAGAGGAUGGAGUUCGAACAUGCGAUUUGUAGACGAGCAGUGGUGCAGCCACCUUGCAAUUUGCUUAGAUGAGUAAAUUUCGUUCUGUUUCUCAUGAUUCUUACGCUAAAAAAAGUCACAUCUCGUAGUUCGGUUUGGUGGACAUUUGUGGGCGUUCAUUCAGUAUUCGAAGCAAGGUUCUCAAGUUGCUCCAUGCCUCGGGAUUGUGUGUGCUCAGCAGCGAAUGAAGUAUUUCAAUUUAUGAAAACAUGAAAUAACUUUGUCUCAUGACUGGCUGCCCAAAGCGAAGGUUAAACGCCAACAAGAAUUAGAGCGUUUCUUCAACUCUGGUUUUACACAACCUAUUUGUUCUCAAGAUUGUGUCGCGAGAAUUUUUAACCCGAAAGAAUAUUGUCUGGUCGAAACAACCAACCUCAUGUAGGUAUUAAUCGAUGAACGAAAUUCUUAUGUUCUACAACCUGGGUAUGAAAUAAAUGAGUAGGAUGUUUGUGCAAUUAUAUUCGUAUUGAGUACUAUCUAUGCUCUGUUAAGUAGACAGUAUAACUAGCAGAAGUGUAAAUAGCCCAUUGAUUGUAUUGUAUUAUUUGUAAUUAAAUCUUCUUCUUUGGAACUUCAAGUAUAGUGUGCAUCAGACAAGACCGAGUUAAAAGUUUCUGGUUCAUCAGUAAAUUUUACAUUUGGCAGUUGUGGCCAAAGUAAUAAUUUUGAAUUGAUUAGAAUUAGAUUGCGUUGUAUAAACAGUAGCACUUAGGUUUUGGAAUAGGAGAGAGUUGUUCUACAAAGCUAUUUUAGACGCCUAGAUGAUAACAAUAACAUAAUCUUUUAACAUGUGCUGAGAAAAAUCAAGGCAAAUCGCGUGUGUACAUUUAUAUCAAGCAUUAAAAGAUAUUAUUUGAAAUGCAGACAAUGUUCAAAUCCAUAAUGUAAGCUUAAAUAUAAUUCUUCUUCCAGAACUGUGCACAACGUGUUUGAAACAUUUAAGAUAUAAUGGCUUUUACUUUAUGUGGUCAUCUAGAUGUAAUUGACACAACAAGAACAAUCUUCAAAAGUUAAAAAUAAAUGGAGGGAAUUGUUAGGUGCACACACUCCACAAAGAAAAGCCAUUAUCUUAAUUUUUGUAGUAACUUUAAUUUUAUACAAAACGUACAUAUAUAUGAUGAUUGUCAAUAAAUAUCAAAGACAAUCUUUGGUGUCUGUAUCUCUCUCUUCGUGUGUGUGUGUAUAUAUAUAUAUAUAUAUAUAUAAGAAAAAGUUAAAAUGACCCACCCAUUUACAAAUUUGGCCUACCCUAUUGUGGAUAAAAUGAGGGUUUGGAUGAGAGCUCUUAACAAAGGAAAAUGAAUAAAGAGGGAGGACCAAGAUGGUGAAGGUUGGAAACAAGGGGAGUGUGGAUUAGCAAUAAGAGGGGUUGGGAUGAAGGACAUGAUUGUAACAAUGGAUUAUAAAGAUGAUCUAUUUCUCAAAUGAUGGUUAUGAUAGGGUGAAUUGAUUUAGUAAAUGGAUUGAUCAUUUUAAUAUUUUCUUCUACUUAUGUGAACCACAAUAUUUAAUUAUUGCUAAUUCAAUGUAAUUCAAUCUCAUCAUAUGUUUCAUAGGUGCAAUAGAGUUAUUUACUCAAAUAAUAACUAAAAUAAAAUAUUAUUAAUUAAAUAAUUUAAUUUAAAAAUCUCUUGUAAGUGUAGUUUUAGAAGAAAUUAAGAAGAUUGGUAUGGGCUUAUUUAUUAUGUUUUUUAAGUAACUAUACAUAUCUAUAUAUUAAAGAAUUUGGUUUUUAAAAGAGUAUGAAGGAAAUUGUAUUUUUGGUAUCCUCAAAAACAUUACUUCACACUAAAAUUCAAAUGUGAUGAUUAAAAUAAUUUAUUAUGAUAGAUUUAUUUGAUUUUUUUUUGAAUCAAAAGUACAACCUCUCUCUUAGAAUAUAUAUAUACGUACACAUCAAUGACGAUACCCUGUGAAUACCAGCUGAUGAAUCAAAAUUCGCGGAAGUACGUGGUGUGUCACGCGCGACGAAAACCAUCAAACGAAGUAAGUGUUUUGUUGGACGACAUUCAUUCAAACAAAGCCGAUGGUAAUGGCAGAGCGACGCACUGGGAAAUGCGCGAGUGGGUGACCUCAGAGAUUCAGGAAAGAAAGUGUUGGCCAGCUUCAGAGCGAGGGAGGAAAGACGCGGGACAAGGCUCGAAGGAAACAGGGAAGCUCCGCCAUCGGAGCUCGAGAUCAGGAAAAGGGUACCACCACCAACACCACCUGCAACGGCGAGACAGACAUCCCACACCAUGUGUCCACACCACGGCGCGUUACAAUUGCACAGCUCGACGACGCUCAUCUCGCUCUCGCGCACUAGCUCCCGUUCUUCUGCGCUCCGGAAAGAGCGUUUAACAUAGGUCUGUGCAUUUCGCGUCCUCGAGGCAGGCUUAGCAGACACACUCUGCUGGACGGCUCCGUGUACACCACGACUGGAUUGAGCUCGGUAGUCGCUCUGGCCCGGAGCCUCUAUACUGUGUUGAAUGCUUUGCUGGCAAUAGCUGUGAGCAGCAGGCGGGCACGGGGUCCGUGGCGCUCCGGAAUGGUGACGAUCGUUAGAGGUACGAAACCCUAGGCCUCACAUUUUUGUCCUUCUCUUUUGGUUUCUCUCGGGCUAGCUUGCAGAAAAGAAGAGUUUGGAGGCGGAGUUUCCAAGGAUAUGCGUUUUGGUGCAUGUUUCGCAGCACUGGUUAGCUGAGGGCGUUUUUUCUUUCUUCCUUUUUCGUGUUCUGCGCGUUUGUGCUGGUUGUUGUGUAUGUACACUUUGCGGGGACGACCCGGAACAUGUGGGUGUCGUGAAAGCGGGGUACGAGGCAGCGGCUGUGGUAGGCGGUAGAUGUUUGAGUGCGACAGGAAGGUGUAUGAGGGUGUGAGGUUGCAGUGAUUUCUGGGAGAUCGGGCGUGGGACGGCAAUGGCAAGGGAGUAGCAGAACGCGGUCGCGGCGGUGUGGUCGGGGGGAGAAAGGGGCCGAUGGUGGAGUUAUGAAGGGUCGGGUACGAUCAGGAUUCAGGAGGAAUUGCAUUAGGAAUUUGUGAGCGGGAGACGACGGAGAGAGUAUGGGGGAUGGGAAUUUGGGCGGGGCAUGAGGGUCGCCGGUUCGGAGGACGUGGCGCAGCGAGUGGUGCUCACAGGUGGUGUGAUGUGUGUUUCAGGGUUUGAUGGUGUUGUCGCGUGCGGUGAGGGGUCCCGGUGAGUGAGUGAGCGAUCGAGGGCGCUGCGGGGGAUUGCAGGUGGACGCAAGGAGGUGAGGUGAGUGAGGUCGGGGAGGAGGUGGCAUAAUGGUGUACAACCAGUCGGACAGCGAUGGGACCGACGAUGACGACCUCCCUCCGACGCAGGUGAUGCGGUCGUCGGGGGUGGCCCGUGCGAAGGGUCGGCCGAGCGGGAACGGGAAGCCGUCGAGCUCGUUCCACAUCGAGCUGCAGAUCCGGCAGCUAGAGCUGGAUGCGUAUCUGUCUCUGCUUCGGGCAUUCAGCGCGCAAUCGGAGGUGAUCACAUGGUCAAAGGAGGGGCUGAUGUCGGACAUGAGGAAGGAGCUUCGGGUGGCGGAUGAGCAGCACAGGGAGAUGCUGGGGAAGGUGGGGCAGGACGAGACACUGCAGAGGAUACGGACGUGGAGGCAGACAGGGGAGGAUCCUGGAAUGGUUGCGCAUCAUCGGGAGCCGUCGCCGAGUCCCUCGGUGUCGCAGAACAGGAAGAAGCAGAAGGUAGGGCACGCGGGACCGAUUCUGCCUCCGCCCGCUCCCUUGCUGAAGGCGGCACCGCACUUGGCGCUGCCGUCGGCGUCAGGGGGACGAGGGCCGUCGAGCGGGAAGAAGUCGCGGAGCAAAGGCGUGACGGAGGCGGGCGGGGUGCCGGGGAGGGGGGCGGCGGGGGGUGGAGGUGGAGGNNNNNNNNNNNNNNNNNNNNNNNNNNNNNNNNNNNNNNNNNNNNNNNNNNNNNNNNNNNNNNNNNNNNNNNNNNNNNNNNNNNNNNNNNNNNNNNNNNNNGGUGGGGACAGAAGAGACGAUCAUGAGGGGUCGGAGGGCAACGGCGGAGGCAGGGGGGGAGGCGGUGGCUCGGACGUGGAUUUAGAUAAGUCAGACGACGACGGGGACGGGGACGGGGAAGACGACAGGUAGGGAGUAGUAGGAGCAGGAGGCGAGGUAGUAGGAACGGAGGACAGACAGACGCAGCAGAGCGAGCGAGCGAGCGAGGAGGAGAUAUGACAGCGUGACAUAUGUGCAGGCUUGGUGGGGACGUGGGGUUUGAUUGUGCCCAGGUUGAUUUGUGCCCUUUUUGUAUUUGUAUUUUGGCUCCAUUACGUGGGUGAGACCUUUUUUCGAAAAGAAAGAAAUGGCGUAAUGAAAUGAGAGGUGCGGGGUGGCGAGCCCCCACCGACGGUGCAUAUUACAGCAGUGGAUGGGUGUACAGAGGGGUGGGGGGGGGAUGAAGCAUUGGGGUAUGUGAUUGUGGGACAUGGUGAUAACGACGAGGGGGAAGUUGUGCGGUGUGGUGGUGAGCAGUGCAGGUAAUCGGCGUGGGAGGCCGUGUUCAUCGUCAUUUGUUUUUGGGGCGUUGUCUCUUUUUUGGGAUUGGUUUGACUUUUGUAUAUAGAGUUGCUGUUCGCAGCUUGUUGUUGUGGUCGGUUUCUUGCUACUUGUAUUGCAUUAGAUGUAAUAGGGCUUUUGGAGGUUUUUUUGUUUUGUUACUUCGGUAUUAGAUAUCGUGGUCUUGUGGACUUUGUUGCUGUUACAUUGCCAUGGUAACCGAGUUAUUGAUUGCAGCUUUUCUUGUCUGUUUGUUUUGCAAUAUGUUGGGACACUGCCCCGUUUAUAAUCUUGUUUAUUUGUCGUUAUAGUAAUGUUUGCGAUGAUGGGUAUGUUAGGACUAACAAUUAGUGGAAGCAUUUGCUUGUUUGGGAUUGUGUAUGUAGCAUUCUUGAUGUGGGAAUUUGCCUUUGAUUGGUGGUUUGUACUGUUGGCGGUCAAAUAUUUGCAAGUGUAAAUGAUCCCCAUUGGGUAUGAUCUUGUACGUUUUACUGAACAAUUAUUUUUUAGGCAUGUAAUCCAUGGCUUGCAAUUCACUGUUUGAGUUUGUUGAUUUGAAUAAUGUUUGCAUGCAGCCUGGAAUCACCGUGUUUUGUUUUAUCUCUAAAUGCUGUGCAGGGGGGAUUCUCGUUCAGCAAGAAUAGGAACGCUUGACGAAGUGCUUGCAGUAGUUAUUUGGAUUGAUUCAGGACAGGUGUCUUUGGCGCUCGUCUAUGUCAAAUUUCUGUCUAUAUUCGAGGCUCCGUUGUCUCUAAAAUCAUUUUUGACGUUAGUUAACAUGUGUGUUCUUCUGUCUGAAGCCUUCCGUUUGUGUUUGGCAAGUGUGAGUUAUCGGGGCGUUCUUUUAUAUGGAAGAAUUUUGCAUGGUUUCGUCAGAAUUUUAAAAAAUUCCAUGUGGUGUAUCCUAACGUCUGCUGUUUUGUAACUUGUGGCGAGGAAGUGCUGUGUAUGUUCUGAUUCCUCGACACAUUUUUUCAGCAAUUGGCACAACGUGAGCCUUACUCCCUGUUUCGAUGUCUAGAUUGUUCCUUAUUGGUCAGCUGUGUGCGAGGUUGCACUGGAAGAAUCUGAUUGUGCAACAACGCAUUUGUCAGCAGCCGCUUACAUCCUAUUCCCAGUGCAGCAACUUUGGUAUAUUUUACGCGAAGUUCCACGCAUAGUCCUCUAGAUUGUAAUGGUGAAAAAAUAUGAGUGUUUAAUCACCUUCGGAUGACCAGACGGUGCUGCAUCGAGCGAUAUUUUUCAAAUCGAAGUUCACCCCCGAAAAGUGGGAGUGCUACGCAAAGCUUGCUCUCGAGGGAAGUAGCUGAGUUUCUAUGUCCCGCCACGUAAACUAUGGUGUAUGUUUAUUUGUCGUGAUGAUGCUUCUCAUAUCGGAAAUGUUCUGGUGGGCAGCGUCUCUAAAGAUGUUAGCUACUAAGAUUUGCCACUAACGUCCAAAUGCCUUCUAUGAUAUAGCCUCUGAAAGUCCUCAGAAUCUUUCGACGAGCUAAAUGAGCUAAUAAGAUUCUGAGCCUUGUAACAGAGAGCAGUUAGCUUUCUGUACGAACAGGACUACCAUGCUUAAAUUAUUUAGUUCUAUGGUUACAAUGUUUGGAAUUUGAACCAGACAUCGACUCCUCCGAAUAUCACCAAAUAAUUUAAUCAAACGGAAGAGAAACCACUAUGGAGAUGAAUUACAAGGCUUCCGUUGCCUUUCUCCUGGAAUUAUCUAUGCACCAAACAUGGUUUGGUUUUCCAGCAGCUUUUGCUCAUGUGAAUAAAAAAAAGAUACAGUUCUAGAGAAAUGACAUCAUGUUGAUCCUCGAAUCGAAUCACUUAUAUGACCGUAAUAUAGAAACUGUUUGGAGAUUGCUAAGCCACUGCCAACAUGGCUGCAGGAAUUAAAACGGCAGGACAGAGGGACACAACACAAAGCCUUAGCUCUUCCACCAGCGAGCCAUGAAAAGAUCUUCCCGACUGAAAAUUAGAAGGUGUGGAGUCGGAUUAUCGUGCGCAAUCGUAUUGUGCGGAAGGCAACAAUUACGAUUGCCAAGACGGGACACAGAGAGCGAAGCUCGUGGACACGGCGACGGAGCCGGACUCGCGACGUGGCACCGUUUGGCAGGACCCGCUUCCCCUCGAUCCCGCCCACACAGUGGCUUGGGAACAUGUUCUCUUCGUUCCCUUACUGCUCCCAAACUUCCCUGCUGGGGUUUACCGAGUUGCAGUGUUAAAAGUCCAGAAAUUAUAUGUAAACCACAUUCCCAUGUGAAUUAUUUUCUAUAUAAAAAAAAAGAAAAAUUAAAUAAUAAAGAUUCCGUUCUAUUGGAAUUCUAUCUCUUAGACCUUUUCUAAUAUCCUAUUGCAAUUUUGUUUGGUUAUCUUUUGAGGCUUAAAGAAUCAUUUCUACUACUAUUGAUAUACAUAGAUGUAUUAUAACAAGCGAUUAAUUUGCUAAUUUGUUUAGGUUGUUCGUGGAAGUUUGAUACAAUAUUGGUUUGUAUGUUUUUGAAAUAAAGGAGUCUUUUGUGCUUCAUUUAUCAGACAUCGAUGGUUGUAAAUAUUUGUGAUUUGUUUUUGGAGUUGAACACUAAUAUUUAAUUGUGGUAAAAGGAAUGUAUAUAUGUAUAUAUAUAAACAAAAAGAAAAUUUUAUAUCAUGAAAUAAUAUGUUGAUUAUUUAUAAUUAUAGUAAUUUUAUUGUAGAUAUUAAUUCUUAUUUAAUAAUAUAAUGAUAACAAUAAUAGAAAUAAAGUUUAAUUAUGUGUACAUUCAAAGCAAUGGAAGAGGAACCCUAUUUAAUUGUGAGGAUGUCAGUUAUAAUAAUGAUUUUACAUGAAUGUAACGUUUCAUUCUUUUCAGCAAAAAAUCGGUACUAAACCAAUAUUAAUAUAGUAAAAAGGAUAGAUUACAAGUGCUUUACAGAAACUAUAACAGUGAAUUAUGUGAACAAGCUGUCAGCAUAAAAAAUAAAAAAAUACGAAAGAUUAUACACAUUAUUAUUUUAAUCUUAAUCUUAAUUUAAUGCAUUAAAUUUUGUAGCACACUGACAUAUAUUUCACAUUAUUAUUAUUAUCAUCAGUAUUUUCCAAAAACAUGCAAUAAAGUAAUAUAAUUUUAAGCAUAUAUGGUCAUUAAUAAAUUAGUGAGCAUAUUUUUACCCAGGUUUUACUUUGAUUCAUUUUAUCUCAUUUGAGCCUCCUUAAUUCACUGAAACCUUAAUAUAUAUGAGCAUAUGAACAAUAAAACCAAUAAAUAAACACUUGCACAUGGGCUCCUAAAGAGGAAAGUAAGAAAGAAGACAGACAAUUUCGAUGACAUAUUAUUAUAACCUCAAGAUCUGGUUUAUUAUGCUGAUUAGUGGCUAAACAAGACAAAAGAAAAGCACAAGAGACAGAUGAAUCACGGGCGGUGUCCCAAAUGACGGGAUGGGCACGCGGCGGAGGCACCUCGCCCGUGCCCCGCACGCUCCUGCAUACUCUUCACCACUUUCUCGUCCUGCUUGGCUUGCGUUGCCUUCGCGAUGCCGUGCUUGCUGCUGCUGCAGCUCGCGAUCUCGUGGCGUGGCGAUCCAGUAUGGUGCUCACAAAGAGAGACGUGGCCACUGUGUUCGAUGACGGAAACGUCAGCCUCCAGUUCGCGAAGGGGCUGGCGGGCAGGAGGACGGGCAAGAGCAUCGGGGAGACGACGAUGCCUCGCCAAUCAGGUGCGCUCCGUUUCACCUCCUCCGCCCUAGGGUUUCAGAAUCGAGCCAUUUGGGUGGAGAUCGUUCUCUCACAGAGAGGAUUGAGGCUGGGUGGUUCGCUGAUGUCCUUCUCAAACCGCAAUUGCCCUAGGGAUUGGAUGAAUUGAGCUGUCCGCGGGAAUUGUGUUACAGCUACAGAGUCUCUGAAAGCUUCGGAAAAAAAGAUUAUUGGGAUCAGAGACGAGAGCUGGGCGUUGAUCGUAUCUCAGGCGACUUCGCCCAUGGUGAUCGUUACAGGGAACCUUGGUCCCGCUGGGAAUUGAUCGGAAUUGGAUGCUAGUGGUCUUAGUCUGGGGAGAUCUGCAUUUCCUCAUCUUCGUGUUAUAUUGAGCGCUAUCAUUGCUGUGAAGAAUUUCGUGUCUAGCUAGUUAAGUGUAAACGUGAGCAAAAAUUGAGGAAGACUUAUGAGCAGCUGAUUCCUUGCUGGUCGUUUCGUAACUUUUGUGGGUGGAAUCAAGUCAUUCUUGAGUUCGAAAUUGAGCUCUCCAAUCGGGCAAUAGUACAAUUUUCAAGCACUCCGGAGAGGAGUAGAGCUAGGGUAGUUGAAUUUGCUUGAUUCUGUUGGAUAAUGUAAAGAAGCAACUCCAGAUUAGUCAAGUCGACGGUAAGAUACAUCGUAGACUUAAAAGUAGAAAAAGAAGAUUGCGGUACUGGACAGCGUAAGUGAAAAACGGUGAAAAACGGUGAGUUCAGUCGAUAAAAAAAAUUAGAAACUACCGCAUGCGGUGAAAUGUUAAUCUUGUAUAUAUAGCGAUCAGAAAUGAAGUAUAAACUACGAUCUUUAAUGUAAAUUUCCUUUGGAUUCGUCAGUUUAUUUACCUACAGCUAGACUAGUUAUCCUUGCAUGUUGUGUCUGGAACUCUGAUACCAUGAUUUGUGAACCACAAAAUGCGAGUAUUGAGUUAUCCGUGGUUGCAGACAGGAACCGGAAGUCCUCAAAGGGGACUAUGUCGGAGGCUGAUACGCAAUCCAAUUGUAACAGCAAAUACAUAACCCACGAUUUGGGCUGGAAGUUAACAGCCGUAAAAUGGGGUUUAUCGCUGGCUAUGUGUUUAGUCGUUGGAUGUUAUGGAGCCAUUCUUGCAGCCUUUCCAGUAGAAUCUUUCCAAAACAUCAAAGAAACUAUUUUCCAGAAGAUGGUAGAUACGCCAUUUGGUUCAAAGGGUGGUAAGCUCUCGUUUGUUCCUUCUCUUCAAUAUCAACUAGACAGUGGUGAAGACGCAUGGCUGCCUUACAAGUGGAUUUCGAUUCAAUCUUCGUGCACAUACAACAUGCUUACGCUUACUAGUCAGCUAAACGCAUGAAAUGAACUUCUUAUUUAGGAUCAGAAGAGGGCAUUGUGUCUCCAAGAAAUCCUGGUUUUGGUGGUUCAGCUGAAUUUUUUCAAUAUCUAUCCUGACCUGUUCUGUAAUGGAGAUAACUAAAAUGUAAAAAAUAACUCGAACAUGCUUCACAAGAAUGUUCUGAUAUCAUAUUAUCUCGUGGGUUGGUUCUUUUUAGGAGGCCUGCUUGUACUUUUCGCUUCACCACUGCUUGUGCUUACACUUUUGGCCAUCAUCAAUCUGGAAGUCUCUUCCAGGAUGGUAACCUUCAAGUAAAGUUCCUCGUUUCAAACUUUAUUAUAGAGUACAAUAUUAGUUACGGUUAAGAUUGCCUACCAGUAUUUGAGCUAGAAUUUCCAGCGCAGGGAUUUUGAAGAUGUUGUCUUCUCAACCAAUUCCGACACAACGUUGUCGACACAAACUUUGAGGGGAUUGAUCUAUCUAUUCUUUUGACUAAACGUGGGCGAUGUGUGUGCAUAUGUAGCAGGGAGAAAGCGAAAGGAAGAGCAAGCUUACAAAAGCAUCCACUUUUUAUAGGAGGUUGGAUGGGCAUUGUUUCUGCUGCUGAGUUUCUCUGGAUCCUUUUGUUUCUUGUCAUGUUUACUUGGAUCAUGGGAAACUACUUGAUUCGAGAUUCCAGACAUUUUGAUGUGACGUCUUUGAAACCUGUCGAAACAGUGUAAGUCCUCCAUUCCUCAUACAAGGACCUCGUCGUUCAGUAUAUUGGUCGUUGUCCGUUUGAUUUGUUUCUUUUUCUUUUGUUUUGGUUUUAUUUUGGUUUUGUUUGUUUGUUUUGUUUUUUGCUUGCUUGCGUGCUUGUUUGUUUGUGUGUUUGUUUUUUUUGCAGUACCUUCUAUGCCGUGGAUUUCUGUUCACUUCUUCAGGAUUACCUUGAAGAUCAGUGAAAGCGUUAAAACGUUAUGAUCUAAAUAUUGAUGGUUAUCUUGACUUUGUUUAGACAGGUGGAGUAAGAAGUUGAAGCGUACUGCGUCACAUCUUGGGUUCUUUGGACUCAUAUGUUUAAAUUUUCUAUUCUUACCUGUUUCUCGAGGAUCUGUCCUUCUCCGGGCCUUAGAUAUUCCAUUUGAGCAUGCUGUCAAGUACCAUAUAUGGUUGGGUUACUUCAUGAUGACAUGUUUCACUCUGCACGGUCACUUCUACAUCAUUGCAUGGUAUUCCGAAGAUUCUUUGAGCAAAGUAUGUUCUCAUGUCAACCGCAUGCUUGUCAAAAGAGUUGGAUUUAUGGUUCAAAGCGUCAUGAUUGUUGAAUUCACUUGAACCAGGCAUGUUUCUUCACGGAUUUUUGUAUUCCGUCUUAUACCAGUUGUUUAUGCUGGUUUUUUGCAGAUAUUUAAUUGGGCACCUCACAAAGUCGCAAACUUUGCAGGAGUUAUAGCCUUGUUGGCUGGCAUCACAAUGUGGGUUACAUCUAUAAGUUGGGUUCGAAAGAGAUACUUCGAGACUUUUUUUUGGGUUCACCACCUCUAUAUUGUAUUCGUAUUCUUCAUGGCCUUCCAUGUCGGAGGAGUUCUCUUCAACGUGGCAUUUUGUGGAAUAUUUUUAUUUGUCUUCGAUCGUUUUCUACGCUUCUGCCAAUCACGGGGCAAUGUUGGGGUCCUCACAACCAAGUUGCUGGCUUGUGGAAUCUUUGAACUAACAUUAAUCAAGCCCCCAGGUAUUUUGAAUAUCUCUGCUUGUUCCUGGUAUGCUUGUUGGUGUGUGGUAGCAUAUCCUCUUGACUGAGAGCAAAUUUUGAAAAUUUGGUGGUUUGAUACUUGUACAAUGCUCUAGAGAAGAUAGUCUAAUCUACACUUCAGCUAUGGAUAUAUGAGUUGUGGCUAGUGGAAGAUAUUUCAUUUGGAUUACGUUGAGAUGGACAUCAAGAUCUUCAUUGUGCAGGUAUAAAACUUCACGCAUUAAAUUACAUUUAUCUCAAUAUUCCGGAAAUCUCCAAAUUAGAGUGGCACCCGUUUAGUGUGUCCUCUAGCCCAUACGAUGGUGACAACUGGCUGAAGGUGUUGAUAAAACCUUCGUACGGAGGUUGGACACAUCGAUUACAAGGACUUGUCUCAGAUGUUGUGAAACGGGGGCGGUGCCCUUCAAAUAUCAGCGCUGCUGUUGAAGGUCCUUAUGGUCACGAGUCUGAUUUCUUUCUCCAGUAAGUUGCAAAGGUGCUUCAAGACAUUAUUCAUUGCUAUUUACUUCAUGUUAUACAAUAGCCUUCACCAAUGGUUUGGAUCGAAACAUGUUUUUUUAGCAAUUUGUCUCAAUGAUACUCUAAUUGGUCUUACUUAUUCUAGCAGUACAAGUCUCGUGUUCGUGGAACACGUACUAGAGUUGUUUAUCCAGAGAAGAUAUUACAAAAGCUGCGUCGGCCUGAAAAGCACUUCGUCUUGGGCGCAUGAUUGAACUAUGUCGAGUGAAUCUGAAAAGGAAGAAUAAUUUGCCCUGCAGGUAUGAGACGCUUGUACUGGUUGCGGGAGGAAUUGGCAUUUCUCCUUUUGUGGCUGUUUUGCGUGACUUGCUUCAGCGAUAUCAGCGGCAGCAAUCCAAUCUUCCAUCGAAUGUACACCUUAUUUGGGCAGUACAAAAAUCAGAGGAGCUUCAACUCCUUGAUUUAAUACCCGCAUCUGCAAUCUGUCCCGAUUACCGACUGAAAUUCAACCUUCAAAUUCAUGCCUUCGUGACACGCGAGAGUUCUCCUAUUAGUUUAGAAUGUAAACCUGAAGCACCUGCUUCGCAUCUGGUAGACCAAUUCAAGAAGUCUCGUAUUUUAGCAAGUGUCAGCAAUGCAGAAGCUUUUAACAAACCUAUGUCAAUGGUAGCGGGCACUGGGAGUAAUCUCUGGAUUACUUCAUGUUUUCUUGCUUCAUUACUAGGGUACAUUGUUGUUUACUUCUCGAUUUAUUACUUUGUAGUGCAGCCAUUUGAACAAGAGUCCGCUGGAGAUGGGAAGCCUCGUGAAGGUUUACCCCGGUGGGUCAAGGGUCUGUUCAAUGUCAUCAGCCUGAUAUUGGGGGUAGCGAUAUUUGGAGGAUUUGUAGCAUCAUUGUGGAAUUACUUGGGUAGGCUGCAUCAGGGUCUUUCAGAAAUUGGCGACGAGAACUCUCGGCUUUUAUCUAUAUCAAAUACCGAAGACACAGUCUACGCGAAUGAGAGUGCAGACUGCCUGGUGCACCCAUCAAACACUCAUUUUGGACAAAGGCCUAACUUAAGAGGUAAGUUAUUGGUUCUACCUCUUAUUCUGGAACUUGGUUUCUAAGAUAAAUGGUUGUUUUUUUUGUCGUACACUAAUCCAUAUUAUGUCAACUUUGUACGGAUAGCUAUAUUGAAAUUGCUGCAUACUUAUAUUAAUCAGAAGGCACGGUUCCAAAAACGACCGAAAUAGAUCAGAUGAUUCUCGAGACAGAACAGACAAACGUGGAACGUUGUCUUUGGUUGUUUGUGUGGCCGCAUCGCUGUGUUCCCUGAUUUGUGAAAGGUGUUGGAAUCCCUUUGCAGAAAUUUUUGAUGGUUGUGCAAAGUCGCAACAACCUGGUGCAAACAUUGGAGUCUUAGUUUGCGGUCCUGAAAGUCUCCAGAUCAGUGUCGCUGAAACAUGCAGAGCUUUCAACAAUAUUGACUACGAUUUGCACAAAGUGGCCUUCAGCUACCAUUCUCUUAGCUUUGAUCUGUAAGUUCCCCUUUGUAUGUAUAUGCUGAACACACAUUUUUACAGUAGGCUCAGAAGUUCACAUGUCUUCACCAGACGUGGUCGCCACAAUUGACACUUCAAUUUUUCUUCCACCCUUAGAAAGUAUGAAGCUGACUGUGAUUUGGAGAAUUAGGUGAAUGACCUAUCUAGGUGUAAGAUGUGAAGCUUAGGUUUUGUAUGAUCUGUUGCUGAAGAAUAAUGUAAAUGCAAGCUGUUGAUUGGAUCAGAGUUGUCAGGCUACUAUUAUUGUUUCUUAUUAGUGUUUUUAAGUGGAAGACAUGGAGUGAUUUUUUGGUGUGCUUAUUUAUAAUAGUAGUCCAAGCGUGACAAGGGUGAUGAGCUCAAGUGAAGGUAUAUUAUCUCAAAGUUAUAGUAUAUGUAAAAUAAUUAAACAUGUGGAGUUUGAUAAUUCCUCUGGUAAGAUUGGCGUUUUAAUUUGGAUUAUAUAUAUAUAUAUAUAUAUACAUAUGUUACGAGACAUUUAUGUUACAUGUGCAAGACUCUUUGGCACUUGUUUUUAUGAAGUGUAAAAAUAAAUUUGUAGCAAAUGAUUUUGCUUUUUUGCUGGGGGUUUCUUAAGCUUUGAAGAGUAGCAAGCGGAUGGUUGGAAACAGGGAGUGAAGAGAAAAGAGAAAAUCCUUCGCCAAAACUAGACCUUAGGGAUGAUAAUUAGUCAAAUGCCUCACAAGAUAUUCAUGGUUAUAACACAAUAUUCAAGGUUUGACUUAGAUGUAAUUUUUCCAAAAUAUAUGAUAAUACUAGAUAUAGUGAAUAUUGUAUUAUAAUCACAAAUACUUCAUGAGAUAUGACCAAUGAAAAAUAUAUAAUUUAUAAAUAAAUAAAAUUGUAUGUUUUCAACACUUGUAAUUAAAUAAAUAUUCUAAAGUGAUUUAUCUUAUUUGUUGUUGAUGUUUUUAUGUUUUAUUGGAUAGCAAAGAUUAAACAUAUUUUAAAAUAAUAUUAAAGAUAAUUAAAAUAUCUAUAAUUCAACUUUAAACUUUUAUUAUUUUAAAAACUUUUUGAAUGUAAUACAUUGUAAUUAUUCAUGCCUUUCAUUGAAUGCUGAUUUUUAACAAUCUCUAUAAAUAAUCCCGUAAUAUAGUAUAAUUAUUAAUUGAUAAGAAAUUGUAUAAAUAAUUACUUUAAUUGCAUAUAACCAUUUAUGAAUAUUUUAAUGCCAUGAACCACUUAUUUAUCAAGACCAAUAUUUUAGAAGCCAUAUUUAAAUAUUUGUAUUAAUUAAUAAUUGAUAUUAAAACAAAAUACUUGAUUACAACAAAUGUUUUGGUUUUAGCUUUGGUAUGUAAAUAAGAUAAUUCAAAUUUUAUCUACUUAUUUAAAAUAUUCUUUUAAAUAUCUCUUUAAUAAUUUGUGAAUUCCACCAACGUUAUUUAAUUGGUGAAAUUAUUAAUAACCAAGUUUUAAGAUUGUUUGGAUAUAAAAAAGAAAUAAAGAUUAAAAAUCUUAUUUGAUUAUCCAAAUAUUGUUUUAGGAUUUAGAAGAGGUCUAAUAAAUUAAAAGAGUCUUGUUAAGCAAAAGAUAUAAAAAAUGAACUUUUAAUAAGUCUUAGAAAUAAUUAUCUUAAUUAUUUUAGUAUUUUUUCUUAAAUAUGAUAAUUUGUGUUUAGUUUCAAGAUCAAUGACUUAUAUGAUAUUCUACUCAUAUGUAAUUCUUAUUAAAAUCUUAUUAACUUUAGUUAAUAAAUAAAAGAAGCAUGAGAAAGAAACUCCAUGAUUUUUUUGUAAUUUUUAUAAAAAUUAGGAUUUUUUUAUUGAUUUGAAUAAAUUUAUUGCUAUAAAAUCUCCAAGAGGAGAAAAAAUUAGCUUAAAGAUAAUAUUAGCAUCUUAAAACUAUUAUUGGGAUUUUUAGAAUUUAUUUAGAAUUUAUUUAAGAAUUUUUAGGACAUAUUUUAAAGACUUUGGUAAUUUUUUUUUCCACUCUAGGUAUUGACAUAAAUCAUAAAAAAAUUAAAAAAAAUUAAAAUACACUCUUAUAUUUUCAAAAGAGAGAAAGUAGACAACUAAAAGAUAGAUAUAGAAUUGAACUAGAAUAUCUAUAGCCAAAUAUAAAAUGACUAUGAAGUCUUAGACCAAUGUACAACUCAAAAAAGAUAUUGGCAAUAGUGAAAAUGGCCUCACUCUUGUCUCUAUACAUAUUAGCUAUUAAAGAAAUACAUGAUAAUGUCCUAUGGGCCAUAUGACGCAUGUCUAAUUUGCAAGACAAGUUUCCAACAUGUGCACCACAUAGCCAAUUUGUAAUACAAGUGGCUUAAUGUACGACAUAUGGCCAACUUGUUAGCUAAGUUGUCAACUUACAAAUCACUUGUAAACACAUGUUAAGUUUACGAAGCUUUUGGAAAGCUUCUUAAUAAGAUGUCUAUAAUUCAAUCUAUUUCUAUUUAUUUCUAUCUUGUUUUAUUUAUCUAAGUAAAUAUAUUAGUGAAUAUGGCUAUUUAUUAUGUUAUCCUCUAUUCUUGCCAAUAAGUUCUAUAAGGAAUUAUGUCAAUGUUUAAUAAGCUGUUGAAGUCUAAAAUUAAUUGAAUAGUAUUAGCAAGAAAUUUUAAUAUUUACAGUGUACAAAGAUAGUUUGAUAGGUUUUUUUAUCCAUUGAUAAUACCCUAUAACACAUAAAAUAGACCAUCAAGUUAUUUGAUCAUUAUUGAGGCUUUUAACUUAUUUGAUCAUUAUUAUGAUUUCCAUGUGUAUAUCUUCAUAUCAUAUUUGAGCCAAGAUAUGAAAUGUUCUAAUUUUUUUGGCAUCACCUUGAAUCCAAGACCUCCUCUAUUUCAAACUCUUUGUUGUUAUCUAUUCUAAUAGAAGAUGGUGGUGACUACUUUCUUCUUAAUAUGUUGAUUGUUGUUUAAGGCUUGAUAAAAGAUAUAUAAAAUACACAAUAUAUCCUUAUUGGUAGUGGUAAUGGCUAUUGAUAUGCCACUAAAAUAGUUUAUUUCUUGAUAAUAAAUAAAUCAAGUCUUUAAUAAUCCAACGUGUCACAAGGUUGAUUAGUCUUGAUAUUACAACAAAGUAAUUAUACUUUAUCACCAACUUUAAAUAAAAAUUAUUCUUUCUAAAAACAUUUAUACAUUUUUUUUUUUAUUGUUCUUGUAGCUCUUAAAAUUUUAUCUUUAUUAUUUUGUAAAUUUCUAUUAUUAUAAUUACUAAAUCCUUUCAUUUUGGAUUUUUAAUUUUAAAAAAACUAAAAUUAUCAAAUUAUAGAUAAUAACUAUGAUUGGAAAAAAAUGGAGUAAAUUGAGUAGAAGAAUGUAUCCUAUUAUUAUACAAAAUUUUACUAACGGCAAGAAAAUUAUCCAAUUGUCUUAGUAAAAAUUGAUGAUGUAUUGCAAAUAUUGUUUUAAUACUUGAUUCAAACAUUUUAUUUGUCUAUCAAUUUAAGGAUGAAAAAUUAAUGACAACUUGAUAUCAACUUGUAAUAAAUUAUAGAUUAUAAUCCAAAAUCUUGAUAUGAAUUAUGGCUUGUAAUCAAAUAUAUUUUUUAUUAAAAUUCUAUGAUAUUAAUAAAAAUUAUCUAAAACGAAUUUAAUUAUUUUUAAAUUCAUAAUAGUUUUUUAAAAUAAUUUAAAAUAAUUAAAUAUAUUAAUUAAAAAAAUUCACCAUUAAAAAGAUGGAAUUAUAAAAAUUUUAAAUUAAAUAUUUGUAAUAAAAUCUAAUGAAACAAAUGACUAAGGUUUCUUUAAAUAAAAAAGUAUUAAAGAAGGUCAAUGAGAUAGUAUCUUUGUUCUAGAACAAGUAUUGUAUGAAUGAACAAAUGUUUUUACUUCAUUUAUCAUUUGACGCCAUUAAGAACCUCUUGAAAUAAGUUCUAAUAUUUUAUUAUAUUGAAAAAUUUUAUUGCCAAAAAAUCAUGUUGUGCUUGUAAUGCAUGUAAUUUUAUUUUAGCUUUAAAAAUAUAUAAACAUAUUUUUAAAUAAAAGAUGUUAUCUUUGAAUUUAAUUUUUUGAAAGCCAUUAUAAAGAUUAUUUUUAAUAUCAAAAACCAUUAUGGACAUACAUAUUUAUUCUAAAAAUUAUAUAUAUAUAUAUAUAUAUAUAUUAUGAAUAAAUAUAAAUAGAUAAGAAUAAAUAAAUUUCAUAAUAUCUUGUAGAAAUGCUUCCUUAAAGCUUCAUAGACGUGAUUUUAUCUUUAUACAUGUCUAUAGGUGAUUGGUAGGUUGAAAAUUUGGCCAAUAAUUUAGCCAUGUAUUGCACAUGCUGGUGGCUUAUAAUUCAAGCUAAUCAUAUGGCACAUAUAUAUAAAACUUCUAAUGCAAGUUAGAUACAUGUCAUGCUAGUUGAAUACAUAUUGGAGGUCUUAUUGAACAUUGCCACAUAGUUCUUAGUUAGAUAGUAUAUAUAGAAGUAAGAAUGGGGCCUUCCUCACCGUUAUCAAUUCUUUUCUUAUUUCAAAUCUAGUUUUGAGAAUCUUUAGAUUUUUAGUCUUUAGCAAUAGCCAUUUCAAUUUCUUCUUGAAUAUACAUACUUUUUUAUUUUUAUUUUGUUAAUUCUCUAUAGUAAAUAUUUUACUUAUUUAUGUAUCUUCUUUGAGAUCUUUUCUUUGAAUGUUUGAUAAGAAUACAUUUAUAAUAUGAAAGCUUUGCCUUUUUAUAAAAAUUAAGAGUGGAUUAUUAUUUUUUCUUGAUAAGACAUAAGCAUAUUAGAAAUUGUAAAUUAUCCACUUUUAAAUUGAUAUCUUUGUAGUAUUUUCUUUAUUAUUAAAUUAUCUCUUUUACUAUCAAGGACAUGAAUUUCAAAUAAAGAAAAUCCUCAACAUACUCUUGUAUCACUAAAAAGAACUAGAAAGUCAUUGAAAGAUGAUAUAAUAUUGAACUAGAAUAGUUAUUGCCAAAAAGAAGAAGACUAAAAAGUCUUGAAAGAAGACUAAGGACUAGAAAGGCAUUGACAAGAAUGAAGAAGGCUUUAUUCUUGCCUCUAUAUAUACUCUUAACUAGGAGUUAUAUAGCAAUGUCCUAAAGGUCCUCCAAAAUAUGUUGACUUUACAAGACACAUAUCUUAAUUUGCAAGGCAAGUUUUUUAUAUGUGCAUCACAUAGUUAACUUAUUCCACAAGCUACCAAUAUACAGUUAAUUUGUUGACGAGGUUUUUGACCUACCAAUCAAUUACAAACACAUAUAAAGUUAAGCAGCAUCUAUGAAGCUUUUAGGAAGCUUUUCUAAAAGGUCUUAUGAAAUUAACUUACUUUUAUCUACUUUUAUCUAUUCCUACCUAAUCAUAUAUAUAUUUACUAGAAUAUUUAUGUAUAUAUGUGACAUUACCUCCCCCUCCCCUUUUAGGAAUGAGUUCCACUAGGAAAAAUUUUCACAUGUUGAAAAAAUCUAAGAUACAACAAAUUGUAUAUGUCACAUACUCCAAUCUUUGUUUUCUUUGAAGAUGGUUGAUAGGCCUUCUCAGCCAUCGAUAGUGUCUCAUACCAUAGCAAGAAGACCACUCUAUUAUUUAGUUGUUGUUGAGGCCUUUGUAACUUCUUUUAAAUAAAACAUUUAGAACACUAUUAAGAGUUGUUCCUACCUCUAAUAAAAUCACCAAACAUCUAGAGUCUCUUUCAAGGUUGUGAUACCAAAUACAUUGAAUUUUGCCAUCUAUUCAAAGAAAGACAUCUUGGUCUUAAAGUUCUUCAUCUCGAUUUCAUUGUCUUGAAGGUUCUAAAAAUUGCAAUAUUUCAUUUGAUAAGUCCACAAAAAAAAGUUCUUGAGUUAAAUCUGCUAGUUGUUGAUUCUCCAUCUCCUUAACUACACAGAAGCUACAAAGAAGGAUAGAAGGUAGAAUGUUAUCUUCCUUUGUUCUUAUUUCUUUUAUAAUAAAGAUUUGUAUUCUUUAUCUUGAUUUUGAUGGAUGUUAUUGAUAAAAGCUUCAAUUCUCUUUGUUGCAUUUAUAAGAUUCUUUACUCGCUUCCAUGUGCAUUCACUAAUAUCAUAUGCAUGCAAAUGAACAAGAUAUUCUAAUCUAUUUCAAUGUUGCCUUAAAUUUAAGACUUCUUCUACCUCAAAUUCUUGAUUAUUAUCCACUUCUAUAGGAAGAGGUGGCAUUUGUCUUCUUUCUGAGAUAUUCAUUGUCUUAUAUGGCUCAAAAAGGGAUGCAUGAAAUAUAAGGGAUGCAUGAAUAAUAUUAUAUGGCUCAAAAAGGGAUGUAUAAAAUAUAAGAGAUGUAUGAACAAUAUUGUAUGGCUCAAAAAGGGAUGCAUGAAAUAUAAAAGAUGCAUGAACAAUAUUGUAUGGGUCAAAAAGGGAUGUAUCAAAGUCUUUGAAGAUCCAACUUGUUACAAGGAUAAAUAGUCUUAAUAUUAUGAUAAAGUAAUCAUACCUUGUCACCUACGUUGAAUUGUGGUUGCUCCUUAUGAUAUUCAUCCAUGUUGGUCUUUUGUUGUUCUUGAGCUUCUUUUAAUUGUGUCUUCAUUAUUGCAUGUAGCUCUGAUAAACAAUUUACUAAAUCUUCUGUCUUAAGAUUAUAAACUUUUGAAAAGUUAAAAAUAUCAAGUUAUAGAUGAUAAUCAUAAUUGGUAAAAAAAGGUGUUUCUUGAAUAGAAGAAUAUACCAAAUUAUUGUAUGCAAACUCUGCCAAUGGCAAAAGAGUUGUCCAAUUGUCUUGAUGAUAGUUGAUGGUACACCUCAAAUAGUGCUUUAGAAUUUGAUUCACCCGUUCUGUUUGCCUAUCACUUUGAGGAUGAAAAGCUAAAGAGAGCUUUAUAUCCACCUUUAAAAUCUUAAAUAGGAUUUUUAUUAAUCUUGAUACAAAUUGAGUCCCCCUGUUUGAUAUAAUAUCCUUUGGCAAUCCAUGAUUACAAUAUAUAUUGUCAAAUAAAAGCUUAGCUAUUUCUUCACUUGAAAUAAAUUUUGUACAUGAUACAAAAUAUUAUAUUUUGGAGAAGUGAUAUACAGUUACAAAUAUAAAGUCAUAUGAACUUGAACUUGGAAGAUUUGUAAUAAAAUCCAUAGAAAUGAAAGACCAUGGUUGUUCGGGUAUAAGCAAUAGUUGGAGGAGUCCAUAAGGUUGAUGACGAAGAGUUUUUGAUCUUGAACAAAUGUCACAUGAUCGGACAAAGUCUUUUAUCACCUUCUACAUUUGCAGCCACCAAAAAUCUCUAGAUAUAAGUUCUAAAGUCUUAUUGUAUCCAAAAUAUCUUAUUGUUAGAAAGUCAUGACGUACUUGAAGAAUACAUAAACAUAAUUCUCUUUGUGGAAUACAUAGGCGUUCUUUGAAAUAGAAUAGGUUGUUCUUAAACUCAAACUUUGAAAUAUCAUGAGACUUAGAAGAAAGAUUCUUGAUAUCAUGCAUAAGAAGAUCAAAAGACAUACUUGAUUGAAUUUAUUUCACAAAUAUCAAAUCAACAAUCAAUAUUGAUUUCAUUACUUGAAGAUGAAAAUGCUUUGGCUUCAAGAAGAUUAUUCUUUGUUGAUCAAAAGAUAUGUUUUUUUCUUUUGAUAUAAGAUAAGAGCAUUUAGAAAGAGUAUCUGAUAAACCUUUUUGUUCUUUAGGUCAAUAUGUGAUCUUGAAAUCAAAUCUUAAUAAUGACAUGCUCUAACAAACUUGGUGACAAUUCAAAACACGUGCCAACAUGAAAUAUUUAAGAUUCUUUUGAUUUGUAUAUAUUGUGAUUGAAUUUGAAGAGCCUUCUAAAUAAUGAUACUUUCAUAGUAAGAAUCUACUUUAGAUAGAUUUAAGAUCCACUUUUUAUUCAAGUUGGAUCCAAUAUGCACAAAACCUUCUUAAAUUCUCCUUUGAGUAUUUAUAAAACUAUAUUUAUAAUAAAUCAACAAAAUUUAAGCUUAAAAAUUCAUAAUCCAAGUUCUAACAAUUCAAAUAAGCUUAAAAUUUAGGAAUACGGAAUUUAUAUCUUUGAUCAUUAUUAAAAAAACUAUUGGCUACAAAUUUGAUACCGAUUGUCUGAUAUCACCAAAAUCUUAGAAAGUACUUUUGAAAGUUAAAACCAAACUAAAAACUUGAAAAUUCAUAUGCCAAGAUCAAGCCAUUCAAAUAAGUUCAAAAUUUGGAGGUACAAAACUUACAUCUUUGAUCAUCAUUAUAUAAAAUUUUAGCUACAAAUUUAUUAUCAAUCUUUUGAUAUUACUAAAAUCUUAGCAUGUACCUUUGAAAGUCAAAACUAAAUUGGAAACUUGAAAAUUCAUAUCCCAAGAUUUUGUCAUUCAAAUAAGCUUAAAAUUUGGGAGUACAAAAUUUACACCUUUGAACAUUAUUGUACAAAUUUUUAGUUGCAAAUUUGUUACUAAUCGUCUGAUAUCACCAAAUUCUUAAUAAGUACCUUUGAAAAUCAAAACGCUAGAUACCUAAGAAUAAAUUUUACCAUUUCUCCAAAGUUAGAGUCUCAAUUGACAUGAGAUUUUAGACAUAGGCUCUUUAUAUUAUAAGUGACAUGUAGACAAAAAAUAAGCUUCAAAUUCGUCUUGAAGCUCAAGUUCUAGCUUAAAACCAAAAUCCUCUAUUUUUCUAAUUUCUUCAAAAUCCUAGUUUUAGUUUGCUGAUUUUAACUAGCUAUAUCUCACAUAUUCUAGACUCAAUCCUAUUAAUCCUUAAAUGUAAAAUUUUCAACUUAAAGUCUAGUUUUUAAUCCAAUUACUCGAUUUCUUACUAGUAUAUUAAAACUCCUAAUAUGCAUGGAAAAGUGAUAGUAGUUAUCAAAUUAAUAGCCUAAGUUUAAACAAGCAUAAUUCUCUCAUCCGAGCUUCAAUUCAUUUUUUUUUCCCACCUAAAUUCAUGCCAAUUAGCUCCUUUCUUUGAAUACUUCUUCUCUACUUGCCUAAAAAAAAUCCUCCUUGCUUCCAAACUUGCCAAAGAAGUCACAGUCAAGGUCUUUAAAGUCCAAGUCAAAAACUAAUAGUUUAAGUUAAAUAAAUACCAAAUCUAAUCCUCUAAGUGAGCACUAUUAAUGGCAGCCAACCAAUUCUAUUCAAACUUCCAUUUAUCCUUAAUAAAAAUCUAAAUACAAUCUCAAAGUCAAAGUUCUUCUUACAUCUACAAAUAUAACUUUGAAUCUACUAAAACCAAAGAUUAGAAAGAAAGUAAAAUUAAUAAAAGAAGUUUUUAAGGCUAAACCAAAGAUAAAGUUAAGGUUAGAGAUAAAAAAAAAUUUAGCCAAAAUUUUAGAAAAGAAAAAAGAAGAAAGUGGUAAAAUUUCUCCAAAACCAUAGAAAAUCUAAUUUGAUAAGAAGAAAAAAGAACUUAAUGAAAGUUUGAAGAAAAGUAAGUCAAGCAAGGUUUCUAUAUAUGAAUGUAUUUACAUCAUAACAAUGCCAUUCUUCAAAUGAAUCCACAAUUAUAAAAAGUUCUUUGAUGUAGAUUUUAUAAUUAAUCUUGGCUACUAAAAAUUUUUUGGAAUGAAAAGCUACUAGAUGGAAUUUAUCAUCUGUUCCCAUUUGCAACAAUACUACAUCCAAGGCAAAGUCUAAUACAUCUAUUUCCAUAAAGAAUGCCUUAAAAAAAUUGACGUGAUACAAAGUUGGUACAAAAGUAUUUUUUUUUUUCAAAGUAAUAAAUGCUGCUUCAACUUCUUUAUUCUAUUUAAGUUUGUCUUUAUAAGUCAAACAUGUAAGUGGAGCUACAAUUUGAGAAAAUUUCUUAAUAAAUAUUUGGUAAUAAUUGGCAAAGCUCAAAAAAUAUUGCACAUUACUUAUUGUUUUUGAGAUCUUCUAAUCUAUGAAAGCUUGGAUCUUGUUUGGAUCUAUCAUGACACCUUUAUUGGAAAUGAUAUAUUCCAAAAAAUCAACUUGAGUAGUAUGGAAUAUACACUUUUUCAUCUUCAUAUAUAAUCUUGCAUCUCUUAUUUUUAGUAACAUACAAUGAAUAUGAACUUCAUGCUCUUUUGUAUUCUUAGAAUAGAUUAAAAUAUCAUCCAAAUAAUAGAUGACAAAAUCAUUAAGAAACUCACAAAAGACAUCAUUCAUUAGAUUUGAAAAGCAGUUGGUACAUUCAUGAAUUUAAAAGGCAUGAUGUUAUAUUUGAAAUAUCCAUAACUAAUUCAGAAAGUAAGCUUCUAUUUAUCUCUAUUUUUGAUGCGGAUUAGGUUAUAUACUACUUGUAGAUUUAAUUUUGUAUAGAUCUUUGUUUAAUUUAGUUGAUCAAAAAGUCUUGAAAUCAAAGGUAGAGAAUACCUAUUCUUGAUGGUGAUCUUAUUAAGUCCUCAAUAAUCCACUCACAUCCACAAAGAUCCACCUUUUUUCUUCACAAAUAAGAUAGGAGUGUCAGUUGGAGAUUUAGAAUGGCAUAUAAAGUUCUUAGCCAAUUUUUCAUCAAUGUACUCUUUGAGUGCACCCAAUUCAUUUUGUAAUAGGCUAUUGAUUGGUCCAAAUGAUAGUUGAGUUCCUUCUUGAAGAUCGAUGGUACAAUCAUAAGGAUGAUACUCCAAAAGAAUAUUUGCAUUCUUUUUUUCAAAAACAUCUUAGAAAUCUAGAUGCCGACUAGGAAUACCACUUGAUAUCUUCUCACCAUAAGCAAUGGGCAUGGCAUAUAUAGCAAAAUAUGGUCCUUCAUUUGCGACAUGUAUGAAAGCUCUCGUACCUACUAAUAAGAGUUUGGAUGUGCUAGACUUAUGGAUUUUUACUUGCCUAGUAUGACUUUGGACUAAACUAUGGAAGAAAUCAAGAUUACAAGAAAUCCAAUCUAACUAAGAGUUAUAUCUUUCUCAUCAUGAUAAUCCUAAAAUGAUUAGAUUAGAAGAAGGUUUAAUGACAUUAAAUAUUACUAAACUAUUGUAACUACUAGUUGCUACUUCUAUAGGAAUAAUUUCAUAUGUAACAUCUCCAGAAGACAAUAAAUAUCCAUCUAUUACUUCUACAUGUACAUAUUUGAUUUUUUUAAUCAAGAAUAUAUUUUAUUUUUUGACAAAAUCUUCAUCUAAAAAACAAGUUGAGGCUCUUGAAUCCAACAAGGCUAAGACUUUGUAAUUUUUUGGUCUCAAAAAAACUUCUAUUAUAAAAUAAGAUGAGAGAUCAGAGAAGAAAAUAAGAUCUUUAUUAGAUAUUGUAUAUGAUUCCAAUCACAUAGUCUCUAUUGUAAUUGGAGCACCUCGUUUUCUGACACAUUGUCUUUUUUGGCAAUCGUCAUUCUCAUUUUGUAAUUGUGAUAUUUCUUUGGAUAAUGUUGAGUUGUAUGUUUAGCUUCUCUACAAUAUAAGCAUAAGCCUUCUUGACGUCGUUAAUUCUUUUCCUUCUCUGUGAGGAAUUUAAAACAUAUCAUAUCAAUUUGCAUUGGUUCUGACUUUGAUAAAUAAGUUUUUGAAAACUUAGGAGCUACCAUCAUUAUUUGAUUUGUUCUUCUUAAGCCAUAUUUUUAUUCUUGACAUCUUUCAAAUAAUCAAUUGUUUUAUGUAAUGGCUUUAACAAUAAAUUAUUCCAAAGAUUUUAUCUUUAGUAUUGUCAGUAGUAAGUCUCUGACAUUAUCCUUCAAUACAUAUCAAAAUUGAUUGAUAAGGGCUUUGUCAUUCUAAUCCAUGUCGCAAGUGAGGUUUUGGAAUUCAGCAACAUAUAUGGUGGUUGACCAUGAUCCUUGCCAUAAAGAUAAGAGCUUGGUCUCUACUACUCUUUCUCAAUCACUUUCUCCAAAUGUAGCUGCAAAUAUUUUUAGGAAUGAAUUCAAAUCAUAAAAGAGUUGCAAAUCAUUUUCUAUUAAAGAUGUAAAUCAACAAAGAGCACUUUGUGAUAGAAGUGUACCUAUAAAUCCAACUUGAGUAAAUCCAUUGGAGUAUUGGAAAAGAUGCAACUUUACAUAGAGCUUAACUUUGUUGCAAAAAUCCUCAAAAUUUUGAUCUUGUUCCAUCAAACUUCUGAAGUAUACUAAUCCUUAUCCUUGUCAUAUUCAUAGAAGAAAAACUCCCUAGAUUUGGUUAUGAGGUCGAUCUACUUGCUUCUUUUAGUUGCACAACUUCUUGUUACAGACUUUGAACUUCUUCUUUAGGUAUAGGCAUAGUACGUCUAUGAUUUAUAUUGGAAAUAUGUGAAAUUUCCACUCUUAGAGUGUUGACAAGCUUAUGAAGAUUUGCAAUAGUUGCAAAUCUAUACUUACUUCUAUUAAGAGUAGCAUCCAUAAUUUUUCUUUCUAUAGAUAAUUCAAACAAAUUCAAAAAUUUAAAUUAGAAGACGAUAAUGUAUAAAUUUUAAUAUAAAUUUCUACAAAGAGAGGUAAUCCACUUUCUUUAAGGAAAAGAUCAAUGUUAGAAAAUAAGAUUUUUUGUUUAAAGGGAGAUGGUACGUAACUUUCAAAAUAUAACAAUAGAAGUAGAAUAAACUACUCAGUUCUAAAACAAAAUAUAAAUAAUAUGUUAGCACUCUUAUCAAAUUGUUAAGGACAUGAAUCUCAAAGAAAGAAAAUCCUCAACACACUCUUGUAUCACUAAAAGGAACUAGAAAGUCACUUAAAGUUGACAUAAUAUUGAAUUAGAAUAGCUAUUGCCAAAAACAAAAAGAUUAGGAAAUCUUAAAAUAAGACUAAGGAUUAGAAAGGCAUUGACAAGAAUGAAGAAGGCUUCACUCUUGCCCCCAUAUAUACUCUUAACUAGGAGCUAUAUGGCGAUGUCCUAUAAGACCUCCAAAACAUGUUGACUUUACAAGAUAUGUAUUUUAACUUGUAAGACAAGUUUUCUAUAUGUGUGCCACAUAGUUAGCUUGUUCUCCAAGCUACCAACACCUAGUUAAUUUGUUGACCAAGUUUUUAACCUAUCAAUCAACUACAAAUACAUGUAAAAUCAAGCAGCCUCUAUGAAGCUUUUAUGAAGCUUUUUUAAAUGAUCUUAUAAAAUUAACCUAUUUUUAUCUACUUUUACCUACUCCUACCUAAUCAUAUAGGUAUUUAAUAGAAUAUCUAUGUGUGUCCAUGAUAUUUACUUGUCUUCAACAAUAUUAGACAUCUUCUUUUUUCUUGUGUGAUUAUGUCAAAUCUUGUUGAAAUAAAGAGUACAAUGGCCCAAAUAUAAGAACAAUUGAAGAAGUUAAUACUUGUAAUGCAUUAAUUAAAUUUACCACUAUAUAAAUAAUGAGAUUAGCAGGAAGUAUAGAAUGAAUUAGUGUUAGAUAACAAAAAAUGUUAAUUUAAAGAUAAGAAGUUUGUAACCUUUUAAAACAUAACAAUAAGAAGUGAGAUAAUCUAACCACUUUUAGAAUAAAAAAAUAUAAUAAAUUAAUAUUCUUAUUAAAUCAUUAAGAAUAUAUACUAUAAUAAAAUUCUAAAAAUAAUAAUGUACUCUUAUAUCACCAAAAGAAAGAAAAUAGACAAUUAAAAGAAAGAUGUAGAAUUAAAACUACAAUAGCUAUUACUAAAUACAAAAGACUAAAAAAACAUCAAUAAGAAUGAAGAAAGCAUUAUUCUUGCUUUAAAAUAUAAUAUCUAUUAUAGAACUACAUGGCAAUGUCCUAUAUAUUAUAUGAUAUGUAUCCAAUUUGUGGUAUAUCUAUCUAAUUUAUAAGGUGAGUUUUCAAUAUGUAUAUUACAAGGCCAAUUUGUAAUACAAGUGAUUAAAUGUGAAACUUUUGGCUACUUUCUUUGUUAAGUUAUCAACCUAUAAAUCAUUUACAAAUAUGUAUAAAAUCUACAAACUUCUAAAAACCUUUUUAAUAAGAUAUUAACAAUUCAAAUUACUUCUAUUUACUUCUAUCUAGUUUUAUUUAUCUAAGUAAAUACACUAAUCCAUAUGGUUAUUCUUUAUAAUGAUAAUAUUGGCUAUAUAAUAAUAUUUUUUAUAUAAAUAUAAAAAUUAAUUAUUUUUAAAAAUUACUUUAUAAAGUUAAUAUAGAUAAUACAUUAUAAUUGUAAUAGUUGAAAUUUGAUUUAGUAAUUUUAGAAUUUUAUGAAAAUCUUUGAGAUUUAAGAAUCAAAUCUAGAACUAAAAAUUUAGAAUUAAGGAUUCAAAUCUUAAGAUGUGAUUUUAGUUUAUAAGAAUUAGAUGCAUAUCUUUGCCUAAGUGAAGUAUACGAGUCCUAGUAGUUGACUUGGAUUUUUUAAAAUAUAGUUAAAAUUUCUAUAAAAAUAAAAUAAAAUAAAAUAAAAUAUAAAAAUUAAAAUAAAAUUUUUAUAUUUUUUUGAAUUUAGGUUGAACAAAGAAAUUAUAUAACUAUCAAUUAUUAUAUUGUAAUUGUCACGGCCAUAAUCAUGUAAGCUAAUAAUUACAUAUAGAAAUAGGUAGAAGUAAGUAAAAGUAGAUAAAAGUAAGUUAAUUCUAUAAUAUUUAAUAUAGAAGCUUCCUAGAAACUUCCUAGACACUGCUUUGACUUCAUAGGUGUCUUUAAUUGAUUUUUUGGAUUAGAAACGUGGUCAACAAGUUGGCCAUGUGCCACACAUGUUGUUAGCUUGAAGAUCAAGCUAACUAUGUGGCCCACACGUAGAAAAACUUGCCUUGUAAGUCAAGGCAUGUGUCCUACAAAGUCAACACAUAUUGGAGGUCCUAUAGAACGUUGCCACGUAGCCCCUAGUUAGAUAGUAUAUAUAGAGACAAGAGUGAAGGCUUCUUCACUCUUGUCAACUCCUUUCUUGCUUCUAGUCCAGGUUCAAGAGUCUUUAGUUUCUUGUCUUGUGGCAAUAGCCAUUCUAGUUUCUUUUUAAUAUACCUACUUGUUUAUAUUUUGACUUAUUAUAUCGAGAUAGCCUUUUUGUGUAUAUUUUCCCUCAUCGAGUCUUUGUCCUUGACAGAUUGACAAGAGUACACUUACAAUAUCAGAGCUUUGUUUUUCUUGAGUGAAAGUGGAUUACCCCUUUCUCUUGACAAGACAUAAGCGUAUUAGAAGUUUGCGGAUUACCCACUUCUAAACUGAUAUUGUUCUUAGUAUCUUCUUUGUUAUCAAGUCUUUCUUUUCUUUUGUCUUGAGCAGUAUCAAACAAAUUUUUCUUAGUGUCAUUAUGGCAGAGCUUGUUAAAAUGAAGAGUGCAAUGGCACAAAUGCAAGAGCAAAUGAGGGAGUUAAUGCUUGCGAUGCAUCAACUCAAUUCACCAACACAUGAAAGAACAAGAAUAGUAGAAAGUGGGGAUAUAGAGAUGAUCGGAGCUGCUUCAACAUCUAUAACAAAUCACGUUCCUUCUCUAAUUGUACAACACCCUGUAAGCACUAGAGAACCCAGAAUUGCCUUAUCCGAGAAAUUUGAUGGUACGAGAUCUAAGUUUCGAGGGUUCAUCAAUCAAGUACAAUUGGUAAUUGAACUUCAACCGCAAAGCUAUCCAACUCCAGGAUCAUAAGUCAGGUUUAUUGGCACUCUACUUUCUGAUUCUGCAUUAUCAUAGUUUUUGUCUUUUCUUGAACAACGAAAUCCAAUAUUAGAAAAUUUGGAAGCUUUUUUGGCGAAGUUUCGAUCUAUGUAUGGUGAACAUGAUGCAACUCAUGUUGCAACAAAUAAGAUCCGAAUUCUGCGACAAGAAAAUCGCUCAGUAACAGUGUAUGCUUCACAAUUUUGACAACUUACAAUUGACAUCAAGUGGGAUGAUGCUGCACUCAUUAGUCAAUUUCUUUAUAGAUUGCAAUACGAAGUAAAGAAAUUGAUGCUCAACUUACCUGAUCCUCAAACUUUGAGUCAAGCAAUCGAUUUUGCGGUAAAAUGUGAUAAUCGACUUUUCGAAUUUCGAUCCAAAAAUCAUUCACGGGAACCUCAACGUUAUUACUCAAUGGCAACAUCAACAUCUUUGCCAAACGUACAUUCCGAAGUAGAAGACAUGCAAAUUGACGCGGUACGUUUUAAACCCCUAACUGAGCAAGAAAAGAUUCAUCGUCGUCAAGAAGGAUUAUGUUUAUAUUGCGGAGAACCUAAGCACACUGCUCAACAUUGUCCAAAGAAGUGACGCAACUAUAAAAUGAGGGGUACGACGGUCAAAGAAAACAACAUGUCGGAAAACGGAUUCGUCCAGCUACAAUAGGGACCAUGUAGCUGGAACCUUGUACAAUUCCUAAUGAAGGUUCUAUCCUCUCCUCAGAACCCUCUCCUUGUUUUAUAAUAGACUUAUAUUUAGGACCUAAGAAUUACAAAGCCUCUGCUUUAUUAGAUUCAGGAGCCUCAGCAUGUUUUUUAGAUGAACAAUUUGUUAAAAGUCGUAAAAUACCUUUUGUACAGAAACCUAAACCAGUACAUGUAGAAGUCAUAGAUGGUCGUCCCUUGUCUUCUGGAGAUGUCACUCAUGAAACUCAUCCUAUAAAAGUAACAAUAGACGGUCAUGAUAGCUACAUAGCUUUUAACAUAAUUAAAUCUCCGUCCAAUCCAGUUAUUUUAGGUUUAUCCUGACUAGAAAAAUAUAACCCUCGAAUAGAUUGGAAUUCGCGUAAACUUGACUUUUCCCAGAGCGUUAUUAAUAGUUCUCCUAACCAAGUAAAAAAUUAUAAGUCUAGUAUAGUAAAACCCGUACUGAUAGGUGCAAAAGCAUUUAUACACGCAGCAAAAGAAGGAUCAACUUUUGCUAUUUAUGCUGCACCUAUUUCUGAAAACGUAAAGACUUCAAGUGGCAUUCCAAGUCAAUAUCAGGAGUAUUUUGAGAAAAAGAAUGCAGAUAUUCUUCCUGAGCAUCGUCCAUAUGAUUGUUCAAUCGACCUCAAGGAAGGAACUCAGCCACCAUUUGGACCAAUUUACAGUUUAUCGCAAGAUGAGAUGGCUGAACUCAAGACAUAUAUUGACGAGAAUUUAGCGAAGAAUUUCAUACGCCAUUCAAAAUCUCCAGCAGGAGCUCCAAUUCUAUUCGUAAAGAAAAAAGAUGGAUCUUUACGAAUGUGUGUUGAUUAUCGAGGACUCAACAAGAUCACAAUCAAGAAUAUGUAUCCAUUACCUUUGAUAUCAGGACUCCUUGACCAGUUGAAUCAAGCUAAGAUUUAUACAAAAAUAGAUCUAAGAGGAGCAUAUAAUCUAGUACCGAUCAAAGAAGGAGAUGAAUGGAAGACUACGUUUCGAACCAAGUAUGGACAUUUCGAAUAUAAUGUCAUGCCCUUUAGACUCACGAAUGCACCAGUUGCUUUUCAACAUCUCAUGAAUGAUGUAUUUCGUGAAUUCUUAGACAAUUUUGUCGUCUGCUAUCUAGACGAUAUCCUGAUCUAUUCUAAGAACGUCGAAGAACAUGAAAUACAUGUUCGUCAAGUAUUACAAAAACUUAGAGAUGCAGGAUUGUACGCCAAGAUAGAAAAGUGUGUAUUUCACACUACUCAAGUUGACUUUUUAGGAUACAUUAUUUCAAAUGAUGGUCUCAUGAUGGAUUCUAAGAAAGUCCAAACAAUCAUGGAUUGGAAGAUUCUAAGAACAGUAAGAGAUGUCCAAUGUUUCUUAGGAUUUGCCAAUUACUAUCGGAUCUUCAUCAAAGAUUUCUCACGAGUUGCAGCUCCACUUACACGCUUGACUAGUAAAGAUAAAUUUCAAUGGAAUCAAGAAGCGGAAGCAGCAUUUGAAGCCUUGUAGACAUCGUUUGUCUCUGCACCAGUCUUAUAUCGUGUUGACUUUUUCAAGGCAUUUUUUAUGGAAACAGAUGCAUCAGAUUUAGCCUUGGGUGCAGUUUUAUCACAAAUGGGAACAGAUGACAAACUUCAUCCGAUAGCUUUUCAUUCAAGAAAAUUCUCAGCAGCCGAGAUCAAUUAUGAGAUCCACGAUAAAGAACUUCUUGCGAUUGUGGAUUCCUUUCAAGAAUGGCGUCAUUAUCUAGAAGGCGCUUCUAGUCCAGUCACUGUGUAUACAAAUCAUAAGAACCUCGAGUAUUUCAUAUCAGCACGCGUGUUGAAUCGUCGUCAAGCUCGUUGGAGUAUGUCUUUGUCAAGAUUCGAGUUCAUUAUCACUUAUCGGCCAGGAAAACAACAAAGUUUGUCCGAUGCCCUAUCUAGACGUUCUUAUUUUGUACCAAAAGAAGGAGAUGCAGCUUUUGAGCAACAGAGAACGGUCUUCUUGAAACUGAAGCAAUUUCAUCUCCGAGCAAUGAAAUCAACAUUGACUGUUGAUUCAACUUUUUUCAAGCAAAUCCAGUCCAGUAUGUCCUCAGACCCUCUUGUUCAUGAUAUCGAGAAUAAUUCUUCCAAGUCUCAUGAUCCUUCUAAGUUCGAGUUCAAGAAUAAUCUAUUAUAUUUUGAAGGACGCCUAUAUGUUCCAGAAGGAGAAGCACGUUUACGUGUUCUUCAAGCACGUCAUGACUUUCCAGCAGCAGGGCACUUUGGAUAUAAUAAGACUUUAGAACUCAUAUCAAGAGAUUUUUGGUGGCCACAAAUGUGAAAGUCAAUCAAAGACUUUGUACAAUCAUGUGAUAUUUGUUCAAGAUCAAAAAUUCCUCGUCAUCGACCUUACGGACUUCUUCAGCCAUUACCUAUAUCAGAACAACCAUGGUCUUCUGUUUCUAUGGAUUUCAUCACAGAUCUUCCAAGCUCAAGAUCUUAUGAUUCUAUAUUUGUGAUAGUAGAUCGUUUCACCAAGAUGGCACACUUUGUGCCAUGUACAAAAUCUAUCACAGGUGAAGAAACAACUAAGCUUUUCAUUGAUAAUAUCUAUCGCUAUCAUGGAUUACCUAAAGAUAUCAUAUCGGAUAGGGGAACUCAAUUUGUGUCGAGAUUCUGGAGGACCCUUUUCAAGAUUUUAAAAGUGGACAUAAAGCUAUCUUCGGCUUUCCAUCCUCAAACUGAUGGACAAACAGAGCGUGUAAACUAAGUCUUGGAGCAGUAUUUAAGGUGUACUAUCAACUACCAACAAGAUGAUUGGAUAACCCUUCUGCCAUUGGCAGAGUUUGCUUAUAAUAAUACGGUACAUUCUUCCACGCAACAAAUACCUUUCUUUGUCAAUUAUGGCUAUCAUCCAUGACUUGAUACUUUUGAUUUUUCAAAAGUUGAUAAUCCUGCAGCAGAAGAUAUGGCAAAUCGGUUGUCAGAGUUACAUGCAAUAAUGAAGACACAAUUGAAGGAAGCUCAAGAACGACAAAAAAUAAACGCAGAUCUAUAUUGUAAGGAGCAACCACAACUCAACGUGGGUGAUAAGGUAUGGCUACUUCGUCGCAAUAUCAAGACUACUCGACCUUGUGACAAGUUGGACUAUCGUAGGCUUGGCCCCUUUUCUGUUUCUGAAUAGAUCAACCUAGUUGCAUAUCGGUUACAUCUACUGGAGUCAAUGAAGAUCGAUCUUGUAUUCCACGUGUCUCUUCUUAAACCAUAUAAGACAGUGGAUAUACAAGGAAGAAGACAAAUGCCACCGCCUCCUAUAGAAGUAGAUAAUAAUGAAGAAUUUGAGGUGGAAGAGAUAUUAGACUCAAGGCGGUGCCGAAAUAAGCUGGAAUAUCUUGUUCAUUGGCGCGGAUAUGAUAUUAGUGAACGCACAUGAGAGCCAUUCAGGAAUCUAGCAAAUGCAUCAGCUAAAGUCAAAGUUUUUCAUCAACGACAUCUAUCGAAACUAAGAUGAAAAUCUCUCUUAUAAAAGAGACAAGAUUGAGGUAAGAUAACAUUCAAUUUCCUAUCCUUGUUUGUAACUUCUUUGCAUUUGUGACGCUAAUUAGAUGGAGAGCCAACAACCAGCGGAUGCAACUCAAGAACCUUCGUUUGCUGACCUGCCGGAUGAGACAUUACGAUUGUCACAACCUUCAAGACGACGCAAUCGAGAUGAAGAUCUUCAAGAACGACAUGUUCUUCCUCGAAUAGAUGGUGAGAUACAACGCGUUUGGUAUCACGAUUUGGGAAGGGACUUCCGAUGUUUGGUAAUUUUGCUAGAGGUAGGAACAACUCCUGAUGGUGUUCCAAAUAUUCUAUUCGAAGAAAGUUACGAAGGCCUCAACAAUGAUCAAAUAACUGGGUGGUCUUCCCGCCCUGGUAUGGGACACUACCGAUGGUUGAGAGGCCCUAUCAAUCAUCUUCGAAGAGAAUAGAGAUCAGAGUAUGUGGCGAAUACAAUUCGUCGCAUCAUAAAUUUCCUCAACAUAUGAUGAUCGCUCUUCGUGGAACUCAUCUCUAAAAGGGGGGUAAUGUCACGGCCAUAAUCAUGUAAGCUAAUAAUUACAUAUAGAAAUAGGUAGAAGUAAGUAAAAGUAGAUAAAAGUAAGUUAAUUCUAUAAUAUUUAAUAUAGAAGCUUCCUAGAAACUUCCUAGACGCUACUUUGACCUCAUAGGUGUCUUUAAUUGACUUUUUGGAUUAGAAACGUGGUCAACAAGUUGGCCAUGUGCCACACAUGUUGUUAGCUUGAAGAUCAAGUUAACUAUGUGGCCCACACGUAGAAAAACUUGCCUUGUAAGUCAAGGCAUGUGUCCUACAAAGUCAACACAUAUUGGAGGUCCUAUAGAACGUCGCCAUGUAGCCCCUAGUUAGAUAGUAUAUAUAGAGACAAGAGUGAAGGCUUCUUCACUCUUGUCAACUCCUUUCUUGCUUCUAGUCCAGAUUCAAGAGUCUUUAGUUUCUUGUCUUGUGGCAAUAGCCAUUCUAGUUUCUUUUUAAUAUACCUACUUGUUUAUAUUUUGACUUAUUAUAUCGAGAUAGCCUUUUUGUGUAUAUUUUCCCUCAUUGAGUCUUUGUCCUUGACAGUAAUCUCAAAUAGACAAAAUUGUUUCUUUUGAUAAAUUAGAUUUUAUUCUCUUUUUACUUCAAUAAUAAUUCAAUAAGUUAUUAAAAUAUAUUUUAAUAAAAUAUAUGUAUGUAUAUAUAAAGUUGUUUUUGUUUUUGUUUUUUGUUUUUUGUUUUGUUUUGUUUUUUUUUUUUUUUAUGAUUAACAAUACAAAAAGUUGUUAGUAUCUAUUAUAUCUACAUGAAUUGAUUCAAGGUUUGAACUAAUAAAAUUCUAAAUUACUUUUAAAGAUAUAGAAAUUAUAGAAACAUAAAAAUAUUACACGAUUGAAAUAUAUGUAUAUCUACAUAUACAUAUUUAUAUAUAUUAGACUGAAUUUUUAUAAAAUAAAAUAUUAAUUUUUUACAAAAUACCUAAAGCCAUUUUUAUUGAAAAUACAACAUAAAAUUUUGUUAAGCUUUAGUCAAACAAGGAUCUUUGAUAAAAAUAUAAAAAUCUUCAGAAAUGCAAUAAAAUAUAGAUUCUAAGGUUUAUAUAAGGUUUUAAAAAUAAUGAAUUUAUAUAAAGAAGUACAUAUAUAGGCAUUUAUAUGCUUUUUUACUACAAAAAAUUAAAAUUAAAAUUAAAAUUAAAAAUCCCAUCUAGUACAACUAAUUCUUAAUCAACUAUUCUUGUUGCUUUGUAGAUUAUGUAUUUAUAAUUUUCAGAAGAAUUUUUGCUAGAAAUUAAAAAAUUAAAAAUAAUUUAUUUAAAUUCAUCAUAUAUAUAUAUAUAUAUAUAUAUAUAUACAUAUAAAAGUUACGUAUUAAAAUUACAUUUUCAUAUUUUGAUUCAAAAUUCUUGACUGAAAAAUGUCUAAAAUUAUUGCAUAUGUUAAUAAACUUUAUAAAGUAUUUAAUUUUACUUGUUAUAUUUAUUUCAUUUUAUUUUAUUUUCUUUUCUUUAAAAAAACUAAAAUCUUGCCAUACCUUGCAAAACGAAUUUGUCAUAAAAUUUAUAUUAAACUCUGUUUACAAACACUGCAUUUGACCAUUUUAUUUGAAAAUAUCAUAAAGGGGUCUUUAUUCUUAGGAGAAAAGAUGGAAGGCCACAAUUUUUUGAAUCCAUUGCUUCGUUAGUGUUAAGAAGCAUCACUUAGUUGACUUCACACCUAGAAAAAUUAAUCCAUGGGUCCAAAAAGAAAAGAGAUGGAAUACAUUUUAUUUCUUAGAUGGCAACUAGUAGUAUUAUCUCCUAAAAUCUGCUUAUCUCAAAAGCUCAUGAGUACAAAAAUUAAAGAUUUUUUCAAAUUUUAUUUAAAACAACCAUUAAAAAGUAAAACUUCUACAAAACUUAUGCUUCUCAGAAUUAUUUGAAUAUAAAUAAGCAAUGCCGUUUGAAAACUUAAAAUAGAAGAAUAAUUUGGUCAACAGUCAAGCCCAGACUCACUAAUUUCUCAUGGUGAUUGUCUUCUUUCCACAAUAGAAAGUGCAACUGAAUCCCACAAAUGAAGAAAGACAACUGCGACUUGACUAGGUAUGUGUUUUCUUUUCUCUUCUUUGCUGUGGUAAAACAUUACACCAAAUUCUAUCCACUUGUAGUCCACGAAGGACAAAGGUGUGCUGCGGUGAAAGGUUACGGCCACUGUUCAGCGUUUUAUGAUCACACUGCACAGAGCUGCAGAGUUCUGACGUAAGUGCAUCUUGGAAUCAACAACAUUAUUCAAUUCCAAAAGUAAAAAAUAAAAUAAAAAACAAUAAAGCUGCAGACUUCGUCCUGCCAGCUUCACCUUUGGACCGAGUCUAAGUUGGCAUGCCAGCACCGAAUAAUGCUGGCUUGUGCUAUUUUUUCAAAGAGCUCUCAAUCAUGCAUCCCUCCAGUGAUUGUGGACAUCUUCAGACGCGGACUAAAACUUUGGGGGUCAGGAGCGGAUCACAUCUAAAUUCUGACCGCAUCCAUUGCAUCACUCAGACCUAGCCCAUUUGUGCCGGAGUGAUGUUGGUGCAGCUUCUUGUUGGUUCUUGCAGCCCAUUGCAGAUCUCAACGUCCUAAGGCACAAUCCAUAUCUGCUGUAGGAGAUAAAUCAUUUUGCUGCGUUUGUAUUCAAGCUAUAAUAUUGUUUUGGGAGGUUUGUUUGUAGUGCAAGCGUAUUUGAGACGUAUUCGGCGGUACCUUUGCUGAGAGGGAGGAGCAACAGCAGCAGCAGCUAAACGAAUGGCGAUGUUCAGGACUUUUCUACUGGUUUUCAUCUUGUUGUCGCUGUUUGUUGCUUGCAGUUCCCAAACUAUUAGCAACACUGCAUUGAGUGCAGAUUCAACCCUUUGCGGAGUAUCAGGUGGUUCAUAUGCCACGUGCGGUUCGAGCUCUGUAUACUCUGCUGGAUGCUACACUGGCUGUGCAAGAACAUAAUGGCGCUUCCACAUGGAACUGGGUGGUCUGUAGGUGUUUGGUCUGUAGAGAUGCAGGAAUGCAAGUUACUAGACCCGAGAGAGACACUUGCGUGAUAGUUCUUGAAACUCAAGAUGUGAUUGUGUAAGCACAUGCUGCUGCUCCUCGUCACCUGAGGAUGCUGUUAUCGCAGUCCUUGGCUACAGGCGAUUGUGCCGAAGGUGUGAGCUCCUCUGGAAUGCCUAAAGCCAACUUGUUAUGUUCAAAUAAACAUCGGGAUGGAACUUGUGAUGGAAACGCGGCGUUUGUACUUGGUGCCUUGAACCGAUUUCUGAGACGAUAAUAAACUUUCUCGUUGAUUCCCCUGUUUUAUCGAGCUUCCACCCUGUCUUGGGAUGCGCUGGUUUUAUGGGUUGUUGCCAUUCGUCUGCCGUUUAGACUUGCAACAUGUAGCGCGGACCCAGGGUAUGGUCAGCUUCUGGAUCGCAACUUACCAAUCUGAGAUAUGGCAGGCUUGAUUGGUUCAACGCCAGCAUCGUGUUCAGAUCGUCCAAAACCCUACUUAGCCGGGGCAUAGAAAGCAUUCAGUAACGUGUACAGCCGAGUGGGCUGGAACGAACCAGCAUCACCGAGUAGAUAACGAUCUCCCAAGCCCGUCCUUGAUUCUUUCUCUUAAGGUUGAUGUAAUGCUCUUGAUCAAUAUGCAAAAAAGAUAGUGAUCAUAGAAAUCGAACAACUGCUUCAACAGGUUGUAUCAAUGCGCAAACGAUGGUCAGUCAUGGUCGCGUGUAAGCAGUGGUGCAGGAGUUACAGCAUGAAUGAGGGCGAUGUCAUGAAGUGGUCUCAGAAGGGUUCCGUCAUGUGAUUGCUGGUCGUGGGGACUCGCUCGCUGAAGCUGCGUGAGUGUAGUGACGAUGCGUUGUUUCUCGCAUGCGCUGAUGCAGCGUUGAUGGCCGCUUUGAGAAUGACACAGAACAGAAAUUGGGGUAGCAUGGAGGUCCUUCACAGCACGACUUGAGACGCAAAAGGCAACUCAUUCCAAUAGCUCAUGAAACAAAGUACUUCACUCAUGCCUUUUCAUGCUCUUGAGUCUAAUUCGAACACUAUCCGGGAGGAAAAUUGUAUGAUACAUACAAGGUGUGUGUUUAUAUGUAUACUAGUGGAAACUCGUGCAUGUUUAUAUGUAUAUCAGUGGAAACUUGUGCAGUUCGGCAUGAACUGCACUGCAAUCGAAGGCAUUGCCAUCCAUGUAUUUUAACGUUCCUUUGUUAACAUGUUUGAGAAGGCUUCUUUGUCUUCUAUCCCGAGCCGUUACAUAGAAAAGACACUUUUACAUAUGUUUUCUAACCAAUUUUUAACUUUGGCAAAAAUUUGGUUUUUUGAACGUUUCCUGCCAUAGUUUAGGGUUUAGGUUUUAGGAUUUACAUGAACUCGUUUUUUUAUAAAACCUUGUUUUUUAAGAAUUGCUAUAAUAUUUUCUGAAAAUGGGUAUUUGUAAUUUAAGAAAAUGCUUUUUAAACUAAUUUAUGUGUUUUUAACUUCAUUUUUGCAAUAUUGGGCACUUUAUUUGUUUACUUCAUUCUUUAUUUGUUUGCUUGUAUAACUACCUUUCAUAGAUCUUGUACCAAAUUUUAAAUCUUUAGAUUUGUUAUUUGAAAGUUGAUGGAAUCCUUCAUUUGGAUUGUUGUUCAUAAUGUCUAAUUAUGUUCUUUUUGUUCUUAUUUAUUUUCCAUAAAUAUUGUGGUUUGUACCAUAUUAUUGAGUCUUAUGAUGAUUCUUUUAGUUUUAUUUUUAAUAUUAUUAUUAUUUUUUAAAUUUAAGAAAUCUGGUUGAAUUUUGAUAGUGGGUAUAUUUAACUAGGAUUAGAGACAAUUACACAUUAAUAAUAUUUUGUUUCUUUACAAAUUGGCAUAUGCAAAUUGUAUAGGAAUAAAUUUGCUUUAAAGACUAGAAAUAAUAUUUCUUAUUUAAGGAUGAAAACCAUGGUUAUCUUCAAGUUUUUGACACGUGAUCAAAUUAGACAUUGAUAACUUGUAAUGUAUUAAUUAAUUUUUGGAUGAUUUAAUUAGAUAUUGGUAGUUUGUAAUGUGUUAAUUAAUUUUUGGGUGAUCUAAUUAGACAUUGGUAGUUUAUAAUGUGUUCAUUAAUUUUUGGAUGAUCUAAUUAGACAUUGGUAGUUUGUAAUAUGUUAAUUAAUUUUUGGGUGUUGCUUAUACUACCACAAUUUUUCUUAUUGCCACCACAACUUGCCAUCUACUAUACAUCAUUAUAAUAUUUGUUAGUGCCACUACAAAUUGCCCUAAGUUUGCAUUGCAUACCUCAAUGUACUAUAUAGAAUACUAAAAUAAACAUCCAUAAAGAAUGUGCAUUUUAUCCAUUUUGAUGUACAUCAUCAAUAUUAUAUAUUGUACAUUGCAAUGUGCAACACAAGUUUAGAGAAGUUUGUGGUGGUAUUAGUAAAAACUGUGAUGGUAUAUGAAAGAUAGCAAGUUGUGGUGUGAGUGAUAAAAAUUGUGGUUGCAUUAGAAAUAUUCUAAUUUUUGGAUCAAAUUAGUUUAUAUUGGUUUUUAUCAAGUCGUACAAAAAUAUUACCUAAAUUGGUCUUAUCUAUGUAUUUUGUAUCAUAUAUUGCUUUUACAUCUUCAAAAUAUCUAUUGGUAUAAAUGAGAUUUUCUUAAUUUAUUGUAGUAGAUACUCUACAUUUAUUGCUUGUCAUAUUUGUAUAAAUGGAAUAUUUAUAAUUCUUAUAUAAGAAAAAUCAUUGUUGUUGACUAGUUGAUAUUUGACAAAGAAUUUGGAAUUUACAAAGAAAGAUAAAUUACAUAUAAAAUAAUAGCUAACACAUCAUAUUAAACAAAUUGUUUGAGUGUUUGAUAGUAAAAAACUCAUCUCAACUUUCAAAGAUGUAUCAUAUGGCAAGGUUGUUCUACAUCAUAGAAAUUUUCUAUUAGAUUUUACAUUCAUAUGGUGAUUCAUUGAUAAAUUAUAAAUCUUCAAGUAAUUUUUAGAAACUAAUUAAAAAUAUUAGAUACUAUAAAUAAUCAAAGAAUUAAUAAAAAUUAAAUAAAGUAUAGAAAAGAUGGUUUUAAAUAAGUUUAUUAAUUAUUUAAAAGAUCAAAGAUAACUUUUAGAAAUUAAAGGAUAUUUUAAUAAAAUAAUAGAUUGUUAUACUUUUAUAAUAAUUUAUAGACUGAUAUCUAUUUUUGAUGUUGAUAUUAUUUCUAUUCUUGCAUCAUUAUGUUUGUUAAUAUAAUUGCCACUUGAACUUAUUCUCUUAUAUGUCCUUGGUUAAUGGAAUUAAAAUUUGUAGUAAUGGUGCCAUGAUUAUAAUCUAUAUUUAUGCAACUUGACAGAUGACCAAAAAUCACAUAAGAAUCAAGUUAAAUAUGUAGUUUUUUUGACAUUAAAAUGCUAUGAAGAUAUUAAAUCUAAGUUAAUUUUAGUAUUAUUAAAUAAUAUUUUAAAAAUUGAUAGAAGCACAAAUUCCAACACAAUAUGAGCCACACUUAAGAUAAAGUUAGUUAAGUAUCAUAAUAAGUAUUAGAUUUAAAUCCAAUAUGACUUCUUUUGUCAUCUUAACUUCAAUUUUAUUAUAUCCAAAAGUAAAAUAAAAUUAUAAGAAAUUCUAAUUAUAAUCAAUAAAUAAGAAUUAAACAUAUAUUUUUAUUUAAUAUUAAAUUAAAUAUGAAUUAAUUUGUAAAAUAUUUAAAAAAUAAACAUAUAUAGAAACUAAAUUAGAAGAAUUUUUUUUGGUUAUUUUCUUAUUAUGAAUGUUAUUAUGUAAUAGCUUUAAUAUAUAUAUAUAUAUAUAUAUAUAUACAAUGCUUUAAAUAAAUAGAAAAUAUAAAUUUUUUUAAAGAUAAGAUUAUUUUUUGAAAUAUAAUUUAUUAUUUAUAUAUAUAAUAAAAAAUUCUUUUUUUAGAUAAAUAAAUAUAUGUAUAUAUAUUUAUAAGGACUUUAUUAAAAAUAUGUUAAAAAUAAUAAUUAAUCACUUUAUUUUAAAAAUAAAAUUUUUGUAGUGUCUAUUAAAGAAAUAGAACUUUGAAGUCGCAAAAUCAUGGCAAAGAUACAAAGAAUUAUAGAAGGUCCAUACUAAUAGAAUUAGUGGUUUUUGAAGAAUCAAGUCUCAAUGGAUUUGCACAAAUAUUCAAGAAGUUUUUAAAAAUCCUAAAAAUUUCUUGUUACUUAUUUAGAUUUUUAAUUUAAUCUUAUUUAUUAGAAAUAAAUUAUUGUGAUUAAUUAAAUUUAGAUUUUUUUAGGAAUCAAGAUAUCUUUAUAAUAAGAAAUAUCACAAUAAUAGUUUGAAUGUCAUCAUGGUUUUAAAUGUCUAAGACCAUAAAAGCUACAAUCUUUCUAUUUGGUCCAAAUCUAAGGCCUUCAAUGUUAUCCAAUGCCUUCACCUUCAUUGUAAAAGAUGCAAAUGUACUUUUAUGUUUAGCGUUGUCAUAUCACAAGGUGUUUGGCUUGAAAUGUACUGGGCACUUAAUUGUGGAAGAUAAAAGGAAAAUUGCAACAAUAAGUCCUAACAACUCUAAUAGAUUCUUAAAAAAAUUACAAUUAAAGAUUAGUAAAUAAAAUCAAAUUUUAAUCAAAUUCAAUCAAAAUUUCAAAAGAAUUAUAUAAUAAAUAAAAAUUAUUUCUAAAGAUUGUUUAAAGAAAUCAUAAAUAAAUAAUAUAGAAUUCAAAAAUAUAUUAAAAUAAAAAUCUUAAUAAAAUAUUAAAAUAGAAACCUUAAUUAAAUCUUAGUCAAAACCUAAUCAAAUCCUAAAUAAAUCCUAGUCAAAUCCUAACAAAUCCUAAUUAAAUCCUAAUCAAACUCUAAACAAAUCCUAAUCAAAUCCUAGUCAAAAUCUAAAUAAAUCCUAACCAAAUCUUAAACAAAUCUUAACCAAAUUCUAAAUAAAUCCUAGUCAAAUCCUAAACAAAUCCUAACCAAAUUCUAAUCAAAUCCUAGUCAAAUCCUAAACAAAUCCUAACCAAAUUCUAAUCAAAUCUUAACCAAAUCCUAAACAAACCCUAAAAAAACUCUAACCAAAUCCUAAAUAAAUCCUAGUAAUUCCUAUAGCAAAUAUAAAUCUCAAUAACUAAUGAAUGAACUAUUUAUUUUCACUUAAAUUUUACAAACUUCUUGAAAAUUAAAUUGAAAACAAGCACAAAAUUUUUGAAGAAGAUCAAACUCACCAAAAUAAAGAUCAACCCUAAUGUUUGCUUGGAUGUUGCCCAACGUCCUUCUCCAAUCUAAAUGUUGAAUUUCCAGUACCAAUAUCUCCUUAUUGAACUAUUUAAUUUAUCUCAAAUUUCUUGCAUACUUAAGAAAGCAAGUCUUCUACCUACAUACUUAAUUUUUAUUUCAAUCCAACUAAUAGAUUGCAAGAAAACUUAAAAAUCCUCACUAGACCUAAAACUCUAUUUUUUGAGACUUUGACUCACUUAAAUCUCAAUAAUCCUUGAUCCAACCCUUCAAUCAAGCUCAAACUCAUAGCAUAUAUUGAACACAUAUAAAUCCACAAACCUUCAAAAUUUCACCCAUGCAUCUACUACCAAAUUUAUAACAUUCUCCAAAACGUAUCUCCUCUUUUAUUUCACAAAUCCAAAGUCAUCCAAAACAAACCUUAACUUUGCAAAGCUCUUACAAAGUCAAUAAAAAUCUAAAUCACCCCAAAUAAAUGCUCAUUGAAAUCUUACCAAUUUUUCUCUCUAAUCCUACUCUUUAAUCUGCCAAAGAACUCCAAAAUCAUCAUGGAGGUUUGGUUUUGUGCCUUGGGGACUGAUUUCAAUCCUAGUUCAUAACCAAUCUUUUUUGGAUAUUAUUAUCUAGUUUUUUUAGCUAAUUUUUGCUAUAAUUUUUUCUUAACUUCUUUCUAAAUAUGCUUAUAUCAUUUAAUUUUCAAAUCUAUUUUUUUUGCCUUAUUUAUGGCCCUACAAAGUAAGAAGAAGUCAAUUUUCUAAAAAGGUAGUAUUACUACUAAAAGUUUUACUAUCUUCCUAUCUUUUAUUCAUAUUUUUUUACUUUAUCUUUUAACAUGAUUCUUCUAUAAUAAGAUCCAUAUUAUCAUCUUUUAUCAUAUAGUUGUAUUAUAACAUGACAAAGCUUAUUGGUUUUGUAGCAAAUAAGUGUCUAUUAAAGAUUGAACUUUAAGACUAGGUUAACAUCAACUUGAUUAAUCUUAUAAGAUCCGUCAUUUAAAUUUUAAUGUUAAAAAGAUAAUACUUUGUCUUGAAAUUUGUAUUAAAAUUUAGUACUAAAGUAGCUUUUAUAAAAAGUUUUCUAUUACUUGAUUCAUAUUUUUUAUACUUAUAAUUAUAAUUGUUAUAAUUUGAUUCCCAAUUGUCACAGAUAUACAAUUGAAGAAGGUUCAAGAAGGUUCUAGAAGGUUUUAGAAGGUUCAAGAAGGUUCUAAAAGAUUUUAGAAGGUUCUAAGAAGGUUCUUAUAGAUCCUAGAAGAUUCUAAAAGGUUUUAAUAGGCUCUAAGAAGAUUCCAAAAGAUUCCAGUAGAUUCUAAGAAAGUUCUAGAAGGUCAUAGGAGAUCCAGGAGGUUCUAGGAUGCUUUAGAUGAUUUAAGAAGUUGCCAAAGAAAGAUCUUAGGUUUUUUUUGUUUCCAUAAAGCCAUGAUGACAUUCAAACAUGUUAAAAAUGUUAUCAUGGUUUAAGCUUCAUCAAAACUUCUCAAGAAGCUUCUUAGGACCUAGUAUAUAUAGGAGUUGAGGUUGGAUGGAUCCUUAGUCUCGACAACUCACUUCUUAUAGUUUAGACAAGAUCUUCUUGCCUAGUAUUUAAUUAUUAUUUUUAAUAUCGAGCUAACUCCAUUUCUUGAUCUUGAAUCCUUCUCUUGUACAUAGCCCCUAAUAAUUUUACGAGCAUCUUGACGAUUUUGUUAUGAUCUAUUUGGGUGAAUUUUUUUAGUCUUUUCCAAGAAUCUACAAGACUACAAAAAAUAUGUCGGCUUUGUAUUGGAAAAGCUACAAAAAAUUGGAUUAUAUGUAAAAUUGAAAAAGUAUGUAUUUCAUGCACCUCAAGUCGAAUUUUUUGGAUAUAUUAUUUCCAACAAAGGCCUUUUUAUGGAUCCAAAGAAGAUACAAGCAAUCAUCGAUUGGACAAAGUCAAAAACUAUACAUGAUGUCUAAUGAUUUCUUGGAUUUGUAAACUUCCAUAAGAUUUUUAUUAGGAAUUAUUCUAAGAUUGUUGCUCCAGUUAUGCAAUUGACAUGCAAGGACAAGUUGGGUUGGGACUGCAAAGUAGAGAAAGCUUUUCAAAGCUAAAAAGAUGCUUAUACAAUAGCUCUAAUUUUGAUACAUUCAAAUUUCAACAUGUCCUAUUUUAUGGAGAUCAAUGCCUUAGACUUUGCAUUGGAAGCAGUCUUGUUGCAAUAUGGAAAAGAUGACAAACUUUAUCUAAUUACAUUCCAUUCUAGAAAAUUCUCAGCAAGAAAAAUCAACUAAAAAAUCCAUGAUAAAGAGUUCUUUGCCAUUGUAGAUUCUUUCUAAGAAUGGCCUCACUUUCUUGAAGGUACCUUUCAAUAGGUGAUUGUAUAUAUAAAUCACAAGAAUCUUGAAUACUUUAUGUUAGUCCAAGUCUUAAAUCACCACCAAUUACAUUAGAAUAUAUCUUUAUCACAAUUUGAUUUUUGCAUCAUGUAUCAAUCCGGGAGCCAACAAGGGUUAUCAAAUGCAUUAUCAAGACGUUCUUACCCUGAACCAAAAGAAGGUAAGGCAAUAUAUGAUCAAUAAUGGACAAUCUUAUUAAAACCUGAAAUCUUGAUUAAUUGAAUAAGAUGGCACAUUUUAUACCUUGCAAGAAAUUAAUUACUGGUGAUGAGAUAGCAAGCCUCUAUAUUGACAAUGUCUAUUAUUACCACAAGUUGCCAAAUGACAUUGUGUCAGAUCAAGGAUCACAAUUUGUGUCAAGGUUUUGAAAGGGACUCUUCAAGAUUCUUAAAGUUGACAUGAACCUUUCUUCUACCUUCCACCUUCAAAUUGUUGGCCAAAAAAAGAAGGUCAAGCAAAUUCUUAAGCAAUAUUUGAGGUGUGCUAUCAACUAUCAAUAAGAUGAUUGAACUUCCUACUUUGGUGCAACAUAAAAACCAAUAGGCCAUAUGAUAAGUUGGACUACUAAAAGUUGGAACCAUUUGUGAUUUAGAAACAAAUUAAUAAUGUAACUUAUCACUUGGAAUUAGCUUCAUUCAUGAAAAUUCAUCUAAUCUUUCAUGUUUCACUUUUGAAAAGAUAUAAAGAAAUGAACAUACUAGGUUGAAUACAAUUACCACCUCAUAUGGUUGAAAUCAAUAAUCAUAUUGAAUUUGAGGUAGAAGGGAUAUUAGAUUCAAGGAUAAGAUAUAGAAGGCUUGAAUAUUUGGUCCAUUGGCGCAAAUAUGAUAUCAACAAUCGCACGUGGGAACCAACUUACAACCUUAUAAAUGCAUAAAUGAAGGUUCAAAAGUUCUAUCAAUGACAUCUAUCUAGACCAAAAGUAACAAAAUGAAUAAUAGUAGCUUGGUAAGAUGGCUUCACUAUAAAGAUUUUUAAUUCUUAGCCUUAUAAAGAAGGAAAAGAGGCAAUCUCUGAAGAGGUAGUUUUUUCAAAUGUUUAGAAAAAUAUAAGUCAAUAGUUUGAGUUCACGACCAUAGUCUGUUUAUAUUCUUUUGAUCUUAUCUACUUUAUGUAAUAUGGAUAGUCAAAAAAUAGAUACCCUAUCAAUCAUACCAUCUCAACUAAGUAGCUCAUGAAAACAAUCCCAAGAUAAAGAGCCACUUGAACUACAAAGAUAUCAAAGGAUAUUUAGUAAUAGGUCAUUGUUAAUUGUGUUUGAGGUAAAAUCUAUCUAUGAAGGACAUCCAAAAAGAGUGUUUGCAGGAAAAUUCCAUAAAAAAGAUACUGAAGUUCAUGCUUAGUGAUAAGUAGAAGGCUUGGGGUACUAUCAAUGCCUAUAAGGGCCUAUAAAUCAUUUGCCUCUCAAAAAACAAUUAGAAUAUAUAGUGGACACCAUGUGAUAGAUCUUCAACUUCUUGUGCAUAUAUUGACUUGAGCAAUAUUAUUUCUUGGAGACCUCAAAGCUAGAAAAAGAGGUGAUGUCAUGGACAUAUAAUUGAAGAAGAUUUGAGAAGUUUCUAGAAGGUUUUAAAAAGGUUCUUGUAGAUCCUAGAAGAUUCUAAAAGAUUCUAAUAGAUUCUAAGAAAAUUCUAGAAUGUCAAAGGAGAUCCUAGAAGUUUUUAAGAGGCUUUAGAUGAUUUAGGAAGUUGCAAAAGAAGGAUCUUAGGCUUGCUUUGUUCUCAAGUUUCAUGGAAAUAUUUUCAAGAAGCUUCCUAAGACCUAGUAUAUAUAGGAGUCAAGGCUGAGGGGAUCCUCAAUCUUGACAAGUCAAUUCUUCUGGUUUAGUCAAGAUCUUCUUACCUUGUAUCCAAUUAUUGUUCUAAUAUCGAACUAACUUCAUUACUUGGUCUUGAAUCCUUGUCUUGUACAUGGUCUCUAACACCAAUAAUUGAAAGAUAUUAAAAUAUCCUAUUAGAUUUAUUUUUUAAAACUCGAUAAUAUUUUUUAUAAGAUAUUUUUAGAAGUUUGUUAAAUAAUUGUCAAAGUAAUAUAAAUAGAUAAAUAUAAAAAAUACUUAAAAAAUCUUCUAUUCCAUAGCUAUACUUUUAGUUUUAGAUGUAAAAAUCAUUCUUUCAUCUAUUAUCUUACUAAUAUCCUUCAUUAAUGAAGAAAAAGAUGUAUCAUUGGAAUAUAAAGAAAUACCUCAAUAAAAUAGUUUUUGUCUUAAAUUAAAAGACAAUAUUGAUGACUAGCUACAAAAAUCUAAGUCAAAAACUUAAAAAAAAAGAAAUUUGGAAAAAAGUUGAACAUAUUAGAAGCCCAUCUCCCUACAUACUCAGCACCUUCAAAGCAAAGCUCUAAUUUCCAUACAAUGUAAGUUCUAGAGAUUGUGUUUAAGCUAAAUCAAAUUACUUUGGUAGCAUAAGAUUUAUAGGAGCAAAUUUCAUAUAAUCCAUCUUGGAUCUCCUCUUGUCAUAUACCAUGCUACCUUUCAAUAAGUAAAAAUAGCAAAAUAUUAGCAAAAAAAACUUAGACAAAGAAGUCAGCAACAAGAUUUGUAAGCCUCUUUUUUAGAAAGAAGCACCAUAUUUCAUCAAGUCUCUUUGAAGCGUUAGUGUAGGAUCUUAUCCAAUUCUCCUCAAUUCUAAUAAAUGUUGAAAAGUAACUUCUAACUUGGACCAAUUAUAUGUAAGCAUACAUCAAAUCAAUAACAAUAUUAUCUUAGUAUCCUCUCAAGCAAGGUCCAAAGUACUAUGAUCACUCUACCUAUCAGUAUUAUUUAAAGAAUUAAGAGCAUAUAGCAAAGCUCUUGGGAUUAGCUUCAAACUCAUCUUGCAUACAUCUUUGGACCUGAUAGUAAAGCUCUUUUAGCAAAGAAUUUUAAUUCUAUUUUAUAGAUUAAUUAAUACUAGAAUCUCUAUACUAAAAGUAUUAUUUGCCAUGACUUAGCUAUUAUAGAGAUUUUUUAUAAUAAUAGCACUUUUUAUUCUGACAAAUUAUAAUAUCAAUAGACAAAAAUAGAAGAUUUCAAAGUCAAGGUUUAUCCAAAAUAAGAAAUGAUUCUAGAGGAAAAAUACAUGUUUUUAGUGUAAUUGCUUCAAUCUCAAAGGUAGUAACUUAAAUCCAAUUUAAAUUGACAUUGUACUAGACUUUGGUCCAAUUUUCCAUUCAAUAAAUAUGAUUUUUUCAAAUCAAUCAUCAAUAAAAAAAUAAAAAAUAAAAAAAAUAUUAAAGAAGAAAAUAUAUUUUCUACUAAUAUCUUUGAAUCAAACUAUAAAAUAGAAGUAUUUCUAUUAAAAAAAAUUAAAAGUCUAUAUACUCCACUAAAUCCAAUUUUAUACAAGAAUUUAAUUAACUUACUUCUAUGAUUAUUGUUCUUAAUUCCCUUUAUUGUUGUCAUUUUUUUUUUUUUUUUUUUUUUUUGUUUUGUUUUGUUUUAUUUUGUUUUGUUUUGUUUUGUUUUUUUUUUUCUGACAAGAAUCUUAAUAAACUUAAUACUUAAAUGAGCACCAAAAUAAAUCUUAAAAUAUAUACAUAUAAAUAAGGAAAAAAUUAAAAUAAUAUGCCUAUUAUAGCUAUCUUGACAAUUAAUUAGAUCCAAUCUGGAUUGUUGUCAUGGACAUAUAUAUUUACCUAGAUAAGAAGUACUAGAUAGAAGAUAAAUAUAGAUAGAUUUAAUAUUAUCUUAUUGUCAAGCUUCUUAAAAGCUAUAUAGAUACGUAUUUGAUUUUAUACAUGUUUAUAAUUGAUUGAUAGGUUAGAAACUUGGUCAACAAGUUAACCAUUUAUUGUACGUAUGGAUAGCUUGUGUUACAAGUUAAUGAUGUGAUGUGUAUAUAGAAAAAUUAAUUUGCAAGUUAAGACAUGUGUUUCAUAAAUUAGACAUAUAUUGGAGGUCCUAUAAGAUGUUACUACAAAGCUUCUAGUUGGAUAGUAUAUAUAGAGGCAAAAAUAAAGCCUUCUUUAUUCUUCUCAAUGCCUUUCUAGUCCUUAGUCUUAUUUCAAGACUUUUUAGUCUUCUUAUCUUUGGCAAUAGCCAUCUUAAUUCAAUAUAGUACCAUCUUUGAGUAAUUUUAUAGUCUUUUCAAGUGAUAUAAGAAUAUAUUGAUCUUUUAGUUGUCUUAGACUCAUAUCCUUGAUAAUUUGAAAAGAAUGUUAACUUUUUGCCUUUGCUUUGUUUUAGAAGUAAGUGGAUUAUUUCACUUCUAUUAUUGUAUUUUGAAGGUUGUGGAGUAUUUACCUUCAAACUUACUUUUAGUCUUUUAACAUUGAUUUUUUUUCUUAAAGAGAGUAGACUAUCUCUCUUUGUAGAAAAUUUUAUUUGAUAUUAGAGGUUGCAAAUUGCAUUCUUUUAAUCUUCAAAUUUUUUUGAAUUGCCUAUAAAAGAAAAAAUUAUGGAUACUACUCUUGGAGGAAGUAAGAAUAGAUUUAUAACUAUUACAAAUCUUUACAAGCUUAUUAAUACUUUAAUAGUAGAAAUUUCACAUAUUUCUAAUAUUAAUCAUGGAAGUAAUAUUUUGGCAUCUAUAGAAGGGAUCAAAAAUAAAUUUUGAAGUUUAUACUAAGAAAUUGUAUAAUUUAGAGAAGCAAAUGGAUCAAGCUUAAAAUUAAAUCUAAGAAGUAUUUUUAUUCCAAAUAUGAGAGAAAAAAGGAUAAAUAUGCUCUAAAAUUUCAAUGGAAUAAGAUCAAAAUUUUAAGGAUUUUUACAACAAAUAAAGCUUUAUCUAAGCUUGCAUCUUUUUCAAUACCUUAAUGGAUUUACUGAAGUUGGACUCAUAAGUGUACUUUUUUCUAGAAGUACUCUUUUUUAAUUUGCACCUUUAAUAAAAAAAGAUUCGUGUCUCUUCUAUGAUUUGAAUUUAUUUUUAAAAGUAUUUAUGUCUAUUUUUAGAAAAAAUUAUCAAAAAAGAUAGUAGAGACCAAAUUUAUAUCUUAACAACAAGGAUUAUGUUGUUGUAUUGUGGUUUGGCUACUAUGUGAAAAUAAUGUAUAUGUAUAUUUAAUGUAUAAUUUACUAUACAAUGUGAUGAGAACCACGUUGUUAAAUUCUAGUUGGUUACAAAAUAUGGUUAGAUUGCUACUUUAAAGAAGUUAGUUCAAAAGAACUAUUAUUGAAGUUGAUUUUAUAUUGAUAAUAGUUUUUAUAUAUUUAGAGCCAUCUUUAUUACAUAUUAGAGAUUCUUGAAAUCUUUUUUUAUUUCUUUUAUUUGGUGUUUAAGACACAUUUUAUAUAAAACUUAUUAGAAAAGAGAUUAAAAAAAGGUUUUUGUAUAAAAAGAGGUAAUUAGAUCAAUCAUAUGGAUGAAUGGAGAUGGAUGAUACAAAUCUCAAUUCCUAUUGGCCAAUAGUCAUGCCCAAUAGGCUUCAUGGACACUGCCUAAGGCCUUAUUAGGAAUUAGGAUUAUUCUUUUGAAGACAUUUGAACAUCAAAGGUUAAGGUCAUCAAGUCUAGGAUUUUGGAUAUGGUUUUGGUAAAUUUUUUGUAUGAUUUGGAGCUUUUGUGAAGGAGAUAUAGGUGCUCAAAGUCAAGAUAUUGAUUUUGUACUUACUGUCACUUUUUAGAGCAUAACAUAUAUAACUAAGUCUUUUGAGGAUCAAAUUAUGUAAUUAAUUUUUUUAUUUAAAGGGCUAUAUUUUUCAUAUUAAAAAUAAAAGUUUUAAAGUUUAUUUAAAGAAGCAACGAUUGUUUAAAGACAACACUUUUAAAUUAAGGUUUGUUAAUAAAUCAAUUUUAUGAGAGAUUUGGUUUUACCCUUAUCUCAGGUAUUUAGAUGAAUCUUUAGCUAAAAUUUUCUACAAAUAUGUAUUACUAUAUUUUAAAGCUAUAUACCAAAUUUUGUGGCACUUGAAUUUUGGAUUUUUGAAAUAUGAUAAAAAUAGUAUUUAGGUGCUUAUACAAAAUCUUUUAAGUAUAAAAAGAUUUUAUUAAUAGAAUUUCUUUUGAUAUUAUUGUAUUUAUUUGUCUUUUAUAAUAAGAAUAAAUAAUUUAUUGAAACUUGGUUAAUAAAUUAAAGCUAAAUUCUCUAUAAUUAGGUACCUAGUAUAUUUUCAGAUAAAAAAUCAUGCCAUACAACAAUGUUCAAUCACCAUAUAUAUUGCAAAAUUUCAAAUUCGUACUUAUGAUGUAGAUUGGAAUGAUAAAGAUUUUAUUGAUUUAUCAAUUUUAAUAUAGAUUAAAAAAUAUCAUCAAAGAUUUAUUAUUAAUGAUGCCAAAAAUAAGCUCAUUAUGAUAAUUUAUUGUUCAAAAUAUUAAAUGCAACAAUAAACUUUUUAAAAGACUCCAAGAUUUGAUUGGAGAGGUAUAAUUCAAGCCAUGGCAAUAACUUCUAAAUUCACAUAAGCUUAUUUAUCAAGACCAAAAUCUAAUAAAAUUAUGACGAUAUAAUUCAAGCUUCUUAUUAAGCAAAAAUGAAUUCAAUGCCAUCAAAAAGAUUUAUGCUUAUAUUAUAGAAAAUCUAAAUACAUUUCUCAAUAUUAUCUAAAGAAAAAAUAUAAUGAUAAAAUAAAGAGCACAAUUGCCAAAAAGGAUGAUGUUUUAAAAAACAAAUUUUUCUAGCUAUAAUAAAGACCAUGCAGUCCAAAUCUUGCAUAAUAUUUAGUAAAGGUCCUAUUUUCUCUUUAGAUCCUUCAUCUUGUUUUAUAAUAGAAGUUUGUUUAGGAUCAAAAAAUCAUAAAGUCUUUACUUUAUUAGAUUAAAGGGCCUUAGCUUGUUUCAUAAAGAAAGCUUUUUUUUAAAAAUAAAAAACAUCUUUAGUCAAGAAAUAUAUAUAUAUAUAUAUAUAUAUAUAUAUAUAUAUAUAUAUAUAAAUAGAAGUAUAAGUAUUUCAAAUAUGCCUUUUGGACUCAAGAAUGUACUUACUACAUUUUAACAUUUAAUUAAUAAUAUCUUUUGUAAGUUUCUUGAUGAUUUUAUUAUUUAUUAUCUAGACGACAUUUUAUCUAUUCUAAGAACAUAAAAGAGCAUUAAUUUCAUGUUUUUUAUGUGCUACAAAAACUUAAAGAUGUAGGAUUAUAUGCCAAGAUAGAAAAAUAUAUAUUUUACAUUACUUAAGUUGACUUUUUAAAAUAUAUCAUUUCAAAAUAAUGAUCUUUUUUAAGCAAGCUAAAUCAAAUAUAUCCUAUAACCUUCUUAUUUAUGAUAUUAAAAAUAAUUCUUUUAAGUCUCAUGUGAUAUUUGUUUAAAAUCAAAAACUUCUCAUCAUUAAUCUUAUAGAUUUUUUCAGCCAUUACCUAUUCUAGAACAAUCAUAGUCUUUUGUUUCUAUGGAUUUUAUUAUGGAUCUUUCUAUCUCAGAUUUGUAUGAUUUUAUAUUUAUAAUAAUAAAUUAUUACAUCAAGAUGGCAUAUUUUGUAUCAUAUAAAAAAUUUAUUAUUGAUAAAAAAAUAAUUAAGUUUUUUUUUGAUAAUAUCUAUUACUAUCGUAGAUUAUUCAAAGAUAUUAUAUUAGAUAAGGAGAUUCAAUUUAUAUCAAGAUUUUAAAAAAUUCUUUUUAAAGUUUUAAAGAUAGAAAUUAAGCUAUCUUUGGCUUUUUAUUUUCAAACCAAUGGACAAAUGGAGUGUGUAAAGCAAGUUUUGAAGUAAUAUUUGAGGUGUACUAUUAAUUACUAAUAAGAUGAUUGAACAAUUAUUUUAUCAUUGGCAAACUUUGCUUAUAAUAAUAUGAUAUAUUUUUCUAUAUAGUAAAUAUCUAUUUUUACUAAUUAUGAUUAUUAUCAAUGACUCGAUAUUGUUGACUUCUCAAAAUUUGAUAAUUUUAUAAUAGAUGAUUUUACAAAUCAUUUAUUGGAAUUAUAUACAAUAAUAAAAGUAUAACUAAAAAAACUCAAGAACAACAAAAAACCAAUGUAGAUGCCUAUUAUAAAAAAUAACCUCAAUUCCAUGUUAGGGAUAAGAUAUAGUUACUUUGUUGCAAUAUCAAGAUUAGCCCUCUUGUAAAAAAUUUAAUUAUUAUAGGCUUAUACCAUUUUAUAUUUGGAAUAAAUUAGUUUAAUUUUUUAUUGAUUAUAUCUGCCAAAGUCUAUGAAAAUUCAUCUUCUAUUUUACAUGUCUUUUUUUGAGUCAUAUAAUAUAGUAAAUAUCUUGGAAAGAAGACAAAUGCUACCUCCUCUUAUAAAAGUGGACAAUAAUCAAGAGUUUGAGUUAGAAGGAAUUUUAGACUUAAGGCGAUGCCAAAAUAGGUUAGAAUAUAUUGUUAGAUAUGCAUAAAAAGUCAAUGUAUCUACAUAGGACUACCUAGCAUAUGAUGUUAUUGCAAUGGAAGAACUACCAAAAUUCUUGAACAUUGCUUAUGCUUCUAUAAUGGUGCAAGGAUUGUGUGGAGAUAAUUUAUUUAAGCAUGGUUUACAUUAGGACUCAUCACUUUUUUAUUGUAUAGAGAGAUCCUCUAAGAAUUAUAAAAAUAUGAAAUUCUUGUUUAUUAUUAUUGUUGUGAGAAAUUUUUCACAAGCAUAAUCAAAGUUUUCUAAAAACCAGGUUUUGAUGAGGAUGUUGAUAAUCCUUUUUUGUAGUACUCAAAAAUAUUUAGCAAGUGUGGUUACAACCCAAAAACAUUCCUAAAUUGUUGUAGCAGAAAGCCCCUCACAUCUCAAAGUUCCAUCUCUCUUCAAAUACUAGACCAGCAACAUAUUUAAAAAUUAAUUGUGUAAUAUCAGCUUUGCAGCCCUCUACUCACAUAAAAAGUGGAGGACCCAAUCCAGGAUUUUUGUCUAUAUUCUGCCUUAGAUGCUACAAUUCCCUAAUUCAAGCAUGUUUGUAUCCUACACUAUUUUCCAUAUUUAUUUAGAAUGAAUUUUUUAACCUGGGAAUUAGAAUUGAACAUUGCCUCUAUUUGCAAGAUAGUGGCAACUUCAACUUAAUUGAAGACUCAUCUUCAUGCCUCUUUAAAUUAGGAUUUUUUUCAAAAAAAUCCUAAUUUCUUUAGAAAUUUUAGUAAGAUGCCCUAAAAUAAGGUUCCAACAAUAUUCAUUCACAUGAUUGGAGAAAAGGCCCCAUGAUAAAAUCCAUGGAGAUGAAUACCAAUCUACAGUCACAAUAGUCAUAUUGAGGUGUGCACAUCAAAUUCACCAUGGUGAAGGAGUUGUAUAUCCUUUAAAAAACUUUUGUGAAGACAAAGUUCGGCCUCGCACUAAAUCCACAAGAUGAAAAUAUUGACCAAUUUCUAUCAACUCGGUGCUUAUUUUGUGAGAAGGUUGGCCAUGAAAAGGUCAAUUUCACAAGGCAUAAGCGGAAGUAAAUAAUAAAUGUGAAAACAUUUUUAAUUCCUUUCCAUGUAGACAACAUCACAAUGCAUAUAAAGUCGCACCAAACCAAAGCAUGGAUAGAAUACAAUGUUGUGUCAAAUGCCUCAAAGAAGUAAUUCUUUAACCAAGUGAAUUUUAAAAACACCCUUGUAGCUUAUUUGGAGGUUGAGAAGACACUCAUGUUUACAAUCAAUCGUGACAUUGUAGAUAUAGUUAUUGAUGACAUGUUAUUCAUUACAAACAACAAGGAAUUUACACUGACUCAUGAAUAAGCAUUGUGAAUUUUUAAGUUAUUUGAAGAUGCAAAAAAUGACCAAGUUGAGUUCAAUAGAGAGUAAGAUCUGAAGCGCAAAGCAUAUAAGAUGGACAUUAAUUCUUUGUAGCUAUUAUAUUUCAUGAUUGGUUUAUCUCUUAUAGAACCUCAUUCUAAAUAAUAGCAUGUCUUGUAGAUGUUACAAAGACCAUGUUGCAUAUAGAUUACUUUAGUGGAUGUAGUGACAACCAUGUGGCUUUGUUUAUGAAGGUGGUUUGUAUUAUAAGCUUAAAAAAAAAACACCAAGUUCUUCUACAUGUAGUAGAUGUUUUUGCUUGCUCUUGAUAUCAGCUCAAAAUAAGGCACUUCUUAUCUUGAUUUCCAAGACUAAUUUGAGCAUCAAUCAAAGUUGCAUAACCUCCACUUUCUUGCCAUCAUUUUUUUUUUAUCACAAGACAAUCAAAGUAAUCUUUUCUAUAGCUACAAUUUUUUUGGAUAUUAUUGCUCUAAAAUAGAAGAUACAAUUAGUUGGAAUUAGCUCAUAUGGCAAGAAAAUGAUGAUUAGACAUACUUUUGGCAUCAUGACAAGGUUGGUUGAAGUGGCUAGUGAUAGAAUUAUUCAAGUGUGGUGUGCUCUGCAUCAACUUGACUUUGUAGUUCAAACCAAGUACGUUAAGCUAUAUGAUGACCAAUUCAUCAACAUCUUAAUGAGCUUCGUCUCUUAUCUUUGCUUAUAAUAUAAUUUUAUUGAAAGAAUAGGUUGUACAUGGCUGAAAUCCAUUGACAUAUAAUGGUCAUUUAUUAAAAAAUUAAGUGAAUUUUUAUGGCAAAGGCAUGUAGUGAUUUGCAAGUAUCUUAGUAGAAGUUGCUUGCAUGUAUUCCUCCUUCUUCUUGGUAGAUGCUACUAUUCAUAUUCAAUAAUGUUGUGGAAGUAAUCCAUCCACCAACACUUCUGAGAGCCACAUACCAUGGCUUAUAAUGCUUCAAAUUUGGUCAUCUGUGAAUCUUGAUAUGUGGCUCUCAGAAGUGUAAAGGCUUUUAUUCAAGAUCAAGAUAUCUUUGUGAUGAGUCUCAUGGCUUUGCUUCCAGCAACUGAGGCCAAAGCCAUGGUUUGUAAUAUAGUGACCUUAUUUACUAGGCUUGUUGACAAAAUUGCAUUGAUUAUUACUUGGGAUGUGAUUGCAACAAUGAUGUCAAUAAUAAGGACAUUUUAAUAGUAGUACUCUACAAUUUAUAUGUACUAUGGAUGCCGCUAUUGUGCAUUUCUAUUUGGUGGCAUAAGCUAUAGUUAGAAUUGGUUGGAUGGAACUAUCAAUCCAUCAAGGUUAUUGAGAAUGACUACCAAGCCAUGGUGCAUGCCUACUGCAAGGAGAUGACUUUCAAAGAUUCCAUUGAUAAGAGCUCUAAUUUGCAAUCAAAAUUUUACAUUGGAUAGUUUCAUUGCAAUGACAAAUUUCCACAACUUCAAAAAAUUUGUGGCAGACUAGCCUCUAUUUUUUCUAACAAAAGUCAAAAUCCAACUUCUCUUUGAUCUAAAAAUUAGAUUCAAAGCUUGACAAUGCAAAGCUUGACAAAAGGGCAUUAAAUCUUGGUAUUAACUCAUUGCAAUAAUACACAUCUGGUUAUAACAUCAACCACCUGCCAUUGGUUAUACUAGUUGGCCCAAUAUGAAGAAGUAUAUGGUAUGUCCAAAAUGGAAAAAAAGAAAAAGGAAAAAAGAAAAUAGAUACUUCUAUAAAAGCAACAAAAUUCUAGGUGUGUAUGAUCUUGUAGAUUAACUGUGAUUACUUUACAUUUUUUUAUGGUUACAAUUCCUAAUUCUAUCAUAAUUGUUAUAAGCCUUCAGUUCAUCCAAUUACAUCUAGAUUAGAAAAAUAGUAGUUAAAUUUUGGAGAGUGGUUCUUGAUUUAAUCCACAAAAAUGCUUUCAAUUGUGAUUUUUUUAUUUUAUUUUAUUUUAUUUAUUUUGUUGUUGUUGUUGUAGUAGUAGUAAAGGAGAGUUUUAUGUAAUAAAGUAAGAUACAAUGUUGCUAAGGAUGUGGUUUCUAUUUGCCAUUUUGGCAAAGAUUAUCUCUCUUCAAGCUACAUAGCAAAUACUGUGUGUAUUGAUGAGUUCUUGUGAGAAAACUAAACGGCAUUUUAUGGCGCACCAAAGGUGCCAUAAAGUUGCUACUCCAAAUAUGCCUAAGAUAGGUGAAAAGGGAUUGAUAUUGGGGUGAUAAAUUCUAUCUUUGUCACAUGUACCCGGGGAUAUACUUGUGAGCAAUUCCCUCCAUGCACAAAUUGGGAGGCAGUUCAGCGCCCUCCACACUAGAUCAUAUACCUUCCAAAUGGAGAGAGCUAACUUACAUCCUCUGAUGCAAUGUUCUAGGGUCUCUUUGACCUCGCAGUUGCAAUAAAGUUAAGUGGCGGAGAAGUGCAUGCUACCCUUUCUUAUUAAUAAAUGUCUGAUUUGUUUAAUUUAAAUCUAGCACUUGACCUACUUUAGCAAUAAUUACAAUAAAAGAUCCUACUAUACUUAACCAAAUUUCAUUUCGGAACCCAAUAUUGACUUAAUUCUAAAGUUUGGUUAAAUCAACCUCAUAUCAAUAUCAACUCUAAUCUAUAAUCUAAAAUUAAUGUGUUAUUAUCAUCUCAAUAUAAUAUAUGGUAUAAGUCUAAUUAUACAUAGAUACAUAAAAUUAUGUAUUUGAUAUCAAUUCUUAUUUUUAUUUUAAUCAAACAGUAUUUUUAAUUUUAUUUUUUUAGUUUUUUUUAAAAAAAUUAAUUGAUAUUAAAAAUUAGAUAAUCUUGUAUUUAUAUUUGAGCAACUAAAAUAGAUUUUUUAAAUUAAAAUACAUAGUUUCUUUAUUUUUAAAAAUUAAUAUUAUAUAAACUAAGAAUUAAUCAAUUACAUUCUAUUAUGUUAAAAUAAAUCUAUAAAUAAAUAAAAAUAAAGAUAUAGAAUAUAGAUAUAUAUAUAUAUAUAUAUAUAUAUAUAUAUAUAUAUAUAUAUAUAUAUAUAUAUAUCAUAAUUAUUAUAUGUUAAAUUAAAAAAAAAUCUUUAAAUUAUUACGCAUCUUUAUCAUGUGAAAAAGUUAUAGCUUAGCUUAAAUUUUGAACCAAAAUUGUGAUAAAAUGCUUGUUAAAUAUUAUCUAUAAAUAUUAUAUUUGAUCAUCUUGUUUUAAUAUAUAAUUUGAAGGUUUUUAUAUUUAAAGAAAAAUAUGAAGAGUCACAAUUUUAAAAUAUUUUUUUUGGGUGGAAUUGAGAAGCCUCAUUUAGUUCAUUUUUACUUUAAAAAAUAAAUUUAAAGGUCCUAUAAAAAAAAUAUGAUAAAAUAUAUUUUUUUUACAUUUUUACAUAGUAUAAAUGGUGUUGUCUACCAAAACUUAAAAUUGGCCUACCUUAAGAGAUUAUUUUAUAACAAUUUAAGAAGAUUUUUUAAAAUUAUCUCAAUAUAACUACAAAAAGAUUAAAAAAAAAAAAAAUCUUUUUAUUUAUUGUGAUUUUUAGAAUUAAGGUAUGAAUUGGCAUAUAUAAACUUAUUAUACAAAAAAAAAAGUUGGUCUAUUUUAUGGCCUCUUCAUACUUUAAACUAUCUAAAAAAGCCAACAUUUCUUUGUUAAAUUUUUUUGUUUAUUCAGUGAAAGUAUAUUGAAAGACUUUAUACCAUAGUCUUUCAAAAUGGGUUUUAAGAUAUAAAAGCCCCUUUAAACACUAGAGCAAAGUCACUACCAUUGUUUCCAAUGUAUAAGGCCAUCUUCCAAAAAUAAUCUCCAACCUCUAAUUCAACCACUCCUAAUCCCUUAAUUUAAUCAUAUGCAAAGUCAUUUCUACAAAUAAAACUACUAGAGAUUGGUCAUCCCCAAUUAGUCCAUAGUUCACAAUUUAACAAGGAGAUAUUCACUAACUUCUUGUGGUCAUUGUCCAUUUUUCUAUCAUAGAAAGUACAACUAGAUCUAUAUAACAAGAAAGUUUAGGUAUGUAACAAAGAGACAAAGAAACUUUCUCAAUUGCUAAAAUCAAAAAAAUUGUUAACCAACCAAAAAAAACCUUGAAUAACUUUGCAAAAAGAACUCCAAUUUACUAUCUGUAAACAGCUUCACCGUGCACAACCGCAUGGGUUCCAGCUAAUAACAUAGAAAAUGAAGAAAGAAUGUUGACAAAUGUGACUUGCCUGGGUGGGUGUGUGUUUUUCAUUGUCUUUCUUCACAGUGGUUGGAAUUUACACAAGUUUCUAGCCGCUAGAAGCCGAUGACGCACAUAUUGAAUGCUAUCCAUAGCUGGUGUGCUGCGGAGAAAGGAGACACCCACUGCAGUGUAGUGCAGCGUUGCUGUAGUCGAGAAUGGAAAGGAGUGCUGGAAGGGAGUGAGGAGCAGCAGCAGCACAAAUGGCGACGUUCAGGACUUUUCUACUGGUUCGCAUUUUCUUGCCGCUGUUUGUUGCAAUCAGUGUCGGAGGGAUUACCUAAGGUGCACUGAGUGCAGAUGAAGUUGCUUGCAAGAAAAAGGGUCAACCUUAUAGCUACUGCUCUUGGUCCACGAUCUCAUGGUCCCCAGGUUGCUACGUUAUCUGUGCAAAAUUACUAGGAGAAUGAAGAGAAUGGCGCUUUCAACAUGGAUGAAAGUGGCGUGAGAGUGUUGGUGUGUAGAGAUGCAGGAAUGCAAUUUACUAGACCCAAGAGAGAUACUUUAUACGUGAUUGUUCUCUUAGUUGGUUUUGUAAGCACAUGGUUCUCGUCACCUGAGGGUGCUGUUAUCGAAGUCCUUGGGCUACAGGCGAUUGUGGCGAAGGUGUGAGCUCCUCUGGAGUUCCUUAAAGAAAUGGAAGUUUGCAAGUAGAGGAUUUUUGUAGUUGGGAAGUGUGCUGAGGUAUAAAAAAUCUUCAAUUUGAUUUGUAGUGCCCUUUAAUGAUUCUUGUUUCGUUAUAAUUCAAAUAUGUUUCUUAUUUUCAAAACAAAGUAUUAUGUUUUUGAUUUGUCAUCUAUAGGCUUUGUGAGUUGCAAAAGUGAAAAAGAUAGUCCAAAUAGAUUUGCAAUUCUCUAAGUCUUUGAGUUGAAUAAACAUCAUUUAAGUGCAUUCAUGCGUAAUACAAUCUCUUUAGAAUUAUGAUAAAAAUCUACUUUGUAUUAACUAUUUCAUGCUUUGUAAAAGCACAAGGUAAUGAAUAAUGUAGGUUAAUUUUUUAUUAUAAUUAUAAUUAUUAUUAUUUUAUAUAUAGAAUAAAUUAUAACAAUUUGUUCUAUUGUUUAAAUGAAUAGUAAUAUUUUUAUAUAAUUUAAGAUCCUAAUGUUUGGAUUUGCUACGAUACUUGAUAAAUUAGAGUUGAGAUGUGUUAUCUUUAAAAAUUAUCCUAAAAAUGAUUUUGAAAAGAAAUAUUAGAAGGCCUAUAUUUUAUAUCAUUUUUUAGAUAAUUUUUGAUUGAUAUAGAGAUAUUGAUUAAUAUCUACUCAAAAAAUAUGUUCCAUCCAAACUUUUUAUUUGUAAGCUAAUAAAGCUAAUACAUGUCUCUUGCAAGGUUACAUCAAAAGACAUCAUAUACAUAAGUAUUGAAAUUGUAAGUAUUGUAAAUAGGUGUACCAAAAAAUUGAUAAAUUAAAGAAUGCCAUAAUUAUGUGGCAACAUGUUGAAGCAUUCAAUACCACUUAAUAGAAUAAUUUUAAGUAACAAACAAAAAAGAAGCAUAAAUAUAUCCAAAAUUAGUUUAGAAGUAGAGAUAAUAUGUAAAAAGAUAUUGUAUAAUAGACUUAUUUUAUAUAAUAUAUUAUUUAUUUAGAAAAUUAAUUGUAUGUGCUAAAUAAUUUUGAGUAGAAAUA